rnacentral:lncRNA from 1 species
GCUCCCUUAAAUUAGUAGCAUUAUGAAUGAGUUUCUUCCAAAUGAAUGACUUGAGUUUCAAUCCCACUUCUUCGGACCAGUAACUGCUAAGAUCAAGUGAUACUAAUUUUGACAAAUGAGAGAUUGUGGAAGGAAUAUUACCACUGAGGUAACAAUAUGAUAGAUUUAGAUGUGUGAGUUUCACUAAAUCUCCAACACCAAUAGGCAUUGAAGACUCAGAAAAAUUAUUAAAAGCCAAGUUGAGUUGUUGAAGGUGUUUAAGCUGAAAGAUGGUGCUAUUGGGAUGUAAUUCACCUUUAAGAUUGUUGCAACUGAGGUCCAGACCAAUCACGUGAUCUGACAUGGUGUCGCACGUGACACCAUCCCACUCACAACAAUCUGUACUGUUUUCCCAAGAUUCUGUCUUGAAAGAAAAAGAGGAACAACCAAAGUACGGAUUGGGUUGAGAUGAAGUGUUGACAGAAAAAGAGUUUUUGAAUUGUAACAAGGCAGAGUUGUCAUGUUUGUUGCACAAUGAGAAAGUGUAGGAAGUAAAAUGAGUAAGCAGCAACAACAACAAGAAAAAGUGAAAGGUAAAAUAAGGCAAUGGAAUAAAAAAGGAUCCCAUUUAGAGAAACAUAAUUACACUUAAUACUCUCUUAUCAGUAUUCUUUCCUUUUUCCUUUAUGAUAUGAUUUUGGAUGUACCAAUUGAUUUCCCUCUAUUUAGUUAUUUAUAUUCAAAGAAACUAAAGCAUUGAUAUAAGAUGGGUUUGUUUUGUAGUAAGUGCUGGUGCUUAUCUUCAACCGUAUGAGGCACUCCAGUUUGAAGAUUGAUUUUUUGUGGUUGCAAUUUUAGUGAGGGAGUAUUUUGAGUCAAUUAUACUAAUUGACGAUAUCAUUCAUUUAUUAGUAUCUUAAAAAAACAUUAAUUAAUUCAUUAGUAUCCAUACAAACAUUUGGUGUAUAAUUAAGUGGUGCAUAAUUAAGAUAUGUAGGGUCAACCAAACAUUUAUGAAUUUAUUUUUGAGUAAAGUAAUAUAAAAUUACUUUAACAAAUUAAUUCUAAAGUUGAAGGAAGAGUUACCUUUAAUUUAAAAGAAAUUAAGAAAAUAAAUUGAGCCAAUGAAUGAAAGGUAUUUUGCGUAGAAAACCGAGUAAACAUUUUAGAAAUUGAGUCUUGCGGUGCUCUUGUUUGGUAGUAGCUAGGCGAUGUCUUCUUCAACCGUAUGGAGCACUCCAGUGGAAAUAUUUUUUGUGGUUGAAAUUUUAAUGAUACGAUAAUUAAUUCAUUAGCAUCCACAGAAAUAUUACAAGACUUGACUUUAGCCAAAUGAGACAAUUCCAUGAAGAAAAAUGAUAUUGGAACAGAUUUUUUUUUUUUAUAGAAAGAUAUUGGAACACAUAUGUGACAUCAAACAAGAGACGUCUACACAUGUUCUUUUUUAAUAUUUAAAAAAAACUUUUUUAAAAUGGUGGAGAAUUAUUGUAACACAAAAAUUAAGUUGUGAUAUUAACUUUUUUCACGCGCAUGGCUAGUAGACAUGUCAUAUAUGGAACUAUGAUGAUCUUGAGAUUUUUGAGUAAAUGACGUGCACCCACGCCAAAGGUUGACAGACAAGUCUGUUGUACCAUAAACUCGACCACGGUUACGACCCCUGCAGAUUCGGUCCACAACCCAAGUUUUGUUCCUCCAUCAACCUCUUGCACACCAUCUCGAGUUGUUUCAUCAAUCUGGGCUUGUACUGUACUCAAAAGGAACGAACUAUGAAGUAGUUAAAUUAUAGUCUUAACCAUUGAUUUCAAUUCAAUAGUUAUAAAUAUUGUUUCUUAAUUUUUGCUCUGUUUCUAUUGUAAAUAUUGUUUGGACUUUGCUGGUUCUUUCUUAGUACAUUUUGUGUUAGAAAUGACUCAUUGAUUUCGUAAUAUAUUUCAUUUUAGCUUCUUUAAAAAAAAAAUUUAAUAGUUAUAAUUUUGCAUCAUAUUCUGGAGUAUCUCACUUUCUCUAAGGAAUAGUGAUCUCAUCUGCUAAUUUCACUCACUAAAUAUCUGUCAGAAUUUGUAUAGACCGUAAAGAUUUUGAACUCUUGAUUGAAGGGUGUUUCCUCACUAUGAAAGGAAGUCAUGCUGUCUUAUUGCAUUUAUCAUCUGGUUCAAAAAAUAUUGGAUUAGCAAAAGGCAAGUAAGUUUGACUCGACCUUAAAAGGUCAAUAGGUAUAGGUAGGGGAGAAGAUUCUCUUGAUUUUUAAUAUUCUUGCCACCAAAUUAUAGGAUUUUAAUGCAUAUUAAUGGCUACUUUUUCUUUUAAUUUGUGGGGAGAAUUAUUUUUAAGACAUUUGAUUGAACAGUUUAUGUUAUAUUGGUUAAAUAGGUGGUACAAAAGGACUAGUUUUCAACCAUCGAUAUCACAUGUGGUGUUACAUUGGCAAUUUGAUUUCCUAGCCUCAGUGAUGGAAUUAUCAGUCUCCCCACCAACUAAUCUAUUCAUUGCCAUAUUCGUAAGGAUGUGGCAUUCUUUAUCGAUCGAUGUACACCAAGUAUCUGCAACAAGCAAGUAAAGACGAAUAAUUAUUCAAAUGUUUUAUUUCUUUUAAAAUGGAGUGGGAAGGGAUUUAUAUAAACAAACCAACAAAAUAGAGUGUUGAUUUUGAGUAGAUAGGAUAUCUUGGUUGUACAAUAACUUGUUAUAUAACUAGUUAUUUUGGGAAUGUAGUUAAACUUAUUAUUUUCAUAUAGUACUAAGUUGUUUUCAUUAGCCGUCAUUUGAAGCUUGUAGAAAUAAGCUAUAAAUAGCUUAUGGACAUCAUGCCAUGUUAUAAGUCCUCCUUAAUACUUAAAUGAUCACUUAUGUCAUAAGGUAAACCUAAAUAAACUGUAAACUAUAUAUCAUUUUCACAGUGUAGUUCCUAGUUUCAUCACAGUGAAAUAAACUGUAACUAAGCGAGCCGGAAGCGAGCUGUUAGCGAACAGCUACUGUAAGUAGUUCGCUUAAGCGAAGACUCGUUCGCAUAAGCGAAGUGCCUUUUUACAGCAUUUCUUAUUUCACGUUCUUGUGUCUUUAUCAGACGUUUCUGUUUUGAAUUGGCCUUUGGUGUAAACAUGAAAGUUGUAAAUAAUUUUGUUAGAUUUCCAAUGGCUUUGGUUUGACUCUAAAAUGAUUUUUGGUUUAGGAGUUAUGAUGAAAAUACUCCAAGUAGGUCUUAGGGAAAUUUUAUGAAAAUUCAGCAAAACAUUUUCCAAGUUAAUCCAAAACUUGUGGGACAAUUCCAAGGCUCAAAACUAGAAUUAAUAUGAGUGCAAUUAAGGUUUUUAAGAGUAUUUAACCCAUGUUGUGAGUUGACCCUUGGGGUAGGAAUGGAGGUUGAUUAUAGUACUGUUGAUGUUGAGUGAGUCAGAUAUAAUAUGAUUUGAUGUUGUUAGUAAUGAGAUAUAUUUGUAUAUGCAUUAUGUGGAUUAUAUAAGAUGUUUAAGUUGAUAUUGAUUAUCAUUUGAUAUUGUUAUAUCUUGAGAUGUUUAUGUGCUGCCUAUGUUGCCGUUGUUGAGUUUAGUGAAUCUGGAGAUGAUUAAUUGUGUAUUUUCUGGAAUCGUUGGAUCAAUUAUGAUGGAUUAUUGUUGACUGUGAUGUAUAUUUAUAUUUAAAUAAAUUAUACAUGUUGCUGAAUUCUUUUCAAAGGUUGAAGUAUUAUUAAUUGGAUUGUCGAGGUGAAGUCAUAUUUACAUAUAUGCAUUGAUGAGUAGUGGUUGUCGUUGAUGUUGUUGAGUUGUAUGUAGAUAUACACAAGUGGAGUCAGUUGCAUUAAAGGGUGGUGAGUCAUAUAAGUACAUAUGCAUUUGUCGUUGAGUUGUAUGUAGAUAUACACAAGUGGAGUCAGUUGCAUAAGCAUAAAAAUGAUGUUAUGAUGAGGACUUCGGUCCUGGAACGCUUUGUCGUUCAAAAUGAUGGAACACUAUGUUGUUCAAAACGAUGUUAUGAUGAGGACUCAUGUCCUGAUAAAAGAAUGCUUUAAUCAUUCUAUAAAGAUGAGGGCUUCGACUCUGUUAUGGUACCACAUGCAUAGUUGCAUUUGUUGAGAAGUCUUAGUGGAGUUGUCAUGUCUUGCAUGAGUCUUAGCGGUGGUGUCGAGUUGUUGCAUGAGUCGUUGUUGUUGGUUUUAAUUACCAUUUGUUGUUGAUGUUGUUAAUGAUGAUAUACUUCUAUAUUGAUGAAUUAUUAUUAUGACAGGGUGUUAGAUUUAAUUGAUGAAUUAGAUAUCUAUUAUUGAUGAUAUUGUUGACUAUGAAAUAUAUACAUAUAUUGGAUAAUUGUAGUUGCCAUUGUUUUUGAGAGAUUUGUUGUUGUUGUUGUUGAUUAAGUUGUUGUCAUCGUUGAUGGUUGAAUUAGCAAGUGUUACUAAAGUUAAAGAAGUAAGAACAUUAUUGUUGAAUAUAUGUAGUUGUUUAUAUUGUUAUGAUGUGAUGAUUAUGUUGUGUCGUUUAUAUUAUUAUGAGAAGAUGUUUAUGAUAUUGAUUACGAUGUUAUGAAGACUGUUUAUGGUGUUGAAUAUGAGGUUGUUAUGAUGUUACAUGAUGAUGAUUAUGAAUGUUGUGAUGAUGAUUAUGUGAUGUUAUCUAUGAGUUGUUAAAUGUACUUGAUGAUGGUUAUGUUAAGUUGAUAAGUUGUCUUUUAUUCAUGAAUUGCUAAUGGAAUGUUUGAUGAAUAAUUAUUAUUAUGAAAUGAUGAUGUUACGUAUAGUUGCUAAGUUGCCCCUAUUCAUGAGUUGUUAAUAAAGUGCUUGGUGGAUAAUGUUAAUACGAAUUAAUGAUGUUGUUAUGUGUAUAUGAAAUAUGAAUAUGAUGUUGUUACGUUGUUUAUGUCAUUGAUUAUGAAGUUGUCAUGUUGUAUACGAAUUAUGAGUAUGAUGUUAUAUGAUUAUAAUUACAGGAAUGAUAAAUGGACACAAAAAUACAUACACAAAUACGACAGCAAGGGUAGUUUCGUAAUUUCCCCCUCAUUAAAACCUAGAUCUGUAGCUUCUCUCCUCUCUCAGAAAAUUGCGCACUCUCCCCAUCACCACACCUUCCAGAUCCUUUCUCCCCCAUGACUUUGUCCUUUAUCACCACCACCAUCGUUUCUUUGCCUCUCGCCACUAUCAACCACCAACCACCGCCGCGCUGCCCCUCUUCUUUCCCCGACGUUGAGGUACGUCGCCGGCAAUCAUCAUGGAGAUCCGUUCGUCCUCACUCUCUAUCUAAAAUCUGGUAGUAUUCACCGGCGUUGGUAACAGAGACGUCGUCGUUGGUCAUCAUGGAGUCUGUGUGCAUUGUAUUAUGUUGAUGUUAAUCUGUUUUGAGUUCAAUAUGGUGUUGUGUUGGAGUUCAAUCUUUUCACUCUCAUUGAUGUGUUGUGCUACUGAUUUUGUUUUCUCUGAAUUUUGAUGGCUACGGGUAAAAAGGUAAAACAUUUAAUUUGUCUUUGAAAUUAUAUUUCUUUUGUUGUUCAACAUGUUUGUAAGUUUGCUUAAGUUUUCUUUUGCUUCAUGUUAUCUGGUGUGAAGCUAUGGACAUUGUAUUGAUUUAUUUCAUUAUUGUGUUUGCCUUUUGCAGUGAAAAAAUGUCUACAUGCUCUUCCAAUUUCAAAUGAGCACAAUUGAAAAGAUAGGAUGGGUCACUAUUUUGUUCUAGUUUUGCUGUUAGUGUUGUGUAUUGCUGUUUCGGUAGGAUUGUUUUCAGCUUUUGGGGGCUGCAUUCACUGUUGCUAUAUCUGUGAUUUUGCAGUGGUGGUUUUGUGCUCAGUUUUUUGCCUGGCACUGUGAGAGUUGGCCGCCGCAAUGCUGAGCUGUCGUGGCUUCGCUUUCUUGCUGCCGUGGCUUCGUUUUGCUGUGAAGUGUGUGUUUGCUCAGUUUUCUCAUGCCCUGUUAAUAAACUUGUCUAUAUCAAAGAAUAAAAAGGUCAAGUUAUAGAUUUUCUACCAAUUGCGUCUUCUUUAUAUGAAUUAUCCGAAACAGCACCAACUCGACAAGGUUGUAUAUGUUCAGAUAUAAUGAAGGAGAUGAGUAAUUAGAAAAUUGAGAAGCUGAAGGUCAAGUUAUCUGAUGAGAAGAAAAGAAUUGGGCAAUCAUUAUUUUUUGUUGUCAUGGAGAUUUUUGUUACUCGCGUACUUAGGUUUUAGUGGAAAAUUGAUGUUCUCAAGUGUAUUUGAUGUAUUUGUUACAAUUUUUUUUUAAGGGUUAAUUUGUUACACUUGUUGACCUAUUUUGUGGUUGUUUAGAACAAUUAUGCAAAAUUGAAGUUUAUUAAGUGGCUAUUUUAUGACUGAUUCAAAUCCAGUCAUCUAGUAUCUUGAUGAUAAAUUUUGUGAUCAAUUUUAAAGUUUUGACAGGAACUUAUAAAAUAGCAUUGCUACCUUAAAUUGAUCACUAAUUUGUCAAUUACAACCAUACCAUUUACAACUUCCAAAACCAUACCAUUUACAUGGUUGAUUAAGUACAUCACAAAAUAGAACUUAAAUUACAUAAGUUAACUAGCAUUGUACCUAAUGUUAACUUUACAAACAUGUUUUUAAAAAAAAAAAUACGAAUUCAUAGUCAUGUGUUGACCUUUGUCACCAUGAUUUGGCCACCAAAAAACACAAUAUCAUAGUUAUAAAAGUCUGGUUAUAUACACAAAAGGGUCACUUCAUAUACUUAGCAAUGAGUGCAUUAGCUUUUGUCCAAAAAAUAUUAGAGCUGUCCAUGCUAGUUAACUAUCAUUGUACUUGCAUCCAGCACAUUUCCACCACUAACAACAUCAAGAGAUGAUUUAAUGCAGAUGUUGCUGUCAAACUGAUUUGUCACUCUUUCAGUAUUGAUAUCCUACAAAUUUGGACAAACAAAAAAUUAAGAUGCAAUCCAUAUAUACAUGGUGAUUACAAAACUUCUAAAUAAAAUAAAACAUACAUUAGUCCCUCUAUCAUCACUCUGUUUGUGUCGAUUACUUGGCCUCUUAGCAAAUUUUUCAUGUAUAGAUAUUUUUCUUUUUGAUGGAGGGCGACCUUUACGUUUUACCCGCAAUGGACUGUGAAUUUUUGUACCAUUGUUUGGAUUUGAGUCACCAUUGAAACUUCCUUUAAUAUUUUCAGCUGUAGCAUUCCUGGUGGGUAAAUCAGAAGCAAACUGAUGUAGUAUUUCAUGGAGGUCUACAGAUGUGUCUUCAAACUCAGCCGCUAUUUCAGCAACCUCGUAGAAGUGCUUGCAUAACUUGUCAAACCUGUCCAUUUGUGGCUUCAGUUGUGUCACACAAUAACUGCUCUUAAUAUAUGUAUGCUUCCUUUUAAUAUUUUUGUUCCAUUUAGUUAAAACAUACUUCUCUGGUACAUUUUUUACUCUCUCUUGAGCACACACACAUAACACAUGACGGCACAAAAUACCUCUAAAUUCAAACAAUGAGCAUUCACAACUUACAUCAUGGUUUUCUCGAUUAAACACAACUUUAAAUACAUGUUCUUUUGUUCUAUCUCCAACUAACACGUCCUCCAACACAUGAUAUGUGGCAAAGCAGUCCUCCACAGUGUUCAAUGAGGAAGCACAAUUCAUUUUAGAUCUAAAUUCAACUUGAAGCUCCUUAAAUUUAGCAUGAGUGUACUGACCUUGGAAUUGCUUUUCAAUUGAUGAGUUUGAACCGCAAGAAAUUGUGGUAUUCAUCGAAGUAAAAUCUGCUUCAAAUUCCUUUUCUGCUCGACUUCGGAGAGCAUUAUCAUAUUGUUUUACAAAUUGAUUCAGACUUGUCGUUGAAUUGAUAUAACCAUCAAAGAAAGCAUGUAUACUCUCACUUCGCUGAGUUGUUGACAUACCAGCCCAAAAAUAUUUUCUUAACAAGGUUGGUACCCAUCUAUGACGCUCGUUAUACAACCCCCUCAACCAAUGAUUCUCUUGAAGCUCAAAUUUUUCGAUGAAGGAACACCAUUUCUCUUCAAAAUCAUCUGUUGUAAACGUAUCAUAAACAGCUUCUUUCAUUGCAAACUUAAUCCUUUUAUAAUCACCAUAUCCGCUUAGUUUUUCAGCAAUUUUUUUCAUUAUAUGCCAUAAACACCACCUGUGACGAGUUGUAGGGAAAACUGCCUCAAUUGCAUUUUGCAUUGCCUUACAUUGGUCGGUCACAAUACCAAUAGGAGGCUUUCCUAGCAUACAACGAAGCCAUGAAUUAAAAAGCCAUUCAAAUGAUUCUGUGUCUUCUCCUGAUAGCAACCCACAUCCAAGUAAUGUUGAUUGACCAUGGUGAUUCACACCAACAAAAACAGCAAAAGGCAUAUCAUAUCUAUUUGUCAGAUAUGUUGUAUCGAAAGUUACUACAUCUCCAAAAUACUCAUAAGCAGCCCUACUUCUUGCAUCAGCCCAAAACACAUUUUUUACAUGAAAAUCAUCAUCCAAAUCUAUUUCAUAGAAGAAAUUAGGAUUUUGUUCCCUCAUUUGACAAAAAUAGCUUAUCAAGGCCUUGCCAUCACCUUCUUUUCCAAUUGCACGUCGUUCCUUGUUAACAUAGUUCCUUACAUCUCUUUCAUUAAAUGGAAUAUUUUCAUACCCUCCUGCAUCUUUAACCAGAGAUUGAAAAGUCUUGUUGACCCUCACACCUGCAUCAUCAUUGAUUUCAAUUGUCCUCCUUACAUGCAAGUCCAUUUUCUUGUUGGCCUUGAACAACCUUGCCUUUCUAGGGCUGGUAUGAUGAGAAUGAUCAGGUUCAAAUUUCUGAAUGUACCACAAUCCAUCUUCUUUCAAUUUGAUACAAAUUUUAGCAGGACAAUUUUUUCCCAUUGUCGGACGUGUCUUCAAUGUACACAGACUUUUUGUCACUUGAGACCUUUCUCUUGUGCAUGCAAGAAUUAAGUAGCAGACCUCCCCAUCUCGUCCUUUUCUCGAUGUUCUAAUCUUCCAUUCAAAACCCUUUCUAAAAGCAUACUCUUUAUAAAAUGAUUUAACUUCAUCUAAGCUAGAAAAACACAUAUCUAUUUUAGGCUCCCAGCAUGCAUCAUCAUCUUCUUCUUCAACAUUAAAGUUGCCAACUUCUAUACCUUCAUCAUCAAUACUACCACAAUCCACAAGAACAUUUGAACUAUCCAUAAAUUUUCAAUUGUGGGUGAAAUUGGCACACCAAAACUGCACAAAAUUACUUAAUUAGAUCAAUAAUAAGUUAUAUUGCAAACAUAGUGAUUUACAAGCUUAUUGCAUCAAAUAUAAUGUAGCAAAAACAUCAGAAACAACGUAAGCAUCACAAACAAAAACAUUAAAUAUAAUUUAAGCAUGAACUUUGUUCAUAUAAACACAAACAGCAUACCAAAAAACAGGGGAGGCGCAAACAGCAGACCAGAAAUCACAAACAGGCCUCACAAACAGCACAGACCUCCCUUCCCAAGCCAGAUAGCAGAAAAGGCCCAGCCAUAAAAACACUCCCUGCACCCCCUAAGAUAGUAGCACUACUACAGAUAGCAAAAUAGUGAAAUAACUUGUUCUCUAAGACUCUGAAGUCCACACUUAUGAAAUCAAUGCAACAACUAUAUUCCUACCUUUCUCUUCAAGAUUAUGAAGUUCCCUCUCAUAUAUAAAUACUCAACUAUUCACAAUUUCAACAUAAAGAGGUUUCACUCUACUUUCUCAAAGUACAUAUCAUAUUCAUAUCUCUUAAAAAGAAGAAAAAAAAACUCAAUUCAUCACUGACACUAUUUCUUUUAAAUUAUAUGUUCAAGUGUGUUUACAUUCACUUUCAUACUCUACUGAAUGAGAUAACUUUUUCUUACAAUUCUUACUACUUUUCUAUUAAAACUACCAAUCUUCUUUGGAAUGCAAAGAAAGAUUAGGUGAGUGUGGGAAAAAACCAACAAAAACAUGUUGUGAACUCAGAGCACAACACAGACCCUCCCCCUUAAAACUACCUCACAUACUUUAUCAUUAGAAACAAACAUCAAAACACCUAACAAAAAAAUACAAGAGAAACAUUGUAACACAAUUGAUUAUGGGGUAUUAGAUUUAAGUAUUAGCUGUGUUGAAGUCUAUAAUCAUGCAAUUAAGUUGAGAAAAUUAAUAUUGAAUAUAUUCAGUAUAUAAAACCUUAAUCAAUUUCAUCAUUUAGUCAAUUCAAAAAUUUAGGGUUUUUAAUUUGAAAUUUGGGGAAAACGAAAAUAAUGAAGGAAUCAUCUCACCCCAUGAUAAAAAUGCAAGAAUGAAGUAAUGAAAUGAGAUAAUAAGUAAGAAUAAAACAAAAAUUAUUUGGGUUUAGGAAUUUUUUUCUUCUUCUUAUCUACUAAGAAUCAAACCAAAGUUUAGCACAACAAGGUAUAACAACAAUUACAAGCCACUGAAAUUCUAAAAACAAGAACAGAGAAAGGAAAAAACCUGGGUAUGAAAACAAGGAGAGGAAUAUGAAAUCGCAGCCGAGAUAGGUGGAGCGACCGAAAAUAGCAUGAGGGUGGCACUGUACAAAGAUGAAGAAGGAGUGACGAGAACCUAUGAGUGAAUGAAAGAUGAUUUUUUCUUGCUCAUAGGAAAUGAGUGAUUCAGAAAGAGGGAAGGAAAACGAAACAAGUGGGAAAAUGAAACGAGGGAAAGAUGGUGGUAAAUAGUAAGAAAGAAGGAAAGAAAGGAAAAAAGAAAAAAGAAAAAACAUAAGUAUUGAGUAACAGUGUAUGGUGUCAUAUUUGUGUUUGUAUUAUUGUGUUUACUUAUCAUUCCUGUUAUAAUUAAGAUGUUGAUUAUGAAGUUAAAUGAUGCUGUUAUGAUGAUUGUUUAUGGUAUCGAGUUAUGACUGUUUAUAUGAUGAGUACAUGAUAUGGUUUAGGAGUCGUUAAAAGAAUUAUUAUUACUAAUUGAUGGAGUUUAAGUUGUUAGAUGCAUUUGAUGAAUUAUAUAUUAUUAUUAUUGAUUGUGAAUCUCACCCCUUCUGCUUGAAAAUGUUGCUCUUCGUAUGAGUAACUUGCAGGUGAUCGAGAGUAGGUUGCUGUGUUUUCCUGUCGUGAGUGGCUAUCCCUCACUGAGUCGUUUAGGUGCUCUGAUACGUAAUGGGAUGAGAACUUUGUUGCAUGCUUUUCUAUUCCUUACGUAUUGUUUAUAAAUUUAAAUGAUUAAGUUGUUAAUUGGAUUUUUAUGAGAUGUUUUGAUGAGGCAUUCGUGCCAAGACUUUUUAUGUUAAUGAAUUUAAUCCGCUGCAAAGUUUGAGUUAAUAUGUUGAAGGAUAAAUUAGUUAAUUAACUUAUUUAUGAUUUUAAGAAGUGUAGCAUUCCGUUUACAUGUUGAAUACUCUGAUUAAUUAAAUGAAAUUUUUAAGUCGGGAAAACGGGGUGUUACAACAACUCCUCAUAAAAAUCAUAUAAACCACCUCAAUCAUAAAAAUCGCAUAAAUCACACAUAUAUUAUAUAAAUAUAAUAUAAACCCAUCUAAAAUAACUCUAGACUCAAUUAAAUAAAUAAUUAAUUCGAAACGGGCGUUACACUAAGUCACACUAUAACCAGCCCACAAAGGACUAUAAAUACCACUAUUGAGAUCAUUCUCAAGGCAUCACAUAAACAGGAAGGGAGAUGAGAGUUUACUUUUCGUUUUUAAAUUAAGGACUAUAUAAAUGUUUUUUUAAAAUAAAUUAUAUGUGAUUGAAGUAUUAUAUGAUCGUUUAUCAUGUUAAUAUGUUAACUUUUUAUAAAACAUUUCAUAGUAUCUGUAUUUUAAAAAUGAAAAGUAAACCAUCAUCUCCCUUUCCCUCGUAAACCCUCCAUCCAAACACACCCUAAGGAAACAACUACCCACGAAGGUAUUACCUGGGAACCAAAAUCCCUAGCCAAAUCCGUAGGAGACCCUUUUCUUGCGGAAUUUGUACCAAAAUUCGUAGAAAAAUCGAGAAUUUAUAGUAGUAUAAGUAUAUGUACAUGGAGUACAAUUUUAGACAUCCGCAACAUACUUUACACAUAAAUAUACACAUAAGUUCAUUGUCAAAGGUCACAGUAAAUAACAAGUUUCAUGUUGACAAAGGGACACCCAGGGGCGGAGCCACCCCCAGCUAGCCUGGGCACUAGUCCAGGCUCAACUCCAAUUUUCUUUGUAGCAAGUUCAGCCAUUACGAGAGAACUUUUAGUUUUUUCUGCGGAUUUACCUGCAAAUAUUUAUGUAAAUUCCGUAUGAAACACAUUUCCUGCAGAUUUUGUCUAGGAUUUCCUGCAGAUUCCGCAGGAAAUGUGAAAUUAUUUGCUGGAAGGAAGUAACAUUUUACGAUAAUUUUUUUGCACAAGCUCUAUAAAAUUUAUGUUUCCGCCACUGGGGACACCAAUAUAUCUAAUUGUUACGGUUAACGUUAAAAAAUGGGUUCUUUUUCAAAAAACAUUAAAAAAAUGGGUUAAAUAACGUUUUACUCCCGAUAUUUGAGCGAGUUUUGAAAAAAUCCUUGUAAAAUAAUUUUUUAUAGAUCCCCUUUGUAAUUUAAAAAUUCCAUCUAAAACAACUUUGAUCUCAUCUGACUAGGCAACUAAACUAAUGUGGCAUGCUGAUUGGACAAAUUAGUUUAUUUUUCAAUAUUUUAAAAUCCAUCUCACAUUUUUGAAAAAAAAAAUAAAAUGAAAAUUAGAUUAUCUUCUUAUAUAUUAAAGUUAACACAGACGCAUAUUUUAGCCCUAAUUUAAACCUAAAUAUAUUGCAUAAAUUUACUAUUUUAACCCUGAUGCUAAAUUCAUUUGUUUAACCUUAUUGAAUUUUUCCCCUUCUCAAUUUCUCGAUACAUCUUCUUAUAAGCAUAUUUUAGCCAUAAUUUUGCAGUGUUGAUAUAUGCAUACUGUUUCAGGAUUUUGGUGGCUGUAUUGUAUCUUCAGUGGGGAGUUUAUGUAUCAAUCAAGAGAGACAUGGCUUGCAGACUAUCCAUAUGACUGUUUUUCAGCUUGCCGAAUUCAUAUAGACUGUUGUUGUAUUUUGUGAGAGGUGCCUUAUAACUGUGCAACUCAUGCUUCUCUGUGGCAGAAGUUGCCUCUGUAUAGUUUGCUGAGUUUAAGUGAUCAAGUUUCUUUCAACUGAGGCAAAUAAUGUGUCUUGAUGAAUUUUUUAGUGGCUUUGGUGUUAUAACACUCUUUUUCCCACAUUGUAAUGGUGUAAGUCCGUGACCAACUUAUUGGUGUUGAAUACUUAUGUAAACUAUAGUUAUAGUUAUGCUGAAAUAUUCUAAUACAUUAAUUUUACUAACUAUAUAAAGAACAACCAUCAAUUCUCCUAAAAAAGUCACAUUAAUUGUUUUAAGCCAAGAGCACUCCCACGUGAUUUUUUACAGUGAAGUGAUGUCAUCUUGGAUUAGUGGCUUUCACACUCUUAUAUGGGUUCUAUUGUUGUGUGAUGAAUUAUUUAAUUUUUAACAGCAAGUGAAGUAUCAAUUUAUUUCCAAGUUUUCAAACACUACAGGUUUUGCAUAUUAUGUAUGUUCCUAAUCAAUUGGCACACUUUUAGUAAAAUUGAAAGAGAAUAAAGAGUAAAAUACAAUUGUAUUCCAUUGAAGUGUGUUUAUGUCACAUUACUAAUUCAAUCUUAAAAAUCAUAAAUCACUGAUAUUGAACAAUGCAUUAAUAAGCUUCCUAGACACACUUUUGCGACUUGCUAUUGAUUUUUAUUUUUUAUUUUUUUAUGAAACAACAAAAUAAGCUGUUGGAUGUAUAGACAAUGAACUGAACUGGAUCACAGAGGAAACAAUCAAACAUGUGGAGGACAAUAAUAUGAUUAAGUUGUGAUCAAGUUGUCUAAAAAAUAUCAAGUAGGAUCAAGUUCCUAUUACCCCAUCCAGCAAAAACUUUUAACUUAGACUAUUUUGUAAGAUAAAAUCUUAUAUUAGUGAAAAGUUGUGAUAAAUUUAUUUUGUUUCAUUCCAUUAUAUUUGAUUGUCUUAUUGCGAAUAUAAUAUAAAUGUCUUCUUCUAUAUCACACCCGUGCGAUAGCACGGGUGAAAAGUCUAGUCUUUAUAUAUAAAAGUAGUCCCGAAAGCAAACCCUAAACCUAAUUUUAACCUAGAUUUUCAUAUGUCUUUUGCGUUUUUAACCCUUUUGUUUUAAUUAAGAGAUAAAUUUUAAAAUUAGUUUUAAUUGUGAAUAACCACUGUCAGCUAUUAUUCCUCCUAUUCCUCCUUUAAAAAUAUUGAAUUAAACCUUAUCGUGAAAACCUAGACGGUGACGCAGUGAACGACAUCCACACGCCUGAAUUUCUCAACACCAUUGUUGCGUCCGGAUUGCCAAAUCAUAGGAUUCGAUUGAAAGUAGGAGUACCUGUGAUGUUAUUGAGGACCAUAGAUCAAAAUUUGGGCUUAUGUAACGGUACAAGAUUGAUUAUUACAAAGAUGGGUAAAUUUACGGCCAAGAUACUGAUGUGACAUCAAAUGUGGUCUACAGAGAAGUUUUCCGUAAUGUGUAACACUUUUUUUUUGUUACAAUGAUGUGUAGCACUUUGUUUUGUAGUAUUGUUGUUAUCAGUACUAUUUUUAUAUCGAUAAACUUUGGAUUUUCUUUUCUUCAAUAACAGGGUCGAUUUCAUGGAAUUUUUUUAAUAUAGUACAUUAAAAACGUUUAUGUCAAUUUAUUUUGAGUUGAAUUAUACUAUUUUUUCGAUUCAAGUAGAGUAUUUAUUCUUAUAUUUGCGCUAUUUUUUUUUUCUGUAUGACCCGUGCGUCAGCACGCGUCAAUGGUCUAGUAAAACAAAAGGAAGAAUCGCAAAACCUAAUGUGCUUUUUCAUAAACUAAGUCAAAACCUAAAGUACUUCUUCAGAAUAGCAAAACAUUUUUUUUUAUCCCCUUCUAAAACCUAAAUAAAUAACUAGAAGAAAAAAAAAAUAAAGGCUUAAUUGCACUUUUCCCCCUAUAGUUUGCCAAUUGUGUGAUUUUGCACCCCAUAGUUUUAAACGAGCGAUUUUGCCCCUUAUAGUUUUCCCUUUAUGGUCCCCAUAACAUUUAGUGUUGAUAUGUCUGUUUUUUAUCAAUUAAUGUGUGUCACGUGUGUAAUUCCAUUUUUUUUUUUUUAAAAAAAAAUGGUAUUUUUCUGAUUUUGAGAGAAGGAGGCACGUGAUAUUUCUUCUUAAAAUCUUAAAAAUCACGUGCUCCUUCUUUCAAAAUCUGAAAAAUACUAUUUUUUUUAGAAAUGGAAUUACACACGUGGCACACAUUAAUUGAUAAAAACCAACACUAAAUGUCAUGGGGACCAUAAAAUCAGAAAGGGGGAAACUAUAGGGGGCAAAAUCGCUCGUUUAAAACAAUGAGGUGCAAAAUCGCACAAUUAGCAAACUAUAGGGGGGAAAGUACAAUUAAGCCAAAAAUAAAAAAGAAUAGGAAAAUAGAAGAAGAACUGACGGAAGAAAAAGAAAGAUGCAAGAAGGAAGAAGAAGAAUCGACGGAAGAAAGAAAACGAGGGUUAGGCUUUACAUAAACUCCAUAUUUGCAUGAUGCCCUUCUUGUGGAACAUACUUUAUUGAAUGAUACCCUUCUUAAAACAGCGUUAUAUGCUUGCUGAGAGUACUAAAGAAUUAGUGGAAACAAGGAAGAGUAAGAAAGGAUUAUGUUGUACCAAAUCCUCACUAGUUAUUUUGAUGAACGUGUAAAUGAAAGGGGGAUCUAAAUUUUUUAUUUCACAGGGGUUUUCAGAAAGGGAGAAAACAUUAAUUAACCCCUUAUAUUCAAACCACUUCCAAUUGAUCCGGAUACAUUCUGCACUGUUCUAGAAUAUUGUAGUGGUAUAUACACCUCAUCUGUUUUAUGAAGAUACUUAUUUUGUUGCCUUUUCAGAUAAUUAUUUGAACUUAUCUACUGGCACAAGUACUUGUGAGAUUGUUUGAGAGAGCUUAUGAAAACAACUUGUGACAUGUUCAUAAGCUGUUUUCAGGUUAUUUCCAUAAGCUCUCCAAGAUAGCUUAUGAAAACAAUUUGAUUUGAUUUUCUUUUAUUAUAGAAAUAGCUUUUACAUAAGCACUUAUAUGACAACCAUUUAUGCUAUAAGUGCUUAAUUAAAUUGUUUACACAAACAGGGCUUAUAACUAUUGUAUGCUUGAUUUCUUGUUUGGUCAACCUAUCCUUCCUUUGAUCCUCCUCUGUUCUCUACCAGGAAAAGAUCUUGAUGCUGUUCUUAAAGCAACACCUAUAUUGCUCGAGAGGGAGGCUAGAGUCAUUUUAGUUCAGAUUUUCCAAGGCCUUAUUUACAUGAAUAAAGGAGCACUCAAGAUUAUCCAUUAUGAUUUGAAGCCUGGAAAUGUUUUGUUUGAUGAACUUGGUAUUGCCAAAGUGACUGAUUUUGGUCUUAGCAAGAUAGUAGAGAAUGAUGUGGGAUCCCAGGGUAUGGAACUUACAUCCCAGGGGGCUGGAACGUAUUGGUAAGUGAUGAAGAUCAUUGUUGUAGGAUUUCGAAUUUUGAAGUAUUCCAAAUUUGUUGGUUUUAACUUUUAAGCUUCUAUCUCUUCAUUGUACUUUAAUUUUGAUGCUCCUUUUAUGUUCCCAUGAUCUUUCAACAUUUUCUUUAAUAAAACCUCUUGUUGCCUUCUUUUCUUUUUUAAUUUGCAGGUAUUUGCCUCCGGAAUGCUUUGACCUCAGCAAGACACCUCUCAUAUCAUCCAAGGUAAUUUUUUUUUUCAAGUCGUGAAUACAUGGAUAGCUUUUUUGUGUCAAUUUUCAAUUUGUCAGUCAUUUUGGUCAAUGGAUAUUUCACUUGAACAUUAAUUUCAUGAUGUCUGUAUUAUGCAAACUACUAACUCUUGGACAGACAUCUUACACGAUAAUCUCUUUACAUUUCUAACUUGUGAAAACAGGUUGAUGUCUGGUCUGCUGGUAUUUUGUUUUAUCAAAUGCUCUUUGGUAGACGUCCUUUCGGACAUGACCAAUCACAAGAGAGAAUACUUGGUGAAAAAACGAUUAUCAAGGCACACAAGGUUGAAUUUCCCUCUAGACCUACUGUUUCUAAUGAGGCAAAGGUGAGUUGAGACCUUUUUUAAUAAUUACCGCCAAGUGGCUGAUUGUUCUUUGGCCAUCUUUUAUUAUUUCUUAGGCAAUUGUAUUCUCUAAGCAGCAAACUGAAAUGUAGUUAAGGUUUUAAUUGUCGAAGUGGGAAACAGACUAUGAAGGAGUUAAAUAAAGUCUCAACCGUUGAUUUCCGAUCAAUAACUAUAAUUCUGCGUUGUAUUUUCUGAAGAACACUCCUCACACUAUAAUUCUGCGUUGUAUUUUCUGAAGAGCACUCCUCACUUUAGAGGAGCCCAAUAAAAAAUAGCAGUACUUACCGUCUACAGUUCUUACUUUGAAACCUGACAAUUAUCUCUACUGUGUGUACAAUUUUGCCAGGAUUUUAUUCCGCGGUGUCUUACAUACAACCAGGCUGAGAGACCAGAUGUAUUAACCAUUGCCCAAGAUUCGUAUCUUGCUUACUCAAAGAAAUAGUGAUGUCCAUUGACAUGGGUUGUUACCCUCACCCCUACCAUGGGGAGGGAUAUCAUCUUCUAACUUCAGUCACUAAAUAUAUGUCCGAAUUUGUAUAGGUUGUAAAGAUUUUGUAAUCUUGAUUGUGUCAAGAGAAAGGAUGUUUCCUUACUCUGAAAAGCAUCCCUGUUGUCUUUCAUGCAUUUCUCAUUUGAUUGAAAAUAUUGGAGGUCGUGAUGUAUAGGUAGGUAGGUGAGUGAGAAGGUUCUCUUGAUUUUUAAUAUUUUUGCCACCGAAUUAUAGGAUUUUAAGGCAUAUUGAUAUUGAUUGGCUACUUUUUGUUUAAAUUUGUGGAGAUGUUUUAAAGACAUUUGAUUGAAGAGUUUAUGAUAAAUUGACUAAAUAGGUGGUACAAAAGUACUACUAGUUCUCAAUGUUUUCCAAUUUCCAUAGCCCCAGUGAUGGAAUUAUCAGUCUCCACCAAAUAAUCUAUUCAUUGCCAUAUUCGUAAGGAUGUGGCAUUCCUUAUCGAUCUACACCAAGUAUCUGCAACAAGCCUUGGGGAAAUGCACCUGGUGCCGUAGCGAAUCGAGUAGCUCUGGAAGCAUGUGUACAAGCUCGUAAUGAGGGACGUGAUCUUGCUUGUGAGGGUAAUGAAAUUAGCUGUGAAGCUACCAAAUGGAGUCCUGAACUAGCUGCUGCUUGUGAAGUCGGGAAGGAGAUCAAAUUUAAAUUCUCAGCAAUGGAUACUAUUUGAAUUCCCAGCAAUGGAUACUUUGUAAUCCAGUAAUUAUCAUUCGUUCUGUUAAUUUCAAUUAAACUCGGCCAAGUACAUACGAAUAAGUAUAUGUAGAGUGAGUACAAUUCUACACAUCCACAACAUACUUUACACAUAAAUAUACACAUAAGUUCAUUGGCACAGGUCACACCAUAUAUGUAAAUAACAAGUUUCAUGUAUACAAAGAGACCAAUAUAUUCAAUUUUUACAGUUAACAUUAAAAAAUUAUUCAAACCUCUUCCAAUUUCUUCCAUAGGUCCUUGUCUUGAUAGCAAUAAAAAUUUGAUCUGAAUUAUUUUCUUACAACCUCCAUGGUGCAUGUAUAGUAGACUCUUUAAACUUUAAAUUUUUAAAAGUCGAAUUCGUCACUUUUCAACACAAUAUUUUACUUUUUAUUUUUAUUUAUUUAACCAAUGUCCUAAGAGUUAAGGACACUCUUUAACAUUUCUCUGAAGUAAAUGACUAUGUCAACGACUAUACUUUUGCUCAAAUAGAUCAAUAGCCAAGUAGAAGCAGCAAUGAUCCUUUUUGGUCUAGUGCCCUAAUAGAAUACUAGUAUUAGAUAUUGGUAAUGAAUAUUACAUAUAUUUCUUCAAUUGUUCAAAUUAAUAAGCCUUUUUUACAUGAUAUUUCAGCUCAUUAGUUUAGCUUUUCAAUUUACGUAUCUACAAAGUUUGUCCUAUAAAAAUUGGGUCUAUAAAUAUUAUUUUCAUCCAUUUGAUAUCAAUGAUUAUUUAAAAUUAUCAAUCUAUUAAUUAAAUUGAUUGGACCACCUCAUAUAUAUAAUUUUUUUGUGGUGGCUGGGUUCGAAUCCCAGACCUUGCAUAUAUUAUGCAUUGUCCAUAGUGAGUUAAGUUCACGAGGACAAUUUUUUUUUUUGUGGUGGCCGAAGUUUGAACCUCGAACCUUGCAUAUAUUAUGCGUUGUCUCUACCAACUGAGCUAAGCUCACGACGACAAUUUAUAAAAAGUAAAUUGUUUUUUUUAUUUAAAAAAACUAACAAUAAAAUUAACACUUCUCUAAAUAAUAUUAAGAAAAAAAAGUAUCGGGUGGUUGGUGCAACAAAAUAUCCACGCCCGACGGAUCGGAUCAGUUUUGCCAACAAAUUUAGACUAUUAGUGAAUUCAUUUUGAUUCGAGGGAAAAACGACUACUUCAAAACUCUAUCGCUCAGGUAACGUUUUCUCCGAUCUCAAUUCUCUUCAUCGUUUUCAAUUUUUCACAUUUUUAUGCUUGCAGUGAUUCGCUUUGAAACCCUAAAUCGGGUUUUCAAUUUGAUUUUUACUUGAAUUUGUUUUUCGGCUAGUUGAUUUCAAUGCUAAAUCCUGAAAGAACACUUUGUAUAAAAACCACUUCAAAACGAUUUCAACUCUUCACAUGUUAAUGCAUAUGUAGUGAUUCACUAUUUCCAAUUCAAUUUUCACUUGUAUUUGUUCUUGUUCCGCCUGUUGAUUUCGAUGCUAAAUCAUGGAGGAAAGCUUCGCUCCAUAGUUUCGUAAUUGUUUUCUCAUUUUCAUUGAAAAUAAACUUCAAAGCCCUAAAUAGAUUUCCGAUAAGUGUUUAUUUGAAUUUUCUGUUCCGCGUGCUAAAUCGUGAAAAACACUUCGUAUAAUCAAAAUAAUUUCAAAACGCUAAAUUGAUUUCUGACAAGUUUUUACUUGAAUUUAUUGUUCUGGUACUUGAUUUUUAUGUCAAAACACUUUGACUGUCUUCACAGGAGAAAGAAUUAUGGAAGCUAUGUUGCAUGAUAUGGAGCUUAGGUUCGAAGCCAAGUUUGAAGCCAAGUUUGAAGCCAUUGAAUCAAAAAACGCCGAAAAUUUCAACGCCCUGCUCACUUUGCUGUCAUCAAAAGCUGAGAGCAAGAAAGCUUCCGACGCCGACGCCGCCGACAUUGAUAUUGACAACUUAAAGGAAAGAUCAAAGUUUAGUUCGUGUGUAGGCAUGUUCUCCAACGGUGAUGAUCCGUUCGCUUGGAUCACCAAAUCUGAAGUGUAUUUCAAUGUUCAAAAUACUCCUGCCGAUUUAAAAGUCAAUUUGGCUAAACAUUGUAUGCAUGAUGACGUUUCUAAAGCUUUGAUUAAGGAGGGUAAAGAAGAAGCUCCGACUUGGGAGGGACUGAAGGAUGCGUUGCUUAAAAGCUGCAGCGGCGUGAGUGAUGCUGUGAAUAUUUAAGUAACUAUUAGGAUGGUUGUGGCGGGCUAUGUAUGGAUAAGUAGAUUAUUAUUAAGCCUUAAAUGGUUGAUACUCUUUUGUGCUUUUGGAGUAGUUUGAGAAACCCUCUACUACUAUUAUCUUUUUACUAUCAAUAAAAAUACACUCUGUUUCCUAAUUGCAUUUAUUUCUUGUCUUUCUCUUUGUUGGUUGUUUUGGUGUGUUGGCUGUUUUGGGUGCGCAAGACUGCUUGGUUUGCAAAUGUGUUGCUUUAUAUGUAAAUAAAUAAUUAAGACCUUUUAUAUGAUCUCUUUCAAUUGUCACUUUAGCCACCAUAUCCCAAUGAUGUCGCUAAUGCUUUAAAAUUUCAUCACUGUGAUUCAAUUUCUUCUAUCAUUUGAUUUAUCUUUGUAUUAAAUUAGGGGGAGAUUGCAUCUCUACGUACAAAGUUGCUCAGUUGGAGAGAGACUUACGUAAAGCUAAGCAAGAAACCUCUGAUAAAGAAAAGGUAUACCAAUAAUUGUCUGCAAGGUUGUGAUUCAGUAGGAUGUUUUCUUAAUCAUGAAUUCUAAAGACAUAAUAUACCAUGAUAAUUAAUAUAUAGUUUCAAAAAGGUACACCUAUAAAUGAAAUAAAAUUUAGCCCAAAUUUAACUAAUUGACACUUAAUUUGCUAUUAACAAUAAAUCUUACGCGUCAUAUAUAAAUCUUAGAUUCAACAAAAUUUAUGCUCAAACUGAAAAAAUUACAAUAAUUUACAUUGUAUCUCCUGGUUUCAAGAAUAGUACAACUUCAAAUUUAUAGUAAAUUGUAAAUGUCUUUUUGAAAUGUAAAUUGUAAGGACAUGUGUAUUCUAGGUAAUAAAAUUGACAGUUGUUGAAGUUAACAUGAUUGUUUCCUGUUACUUUAAUAUUUGAUUUUGGCACAUGUAGGAACUGAAGCAACUGAAAGAUACCGAAGAGAAAAUGAAACCUAAGGUUUGAUUAUUUUUCAGCUUUUUAUCGCACAGCAGUUGUUGGUAAACUUUUCUUCCUGAUUCUAUCACGACACAAGACUCCUACGUGGUAUUUAAAAUAUAAUGAAGUGGUGGAUGAAAUCGUGCAUGUGCAUCAAACUUCUAUAACAAAGAUGAACUAGAAAUUUUGAAGAGGUUAUUGUUCUCAUACUCCUGUAUAAGUUAAGGAGCAUUCCAUGUGUCACGCAUUAAAAAAAAGGUUAAGCAGCCUGUUCUUGUAUUUUGCAGAGAACAGAAACAAUAUAUGACUUGCUGAAGUCAGUGUCAAAGGUUGAGAGACAAGAAGCAAGGCUAAAAGCACGACAGAAUUCGUCGAGACUUGGAAAUGUUUUAAUCAGGUAUAGGUGGAGCACUGUGUCAAAUUUUCAUAAUAUUUUUAUUUUGGGUUUCUUAUUGGUUUGAUUAUGAAUGUCAGAGCUGGAACUGUCGUAUCUGAGAUCUGGGAAGAUGGUCCGGCGUUGAAGGAUCUGCAUGCCCAGCUUGUAUGUCUAACCUCUUUCUUCCCCUUGUAUUUAUUUUUCAACAAUGGUAUUUGCAAGUAUGAUCAGAUAGAUGUCACACCCUGUUUUGGAUAAUUUCUGUCUCAAUAUAUCAACAAACUGAUUGUUUGUGACGUAACACAUCAUCGGUAAAUUAAAUUGUCUCUAAAGAUAUUUUCGUUUUCAUUUGUGCAACAAUGGUUUUAUGGGCCUCUCAUUAAAGAUCUUAUAUUCUAAAUAUUAUCAAACUUUCGCCAUUUUGCUUUUUUUUUUGGAUUGAUGACUAAAUACAAUUAUAAGGACGGUGGUGUCUUGAAACUUCCAAGCGUUUUCAUUUUCAGUACUAAAUACAAUUAAAGAACUUAUUAGCUUGUAUAUUUUGUGAAUGUUUCUAUUACUUCUGUAUGGUAGUUUUUUUUUUUUUUUUUUUUGCAAUCAAAACCAUUGCCUAUGACAGCAGUUUGCGUUAGUAAUACCAUGAAUUUCCUUAUCCCUUGAUUUAUGUUUUACAGAAACAACUGCAAGAAACAAAGGAGGAUAUUGAGCAGCAGCACAAUUUAUUCAAGAAAAAACAAUCUGGUAACACCCAGUGUCCUUUUUUUUCCUUUCUUUUAGCACCUGUCUUACUAAACUUGGGGAAGACGUGUUAAGCUGACCGCAUGAGUGACUGUUCUUUUCCUCUUUCCCUUCAUUCUUAGUUUGCAUUUUGCUAUUUAUACAUUACCCUUGUACUAUUAUAUAUCAUGAAUGUGCUCCUUAAGAUGACUAAUUGACAUAAAAUAUUUGUUUCAAAUCAACCUAUCGGAUACUGCUAGGCUAUGUUGUAUCACAUUAUUCUGCUUACUUUCUAAUGGUUUGAAUUUUGUUUUUCUUGGCCCUUUUCUAUGGUUGAAGAUAAGGGUGAUGGAAUAGAUGCAGAGGCUGGAUUGUCGGAAGAUAUUCUCAUUCAGGAGGAAAUCUAUAAGUCUCGACUAGCCAGCAUUAAACGGGUAAGUUGCUACUUCUUCGAUUAUUCUAUUUCCUCUUUAUACUUCUAAUGGUAGAACAAUUUUUAGGAAGAAGAAAUCGCUUUGCGAGAGUGCCACCUCUACGAACUAGAGAAGGGAAGACUAAUUCGUGAAAUGAAACGCAUACUGGAUGAAGAUGCUUCACAGUUCAACAACUUUCAGAUUUUAAACCAUCGUUAUGUCUUCCUAAACCUUCUUGGAAAGGGAGGCUAUAGCGAGGUGUACAAGGUCUAAACUUUACUGUUCAAUAUUAAUCAUUUUAUCGUAUUUAUAUUAAUUUUGUGAAUAUUAUACAAGGUUGAGUUACUAAAACCAAAAUCCUAGAGAGUUCCUUUGCCUUUUAUUGGCAAAUGUAAAUAAAUACUUUUUUGCAGUGAUUUGAAGUAAAAAAUUUCCAGCAGGCUUUUGACUUGGUGGAGCAUAGAUAUGUUGCAUGCAAGCUUCAUGGUGUAAAUGCUCAAUGGAGUGAAGAGAAGAAGCAAAGUUACAUAAGGCAUGCAAUUCGGGAGUAUAAUAUUCACAAGACCUUGGUUCAUCGUCAUAUUGUUCGUUUAUGGGACAUCUUUAAGAUUGAUCCAAAUACAUUCUGCACUGUUCUGGAGUUUUGUAGUGGUAUAUAUACACCUCACUUGUUUUCUUAAAACGACUAUUUUGCUGACUUUUUUGGUAGAUUACGAGUCUGUUUGGAUUGAGUUAUUUGAGCUUGUAUAUAAUGGUAGAGAAAGCUUAUGUAAACAGUUUGAUUUCAUUUUAUCUUUUAUAAUAGAAAUAGCUUUUGCAUAAGCACUUAUACGAUAAACACUUAUGCUGUAUGUGCUUAAUUAAGUUGUUCAUCCAAACAUGGCCUCUAAUAUUGUCUGUUUGAUUUCUUGUUUUAUCUACGCACCUUCCUUUAAUCCUCCCUUGUUUUCUACCAGGUAAAGAUCUUGAUGAUGUUCUUAAGGAAACACCUAUUUUGCCCGAGAACGAGGCUAAAGUCGUUUUAUUUCAGAUUAUCAAAGCCCUUGUUUACAUGAAUGAAAGAACGCCGAAGGUUAUCCAUUAUGAUUUAAAGCCCGGAAAUGUUUUGUUUGAUGAGCUUGGUAUUGCCAAAGUGACUGAUUUUGGUCUUAGCAAGAUAGUGGAGAAUGACGUGGGAUCCCAGGGUAUGGAACUUACAUCCCAGGGUGCUGGAACAUAUUGGUAAGCGAUGAAGAUCGUUGUUGUAGGAUUUCAAAUUUUGAAGUGUUCCAAAUUUGUUAGUUUUAAGCUUUAGCCUCUUUAUUAUACUCUAACUUUGAUGCCCCCUUCAUGUUUCAAUGAUCUUUCAGCAUUUGCUUCAAUAAAACCUCUUUCCCUUUUCUUUUUUGAUUUGCAGGUAUUUGCCUCCUGAAUGCUUUGAGCAGAGCAAGACACCUCGCAUAUCAUCCAAGGUAAAAAACUUUUUAAUUCGUGAAUACAUGAAAAGCUUUUUCUGUGUUAUCGAUUUUCAAUUUGUCAGUCAUUAUGGUCAGUGGACAUUCUGGGAUUUGUGUCAUGGUGUCCGUAUUCUGAAAACAACUAACUGAUAGAUAACCAUCUUUCAUGAUAAUCAGUACUCACUUUACAUUUCUGACUCGUGGAAAACAGGUUGAUGUCUGGUCUGCUGGUAUUUGUUUUUAUUACAUGCUCUUUGGCAGACGUCCUUUCGGGCAUGACCAAACACAACAGAAAAUAUUUCUUAAGCACACAAUUAUUAAUGCAUACGAAGUAGAAUUUCCCUCUGGAUCUACUGUUUCUAAUAAGGCUAAGGUGAGUUGAGCCCCUUUUCUAGUAAUUACUGCCUGUUGCUAAUUGUUCUUUGGCCAUCUUUCAUUUACUUAUAUUAUUCUAUUAUUUAGUGGUGGACACAAUCUUUGCUUGUUUUAGGUUAUAUUUAUUGGACAAAAUGUCAACUUUAUUCCAUGUGCAAGCACAAUUGGCCUUUGUGAUUUAUCUGAAUUUGUUAUUUCAUUCCUCCAUAUCUGAAUUUGUUAUGCCAUUAAAAUGAUGUUGGUUUAAUAGUUGAAAGUAAUUUGGACCAAUGAGAAAUUAUUGGUUGUGCAAGAUAUGUUUUUUAGUUAAAAACUUUAUCCUUCUUAUUAUCACUGACAGAACCAUAAUAAUAUUUCUUAGGCUUGAACAGAGAGUUUUACGGAAUUUCCCUUUUUAUUUUAAUAUAGGAAGGUUGUAAUUUUCAUUUAUGACCCCAGAUAUAAGCAUGCUUACGUUUGGUGUUCACUUUCUUAAUUUAGCUUAAAGAAAUUGAGUUGACUCCCUAUAAAGUGCAAUGCCAACCGUUGAUUGAAAGAUUGUGAUGAAAUACAGCUAUAUGAAAAACGAAUGGUGUAGUUAAAGUCUCAACCAUUAAUUUCCAAUCAAUAGUUAUAAUUCUGCAUCAUAUUCUCUAAGGAGCACUCAUCAUUUUAGAGGAGCCAAAUCCAAAAAUAGUACCUUUUUUAUCUACAUCCUUACUAUGAAACCUGACAAUUAUCUAUACUCUGUACAAUAUUGUCAGGAUUUUAUUCGGCGGUGUCUUACAUAUGACCAGGCGGAGAGACCAGAUGUAUUAACAAUUGCUCAAGACUCAUAUCUCACUUUUACUCAGGAAUAGAGAUGUCCAUUGACUGGUUUGUUACCCUCACCCCUAUCAUGGGGAGGGAUUUCAUCUUCUAACUUCAGUCAUUAAAUAUCUGUCAGAAUUUGUAUAGGCUGUAAAGAUUUUGUAAUCUUGAUUGUGUCAAGAGAAAGGGUGUUUCCUUACUCAGAAAAGAAUCUCUGCUGUCUUUCACGCAUUUCUCAUUUGACUGAAAAUAUUGGAGGUCGUGAUGUACAGGUAGGUGAGAAGGUUCUAUUGAUUUUUAAUAUUUUUGCCACCAAAUUAUAGGAUUUUAAGGCAUAUUGAUUGAUUGGCUACAUUUUGUUUAAAUUUGUGGAGAGUUGUUUUAAAUAGGUGGUACAAAAGUACUACUAGUUCUCAACCAUCAGAUGUGAUGUUUUCCAAUUUCCAUAGCCUCAGUGAUGGAAUUAUCAGUCUCCCCACCAACAAAUCUAUUCAUUGCCAUAUUUGUAAGGAUGUGGUAUUCUUUAUCGAUCUACACCAAGUAUCUGCAACAAGUUACAGACGAACAAGUAUAUGUAGAGUGAGUACAAUUCUACACAUCAACAACAUACUUUACACAUAAAUAUACAUAUAAGUUCAUUGGCACAGGUGCCACCGCAUAUAUAAAUAACAAGUUUUAUGUAUACAAAGAGACACCAAUAUAUUGAAUUUUUACAGUUAACAUUUAAAAAUUAUUCAAACCUCUUCCAAUUUCUUCCAAAGGUCCUUGUCUUGAUAGCAAUAAAGAACAUAUCUGAAUUAUUUUCUGACAACCUCCAUGGUUUAUGCAUCUGUCGUCAUAGUUAUCAUACUUACAUCUCCAAAUUGGAGUUUAGAAUCAAGUAAAUGACCAACUCAACGACUAUGCUUUUGCUCAAAUAGAUCAUUAGCUGAAUAAAAAAAACAACAAUAUUACAGAUAUUUCUUAAAUUGUUCAAAUUAAUAAGCCUUUUUUACAUGAUAUUUCAGGUCAUCAGUUAAGCUUUUCAAUAUACGGAUGGAUCUCCAAGUUUGUCCUAUAAAAAUUGGGUCUAUUAUUAAUUCUCUUUGCAAUUAUAAUCAACUUUGUAAGGGUAACAAUUUUAACACGUUAAUUCAAGCACCCAUCGUCUAUAAAACUCAAUACCCAUCUUCUAAUAUAUUAAUAUUAUCUUUUGUGUUGUAAAGAAUUUAAAAAAUCAACACACUACAGUAGAGAGGUAGUAGUAUUUGUGCAAAGUAGUAGUAUUUGUCUAUUCUUUCAUUACGAGUAUUGAAUUGAGGUUGAUGCAUAUAGUUUUUUUUUGUUGUUGAAGAAGCACAUAUAGUAUUUAUUAUAUGUUACGAUUGAAAAUAAAUAAUUAAUAUUACAUUGAAAGUUAAAAUGACAUGUAUUUUAGAUGCAUAUUUGUUUGCAUAAAGUUAAAAUGACAUUUAUUUUGGGGCUAGCUAGGCAAAACGAAGUAACUUGUAUUCAUGUACUAGACAGGCCAGACUCUUAAUUUUUCGGGCAAAAUAAUAAACUGAAAUUGUUUGAACCUAUUCGUUUCACUUUUAAAUUUAAAAUAAACCAUUUUUUUUAUUGUCAAGUUGCCCGGUGGGUGUAUUAACACACUUUUAAGUAAGUGCAAAGAAGUGAGAAUUUCCGAAUACUCCAACCCUUAUAUAUGAUUGUUUUUGCAGCUAUCAACUUAGUUGUACUUACACGACAAUAUCAACCAAUUUAGUUGUAUAAUGAUUUGAACUCAAGGUAUAUUAUUUAUGAAUUGUUAUUUGAUGGUAGUAAAUAAAAAAUAAUUUUCAGGACAAACCACUUUUUGGUCUCUAAAAUGUAACAUAUUAUCAUGUUGAUCUCUAACUUAUACGACAACUCAAAUAAUUCCUCCACUCUUCAAUUCAUUAAUCAUUUUGUCCAUAACAUUAACUCACCCAAAAUUGUUGACAUGAUAGUUGAAAAUGAUGAGAUAACAUGGUGAUGUGUGUGUGGGAGGGCUAAAAUGAAAGAUAAUCUUAAAUCCUACCUUGAACACCCCACUUUUUCAAAGAAGUAUAUAUGCAGGGGUCGGGAUUCGAACCUCGAACACCCCACUUUUUUACGUUUAUUAUUGCUUACUAUUAUGUAUGAAAUUAUUUGCAAAGGUUCCUUGUACAAGAACACAUAUGAAACAAUUAAUAGUUUGUUUCAAAGAAGUAUAUUUUGUCUACAUUAUUUAUUUAUGAUACGGUUAAUAUAGUUUGUUUCAGAGAAGUAUAUUUUGUUACUAACACAAAGAUGGUGUUCCCCAGCUCUAAGGCAUUUAAGCUACCGCCUACAAGGUCUUCAAAGAUUGUGGCUGCAUAAAAAACCAAUGGAAUGUUGAGACAAACGGUCAAAGACUCACACAUGAUAAAAUUAUAACAAGAGGUCAACAAUCAAGUGAAAUACAUAAAAUUUUAAUUUAUGCAUGUGCAAAUUUGGGUUUAUGUUUAAAUGUUGUUGGUGGCUAUUUCGAUUAACUUGCAUAAUUAUGCAGCUGUAGAUUGUGGUCUACAAAACUUGACUCGCACUGAGGCUAGAUUAUACAGUAGUUUAUUUGGAAAUAAUAAUUUAUAGUCACUUCAGAAAAGACUUUGCCUAAGCUAUUGAGCAAUUGGUCGUAACCUUAUUUAGAAGCAAAAUAUGAAAAUAAGGACCAUUGGUUCAACGUUUCUCAAUUGUAUGCAGUCUAAAGAGAUUUCUAAAUACAUAUAUAGUUAACUUCCAAAGUAUGAUAUGUGGAACAUAUAACAUUGUUUUGCAAUAUCUAAGUAUUUAGAAUCUAUCGCAUUCACAUGGGAUCAUGCGACACUAGUGCCUUUCAAGACUUAUUAUUGUUUUUAAGUACGAAAAGAUGUUUGUUUGUUAAUGAUAAAUGAUAUAAGCAUCUCUUGUGAUACAAUAAUGGAGAGAUAGUAUUCAUGGGAUUAAGUUUUGUUAACUAAUAAUCUAAUGUUCUUCUUUGAUCGAUUAUAUGCACUCCUUCUAUUUCAAUCAUACAUUCAUUUAUGGUCUUGCAAAUAACGAGAGAUCCAUUCUAUCCUCUAACUUCUAAUGUUUUACUCAGUUAGCUGAUAACAUGACAUAAUGUUCCGACAAUGUGUGUGAUUCUAAACCUAACUUGAUGUCUCACAACUAACAUCUUCAAAUGUCUCUACCCAUGUCCCUUACAAAUAAAUAUUAUUUUCAAACUGCACGUCAAAAAAGCACUUAGAGUGAGAAUAGAAACAUCAAUAUAACGAAAUAUGACUUGUAUAUAACCAAUCAAAUCAAGCAUCUACAUCAAAAUCAUAGAAACUAUACAUAAUCCCAUCAAUUGUGGGAAUUAAUUAUAUAUAACCUUACAAUACAUAUCAAGAAAAAGAGAGAGUCGACGUUGAAGACGAUGUCUUGAUCUUCCGUGCCUUCAACUUUCUCACCCUAUAUCACUCUCUAUCUAGUUUUGGAACUUCAGGAAGUGAAAAUAUACAAAAAAUAAUAAAUAAUAAUGAGACUUUCAGCUCCUAUUUAUAGAUUCCAAAAAAAUGAGACCAAGUUUCUUUCAUGGAUAAGUUACUUUAAAGUCAAGCUUUUUAGUUUCGUGCUAGCAAAGUCUCUUUCACGAUUACUAAGUUUACUUUUAUGGUUUUUUCAAAGUUAAGUAAUCUUGCUGGCUAAGAGCAUCAUUUACUCUCUUUAGAGUUUAGAUACAAAAUGUAUUGGAAAAUUUCAUAUUUGACUUAGUUUUUCAUAUUGACACAAAAUUGAGGGUUUUUAUUGAGUUUAUUGCAAAAUAAGUUAACAAAAAUCGUCAUUUUUUACAUUUAUUAACUCGCUUCCAUAUAUUUUGUUUGUCUAUAAACAAAAAUCCUACAAAAAGGCAAAUUUCACAAAAUUUCCAUAGUUUCUCGUUAUAAUAUAAAAUAUAUUAUAUUUAUUAAUAUGUGUAAAGAUGACAAAAACAACUUAUAAUUUCUUAAAAAAAAACUUGUAAUAAAAUACGAAGGAAUAUUAGUUUGUAAUUUGACUAAUAGUCAACUUUUAUUAUGGCACCCUUUAAAAAAAAACUAUUAUUAAGAUAGUAGAGUGUUUUAGAGAUAUUCCUUGUCGAUAUAUAUAUAUAAAGAAGGAAUAUCUCUAAAACACCCUACUAUCUUAACACCAUGAAGAAUUUAACAACACAUUUCUGUCCCAUAUAAGGUGCAGCAGUUGCUUUUUAUUCCCAAUCAUACAACACAUUAACCACAAAAUUUGCACAUUUCCAUUAAGCGUUGUCGUACUUAAAAUGUGCAAAGACUUUGGAAAGCUGCACUAUGCUGAUAUAGCAUCGGAGCAAUGUAGGAACGAUUACUAGUAUUUUGUUGAGAAGUGUACGACUAAAUUUUUAUUAGAAAUUCGCAAAGUGGUUUUAUAAGAUUGCAAUUCUGGAAUAAGCCAUAUGUUUUUGAUUCUAUUGAAUAUAAUUAUCCAAAAUCGAAAUGAAAGGAUUUACUUUAGAACAAAACUUCGAUUCCAUUUCCUAAUCGGGGCUAUUGAAAGGAAUCUUGUUUGGAAGAUGAGUUAGAGAGAUUUACCAGUUCAACUAUUUCUGGGAGGGGGGCUAGCAAAGUGAAUCCUGUUGCGAAUUACAUUCUCUUCAUUUUCAUUACAUUUUUAUUCUCUCAUGCUUCUUCCUUAUGUUUAUUCCAUCUAACUUAUUGUGAAGUUGUUUCAAACUAAUGUGCCUUGAUGGUAUUUCUUAGUAACAUCAAUAGUAUCUGUUUGCUCAUUUUUUUGCAGUUGGUGCUAAUGGAUCUGGCAAAACAAUUUUUUUCCAUGGUAAGAAAAUCUCCUUUUGUGAGUUGGUUGAAACUGGAUGGCUCAACUUGAAUUUGACCCUUACUUCCCCCGUUUCUUUUGUAUCUAGCCAUUCGUUUCGUGUUGAGUGAUCUCUUUCAGUUUCAGAACAUAAGAAGUGAGGAUAGGAAUGCACUACUCCAUGUAUGGCAUAGUUCAUACUUCCUUUUAUAUAUUUGUACUUCUGGUUCCUUCCAAUUGUAGAAUUUGACAAUGAUUAAACAAAUUUUUCUCUUUACAUCCCGGUAAUAAUUUGAAAAUAAUAAUUUCAUUUUUAUUAAUAACAAGGAGCAUGAUUUUCCACUGUUUUGAAGUUCAUUUGCUUUAAUUACGUUAUAAAAACAUCUCUUAUGCAUAUUUUGUUUUAGCCUUGAAAAAAAGAAAUACCACUUUCUAUCGUUGUUUGUUGGGUAAGAUUGAUUAACAUAUAUAAACUCAGGGAAAGAGUCCUCUGGCAGCUGAAUGAUACAGUAACGUGUUACAAUGGUUGAAGGAAAUGAUACUCUCCUAAGAGAAUACCGCACUACUGAUAUGAAAAUAAUUCUCAAGGCUCAGUUGCAACGUUUCCCACUAUACUCUACCCUCCCGUUCCACUACUCCCUCCUAUAUGCAUAUCCUUUCUUUCUGUUAUGCCUUCUAACUGCUCCCCUUCCUUUCCCUCCUUCACGCCUCGCUGUCCCUCUGCAGACUUGGGUUCCCAGGCCUAUUAUCCUUCUUUCUCAUGUGGUACACAUACUUGGCUGGUUUAUCAUUGUGCGUAAAUUGUAUACGUUGCAUGAUUGCUAUAACGACCCAAAAUUUGAGAGAUUAACUUAUGAAAUUCUUAGUGAAAAAGAUGAACAUUUUUUUUUUUUAAAUAAUAAUAAAAGUACCUGAAAACUCAUUGACUUCAAAAAAUUGAAUAAAUAAGUUUCUCUUGAAUUUUCAGAAUAGUAAAUCAGAGUUGUUUUACAUCAAAAUAUAAAAUUCCUAACAACAAGGCUUUCCGCCUUUCACUACCUAAAGACACAUCCUAGCUGGUCAUAACUUUGGACACUUGUGAGAAAUCUCAACAAGGCGCACCAAAGGUCCACAUAUCUCGGAGCCUCCAACCGUAAGUCAUUAUCAUUAUCUGAUUUUCAAAUACGGAAAAGGGUCAACUCCCAAACAAACAAAUAUACAAGUUAUACAUUUAUUUAACAUGUAUUUAAAGGCAUGCAAAUAGUACAAAUAUUAAUAUAAAGUACACAUGUGUCAACACCCAAAACAACAAUGGACUCGACAAAUGCACAACACCCUAAAGGUUGACCUAUAUGCGACACAAAUGAUCCGGAUAUCACCUCCCUUAUAGGGCAACAAAAGUUCUUCGUAGAUAUUUGUGGGCUUCAACCAAUUAUGAACACUCCACCGUGACUCCAACCAAUUAUGGACACCACAUACCCCACGGGUCCCAACCAAUUAUGGGCACCAAAAGAAGACACGAGCCUCAACCAAUUAUGAGCACUCAAAAGGAAACAAUAAGCCUCAACCAAUUAUGGGCACUCAAGACUUCGGAUCCCAACCAAUUAUGGGCACCAAGCGACAAUGAAUGUAUGCAUGCGACACCUGCAUAUUAACUCCACAAAUAGACCACUCACAAUGAGUAUGCGACUAAAUUAAUCAUUGUCUUAACCACCUGCUAGAGACAUUGAUUACACCGACAGGAAUGCUGACUAACAAAAUAUGCUAGACCUCAAUCAAGGCAUGAAACAACAAUUUAUACUCACAACCAAGCAAUAUAAAAUCAAGUUCACAUAGUAUGUAAGCAUGAUACAAUACAUAAACAUGUUAAAAACAUCAUCCUUUUAAAAAAACAAGUAAAUACAUAUAUAAAAUAAAAAAUGGAGCGCCCUUUCCCUUACCUUAGCAAUAUAGCAGCUAUUAAUAUUAUUGCUCCACUGAAUCUACACUUGAUUAGAUAAUUUUCCUAAGGUUUGCUCUAAUCUCUCUAUUAGCCCUUCAUCCUUUUCCGCUAUGGUUCUUCCUUUUCUCUCUAUUCUUCAAAGUGUAGAAUCAGCAAAAGUGGUGACUAAAUAGAAGAGAAGAGGUAACUGAUUGUUAUUAUUAGUGAAAUAACUCUCCCACUAACUCUCUUCCUAGAUGAGUGGCACUAUACUUGAGGAAUGGUAGGUUACACGGUUUUUUUCUUUCUUUCUUCUACACAUUUCUUUUUCUCUACACUAGUUAUCCUAUUGUAUACCUGUCCCAUUUCUUGUUCUAUACUAUUGGCUGAUCAUUAUACUUAAUUAAAUUGAUACUAACAUGAGAUAAAGAUGAGGAAUUCUACACGUGCACACAUAAAAAUAGUAGGAAUAAAUAGUUAUAGGGUACACUAUUUAAUAAUUAAUAUAAUGAAUUUUGGCUAUAUACUUUGAAAGAAAAAUGCAAAAUAAUAUUAUCACUCAAUAAAUCACAAAGGUAAUUAUUUUAAAGUCAAAUUAAGAUAAAAUAAUUUAGAAUAAAAAUAUGAUAAAAUAUCGAAAUCUUACAUUCUACCCACCUAAAAUAGUUUCGUCCUCAAAACUGACUAAGCAAAGUAGAUUUCCCUAAUAAAUUUGAGGCAAAUUACCCGGAUGUUACAAUUGCCAUGUCAAGGAAAAUGACUUUAUCUUGAAUUUUUUUAUAGACUAUAUUGGGAAGAUUCUGAUAAGUGUAGUUACCCUUUUUUUUCCUGGAUUUCGUUACUAUAUUAAUCUAUAUCUUUUAAAAUAGCGGAUGAUUAGGUAUUUAUCCGUUCUUAUGCACCAAGUUCUACACUAUGGGUUUUGCUGCUCAAUCUAUCAACAUAAAGGAUCUAUAGGCAAAAAAAGAAUCUAAUAUAAGAGAGAUUUUGGAUUUAUUUAACUUAAAAGACUUGUGAAUCUGUGAUGACUACUGGAUGCGUAUUAUUUCCAUUUUCCUCUUUUAAUUUUACCUGUCAUUUUUAACUCAUCCAUUUUCAAUGUUGAUGUAAUUUAUUCUUAUUCCAUGUAUGAAAAUCUUUGGCAUUGUUCUCCGGGGUUUGAUUGUAACUAUCACCUACUUCAAGUUGAGAAGUAAUUUGAUUAAUGAUAUGGUUCUUUGGGUUCGUCGGAGUUUUUUUUUUUUGAAAAACUUUCUGAUACAAUUUCAUCAUUCUAGAACUUGCUUUAUAUUAAGUAUCCUUUUAUCGAAGUUUUCUGCAAAAUCUCUCGAUCGGUGCUUGCCGAUGUACUUCUUUAUACAUUGCAACCUGAUAGCUUUCUUUUUUACUUUCUUUAUUAUUCAAGUGCUUUAUCUUUGACAACCACUUUUUUACAAAAUUUUGCACAUGUACUUUAUCUUGGUAUCUAUUUGUGUCUCUGAAUAGGUUGACAAGGAGGAAGUGCACUUACGCCGGACGAUUAGUUCAAAAAAGGACGAAUAUUUUCUAGAUGGAAAACACAUAACGUGAGUGUAAUAGAUCAAGACAUCGAACACAUACUAUACAUUCAUUUUUAUAGAAAAUUGACAUUUUAUCUUAUGCUCUUUGGUUAUUUGAGUAUUUAUUUACCUAUAGCCUAAAGAAAGAUGAUAAAUAAUUUGCAGUAAAGCUGAAGUGAUGAAUUUGCUGGGUUUUCUCGCUCAAAUCCAUAUUAUGUUGUACAACAAGGAAAGGUAUUGGUGCAUGCUGAUGGUACUAUGGUUUGGUUUUUUAAAUUCUUAUGUUGAUAAAAUUCAAAGUAAUUACUGAACUUGCUCAUUUAUUUCUCUUGCCUAGAUAGCAUCCCUAACCUUGAUGAAAGACUCUGAGCGAUUGGAUUUACUGAAGGAAAUAGGUGGUACUAGAGUUUAUGAGGAGAGGCGUCGUGAAAGUUUGAAAAUAAUGCAGGAUACAGGCAAGUUUUUUCAAUUAUUAUCAUUAUUUUUAAAUUUCUGUUAUUUAUGUUUAUUUUCAUGUUAUCGAUGUUAUUAUCAUGUAUUUUACUUUGAGACAGGUAAUAAAAGAAAACAAAUUAUCCAAGUUGUACAGUAUUUAGACAAGAGGUUGAAGGAACUAGAUGCGGAGAAAGAUGAACUUAGAGAUAUCAGCAACUUGACAAGCAGAGAAAAUCCUUGGAAUAUGCCAUAUAUAACAAAGAAGUUAAAGAUGCUCAGCUUAAGCUUGCAGAGGUUAUCUAUAUUAAAAUAUUUCCUUAUUUAUAGUUAUUUGAAUGAUUUUUUUUUACCUUGUUUUGUUUUUGAAUUUUUUCAUGAUGAUUGGAUUAUCAAUUACAUCCAUUUUGGUAAUAAUUUGUUGUUUUUGUUAAUUCGUAAUGCAUGGUUCAAAAUCAAUGCUGAGAUACUAAGAUGACAGAUGUUAUAAUAAAUUCUUAUGAAGAUCUCAUUUUUGUUUUCAAUUAAUAUUUUGCUUGGGUGUAGCUAAUUAGACAGAGUGGCAGAUAGCCAGAUACUUGAGUACUUGAGAUACUCCAGCAGAUUCACAGUCUCAAUUGUUUGGGAAGGUUUUAAUGAUAACAAUUCUUGACUAAAAUCAGAAAUAGAAUACAUCAACACUGUUUACUACCUACCAUAAUACAAUAAUAACUGCCACUAUACAUAUAAAUAUACAACGCACAUAACUGUCCUCCUAACCUAUCCGUCUAAUAAAAAUAACUGUCUAACUGCUUAAUAAAAUAACUUACCGGCCAUACACAUAACUAUCACCAGUAGCUCCUUUUUUCUUUGGACAUAAACUCUCCAAAAUUCCAAGGCCUUGUGCUGUAGACUGGUCUGUCAUCAAUUUGCCUGAGAGGUGGAGGAAAGUAACGACCUUGGUAAAAGUAGAAGCCAAACAAUGCUAUCUAUUAGCAAUGGCAGACUAUGGCUGAAGGCCAAAAAUCCGACAUUUUACGCUGCUGUUUCUGCUAUAAAGUGCCAUGGUGCUUCCGUCCUUCACAAAUUGGCUAUAGCAGUUGUCAAGAAAUCCGCCACUGUAAAUCGCCAUGACCAGUAUUUGACAACACUGGAGCUAGGUCAAGCAGAGAGUAAAAUGCACUAGACAUAUAGCAAUAGCAAAUUAACGAUCUUCCAACUUAGUUGACAUCUCUAAAUUCGUUAUGUUUUGGAGAGACCAGACUACCAAAAAUAUUUGUUUCUCAGAGCAAGUUUUAGGGUAAGUCUUCCACCUCAUUCAUACCCAAAUCUUCCGCUCCUUAGUCUUCUGGCAGUUGGUUACUCUGCCACUCCUCCCCUUUUCUACUCUGUCAUUCCCUUUUUCUUUUGUAAUUGUCUCUUAUCUCUAUUUCAUCCCCGUCCAUUCCCAAUCAGCCUAACAUCUUCGACUCCUUUUAUCCCUGCUAUAAACUUGGGUAAAAUGCUCUCAAAUAUUCAAUGCAAUUAUUUGCAGUUCGUAAUUGUACAACUAAAUUUUUGUUGUUAGUCUUUAUAGAUCAAUAAAAAAUUAGGAUGCCAAAUUUAUAUUGUUAUAGUCUUCUAGACAUUUUUAAUUCUUGUUUUACUCUAUUGGAUUUCUGAUGCCUGAAGGUAAAUGCUUGACUCUUUGUUUUAGAUAGAAGAAGCUCGGACCAAGGUUUCUGAAGUAUCAGCAAAGAUGUAUAAUGAGGUUCUUGAUGCACAUGAGAAAUCCAAUAAUUUGGAGAAUAAUUUGAAAGAUAUAACAAAGGAACAUAAAAACUUUAUCAAAGAAAAAGAAGUUAUUGAAAAGCAACAAACAACAGCAUUUAACAAGCGCGCAGAGCUUGAUGUCAAAGACUUGCAAGAGAAGAUCUCUCGAAAUGAACGUGACAAAGUAUUAUUCUAAUGAUGAUAUUAUGCUAUGAGUUAUAGUUCUUAUGAACAGGGUAGUUCUGUUCAUGAUUUAUCUUUGACCUACAUGGUUUUAGGGAGAUGCUGAAAAAGAAUUGAAGAUAUUUGAGAAACAAAUAGAAGACUCGAUGGAUGAACUGGGAAAAAUCAGUCCUAUAUAUGAUGGUCUGGUCCAGAGAGAAAAAGACAUUACAAUGAGGUAUAAUGUGGUUGUACAUGUCUACUGAUAAUGUUUUAAAGGUUAAUGGUGCUUUACCCCCUGUAAUAUAUGUCAUUUUUGGUUCUCCCCUGUAAAAUUUUUUUUUUUGAUUUAUCCCCCUGUAAUUUUAUUUUUUUUUGGAAUACCCCCCUAAUAGGUCGUAAUAAGCUGUUUUGUAUAACUAAGUUGUUUUGAAUAAGCGGUUUUUGAAAAUGAGGCCGUAAUAAGCUGUUUUUGAAAUAGAGGUCGUAUGAAGCUGUUUUGCAUAAAUAAGUUGUUUUGAAUAAGCAGUUUUUGAAAAUGAGGUCGUAAUAAGCUGUUUUUGCAUAAAUAAGCUGUUUGGAAUAAGUUGUUUUUGAAAAAGAGAUUGUAAUAAGUUGUUUUGUAUAAAUAAGCUGUUUUGAACAAGUUGUUUUUUGAAAAGAGGUCGUAAUAAGCUGUUUUGUAUACAUAAGCUGUUUUGGAUAAGUUGUUUUUGAAAAAGAGAUCGUAUUAAGCUGUUUUGAAUAAGCUGUUUUUUUUUAAAAGAGGUCAUAAUAAGCUGUUUUGUAUAAAUAAGCUUUUUUGAAUAAGUUGUUUUUUAAAAGAAGAUCGUAAUUAUUUGUUUUUCAUAAGAUAAGCUGUUUUUUAAAAAGAGGCCAUAAUAAAUUGUUUUUGUAUAAAUAAAUUGUUUUUAAAAUGUGGUUGUAAUAAGUUUUUUUUUUAAUUUUUUAUGAAUAAGUUGUUUUGAAUAAGUUGUUUUUUAAAAAUAGAUCGUAAUAAUUUGUUUUUCAUGAGAUAAGUUGUUUUGAAUAAAUUAAAAGUUAAAUUACAAAGUAUAACAAUGUAUUGAUUUUAAGAGGAAAAAGGUAAAAUAGUAAAAUUAUAACAUAAGCCCUCCAUUUCAUUUCUUUAUUGGCCUUUUAACUCCAGGAAGGUUUUCCCUCCUUUCUCCCUUCCCUCCCUUUCCUUCCCUUCCCCUCCUUAGCCUUUCCUUUCAUUCCCCUCAAAACUCGCAAACAAAGCCUUUUAAGAUUCAAGUAUCAAGUAUUUUUAGUUGGGGUCGGCUGCUGUGCUCCACUAUCUGUGAUUUGCAACACUGAUCAAUAGCUCUUGCCAUUGUCUGGUACUGUUACAGUAACUUUGCUCUCUUGUACUUCACUUUCCGUCUUGUUUUUUUUAUUUUUGUUUUGCGCCAGAGGAGAAAAAGCUGACGGAAGAAAUUGAACGACUUAAUGUUGAAAUGCAUGGUUGUGAUAUGGAUAUCGAGAGCCGUAGAACAAAUAUUAAUGCUUUGGAAUUUCAAAUGGCCAAGUUAUGUGAACGGUCUAAUAAGUUCGUAUCUUGUCUUUUUUUUUGUGAUGCACUAUAUGUUUUUGAUUUCAUAGUCAAUGAGUAUUUCUUAAUGUUUGAUAUUGUUAUAUUAUAGGUCCUUAUGGAGCAGAGAGAAUGAACUUACUGCUGAAAUUGAUAAACUGAGAGCAGAAGUUGAGAAGACUGAAAAGAGUCUUGAUCAUGCAAUUCCUGGUGUAAGUAGCCCAUCUUAAAAGCUUCUUUUAAAUGUGGUAUUUGCCAAUGCAUAAAAUGUAUAGGUCCCUUGUGGUGUUUCUGAGGCAUUGCACCUUUCACUACGGGUAAGGUACUUUGUGCUUGUUUAUUUUAUAUACUUUUAAACAUUUGUACAUACCCUGUAUGAAUUAACACAACAUGUGUUCAUAGAUGUAAACUAUUGUCAUUCUAAAAAUUUAGGAAAAACCUUGACUUUUCCUUAGGUGUUUUUACAACUAUUUUUAAUAUGCAACAACUUUUGGUCCAAAAGAAGCUGCAGGCUCGUUACCUCCAAAAAUGACAUGACAUUAAGUGAUAAAUAAUGAAAUAGAGCGAUUCGAUUAUAUUCCGUGGUUGCAGUACUUCUUACUUUUUAAAUAUGCUGAAAAGGAAAAGUUGGUACUACAAAUAUCCCACCAUGAAGGGGUCUAGGGAAAAGUCAAACUAUUAUGGUGAAUGAAUUUAAUAAUUGCUACAAGGUUUUACAUUAUUAAAAUUAAAUGUAUCUAAGUGUUUAGAAGUGCCGUUGAUAAAAUUAAAUGUAUCCCACUAAAUAAUACUUGUUCCUUUUUAACCGUCACUUUUAGAGAAAAAAUUUGUUUCUAAUUAACUGUCACUUUCAAAGUUCAUUGCAACAUUAAAUGAUGUUUUACCAAUAUUACCCUUAUAUAUUUAUUGCAGAAAGAGAAACAUAUGAAUUAAAAUAUUAAAUUAACAAGAUCAUUAUAGUAAAAGUAAAAACAAUUGUAUCAAAAGUAGUAACAUUUAUUAAUUGUCUUGGUUUGUGUAAAAUAUCAAAAAGUGACAAUUAAAAAGGAUCGGACGUAGUAGUAUAAGUGUUGGAGAAGUGUUGGUUUGACUUUUCGCAAGACCCAUUUAAUUUUUACUUCUAAACAAUUGACUUUUAAAUAAACAAUUAUUUAGUGCCAAACCAACACUUCUAAACACUUUCCCAUUUAAUUUUUACUUCUAAACAAUUGACUUUUAAAUAAACAAUUAUUUAGUGCCAAACCAACACUUUCUAAUCAACGCUCUCAAAAAAAAAAAAAACACUUUCUAAUCGAUUGAAAUUUAAAUGGGUCUAUGUUUAUGCCGGGCUUAUAUUAUUCAGUGAGAUACAUUUAAUUUUAUUCGAUUAAAGUGUGUUGAAGCGAGUGUUUGAAAGUGAGUUGAUAAAAAAUUUAAAAUCUAAUACUCCGGUUUUAAAUUUAAGCAAAAAUUCUCUUAUCAAAAUUCAUAUUAAUUGAAUAACUAAUUAGAUUUUUUUUAUAAGGCCAUGAGAAAGGUCGGGCAUCCGGGAGAAUCUGCAGCAUCCCAACUAGGUUGGCAUCCCACAGAAACCCCCAUCCUCUACCACCAUUCCAAUACGUAAUAUUAUUAAAAAAAGGGAAAAAUAUUUACAAAAGAGGGGGGACUAGGCCAAAACCCUCAAAAUGAAGAAAAAAGACAGAAAUAAAAAGGAACAGAAAAAGCUAAGGAAAUCUAUAGUUUGGUAGCCCAUUCCUGUCAUGUGCAAAGUCCGCCAACAACGUAGAAGGAAACAUGAUGAAGCAAGUAGCAUCAGCUAUGACAUGUCCUAGGGUUGCUAGGCCAGCCGUACAACCAUUUCCAUCCCGAAAAAUAUGAGAACUAAUAAUCAUCCAGAAAUACCUGCAAUAUAUAAUUUUGUUCCUCUGCAUACUGAGAAGAGACAAAAAUUACCGUAUAUAUAGAGCACAUACAUUCCUCCAAAACAUGAUAUUCAUUUAAACGGUGGAAGAGGACCAUGAGAGCGGGUUUUAUAUGAAACUUUUUGCAUAUUCUUUUUUUUCUGAGACUUGGAAACAACCUGUGUAAAUGGUACCUCGGUAGCUGCUGCCUUUGAUAGCCAAGUGUGCAUAAAAUCCAAGUCUUUUUGUAGCACCGGAUCUAUCUUAGAACCCUCGGGAGCCACAAUACUACUGAUAUCAAGAGUUUUAUUUUUUACGGGAGAUAAAACAGAUAUAGUAUUUCCCUCAAGAUUAUUAGCAACUAUAUCAUCGGAAACAUUCUCAAGCUGCAUACUAAAAUUAUUAUUUUAAAUAACAUGACUAGAAGUAUGAGUUACCACAGGUGACGAAAUUCCUCCCAGAGUGUCUGUGCAGUCUGCCCCUUGGUUUGCUACCAGGGUUGCAUCUAUAUGGUCAGGUAUUUCUUCCCCAUGAUUUUGGUCAUCAAACAUAGGAGUCGGUACAGCAGCAGGCACAACCUCUGAUCUGACAGGAACAAUAUCCUCCUCUUGCACCUCAUGUAAAUUAAUCUGGGCCGGAAUUUCAUCCUCUUGGUCCGUUUGUGAUUCAAUUGCAGAGGAAUUGUUGUUACUUCUGUUUGCUGCUCAGUAACACGAAUAUCUUGCUGAAUAUCAUCAUUUACUUCCCUUUCCUUUUCUAUAAAAAUCGGUGUUGAAUUAGUGCCAUGUGUUGCGCCAAAUGCUCUUGAAGAACCGAUCCCUGAAGGGUUGUCAGUCCUUGGAAUCCAAGUAUCUUUCGUUGCCUGAACUUGCUUUUUCCCAUGCGUUAUUUUUUCUUUGGCAACUGUUAUGUCCUUUGUGAUUUCCUUUCUAGGAUACAGUCUUCUGCAGACAGUGACGUCAUGGCCGAUAUUCUGACAGUGAGAACAGAAGUCGAGCAUCCAUUCAUAGGCCACGGCAACCAGGAAAACAUAUCCUUCCCUCUCAACAACAAUUUCAUGAAAAAUCUUACGGGAGAAAUCCAUAUCAACUAGAAUUCUCGCGUAGUGUCCAAACAAUCUCUUUGUUGUCGCAUUGUCUAUCACAAGAGGGGUUCCCACCGCACUUGCAAUCUCCCGGAGAGUUUGUUCCAUCCAGUACUCCUGCGGAAGUUCUAACAGGCGAAUCCAAACAUGAGCGUGAGUGUUUCGCUGCGUAUGCAUAUUGAAAUCCUUGGACCAUUCAAAAAGUCAAAGGACACCCGGUUUUAGCGUAACUGUGCCUGCUGCCCAGACAUUACAUUUAUCCAUCUCUGAAGCAAAGAAGAAUUCAUAAUAACCUCUUCCAAGAGACAUCAUGCGCCAUGAACCUGCAGUCUUCCAGUGCUUUUGUAAUUUCGAUUCAAUCUCCUUUGUAGAAUAGGCUUUCUCUCCUUUGUUUAAAACCAGACGUCCCCGUAGGUUGGUCUUACAGAAAUUCAUUCCACGUUCAUAUAGGAUCUGUGUGAUUUUGAUACUUAGUGUUUCUCCCAUAAUUGUUGGUGUUGGCAUGACAUUGGGGGCAGUCUGAUGGGAGGUUGUAAGAGCAUGUGCAAACGAAACCUUCGGCGAGACCGAUGGGGCAGGCGGUGAAAGGGCUGUGGCAACUUUUGGAGCGAUUGAGAUAGCAGACAUCUCAGCCUGCCAAUCAAACAUGGCGGCUGAGAUCAGAGAAGGAAAAAGGGGAAGCAAACACGUAAAAUGGUCUUGGAUUAGAAUGUUGUUUUGCUAACUUCCAAUUCUCCAAUGAAUUUUCCAAUUACGUAAACUAAUGGAACAAACGUGAUCCAAUUGAAUUGGUGUUCAAAUGCAACUAAGCCACCACUUCAAUAGCAAACACAAUCAGUGCAGUUCACACUAACAAGAAGCAACAAAUUUAUCCAAGAAUAAUAUACCUGAAUUGAAGAACGACGGAUUGGAAAUUGUAUGAAAAACUAUCCACCACUUCAAUAGAUAAGUUAUUCAAUGAAUGUGAAAAAAAAAAUCUUUUUUUUUUUGUCUAAUACCCCAGUGGCUAGAGCUUACACAAUUAAAUGUGGAGAAGUGAGGUAUACGGGGUUUGAACCUCAGCCCCUGCAUAAAUUAUGCAAUGUCCCUGCGUGAAAAAAAAAAUCCUUUAAUAAAUAAAUAAAUAACAUAAAUGCACCAUUUAGCAAGCUAGAGCCUAGAGGGUUGGUAUUCUUUUUUAUCAUCUACGGACCCCGGAAAAGAUGUCUUGUUUCUCUAUUUCAUAUGUUAAACUUCAUAAUAGAUACCAAUAACUUCACAUUGGAUUCGAAUCAACUUGAGUUGGUUUGAGACAUUGUAGUGUGAUGAUUCUCUUAAAGAUUUUAGAUUUAAUUCACUCUGAUGUCAAUUUCGAUGGAUUAGAUUAACUUAAAAAAACUUCAUAUUGGAUCUAGUGUAGUUUAUAGACAGUUGAAUUUCACUAAUUAACGCAUUCCAAUGUCAAAAUACACCAUCCGUCUCUAAAUAUAAGUAAAUUUUAUUUUUUAAGUUCAUUCAAUUAAUGAUGUAUGUGACUCAUAAUAUAAACUACAUACAUUAUUAAUUGAAUCAACCUAAAAAAUAAGAUUUGUUUGUAUUUAAAAACAGAGGAACUACAUUACAAAUGACAUACAUUACUGGUCUUCGAUAAAAAGCAAAAGCCGUUGAUAAUAACUGCCCGUUUGAUGUCUCCAUGUGAUUGGUAACAAGUUGGGACCAUCAAUGUUUUGUAGAUUUUGUCCAAAUAAAAAAUGUAUGAUUUCCUUUGUAUAUAUAUACUUUUUUUUUUGUCACAAAUAGAGUUUAUUUAUAUCAUUAUAUAAUGAAAACUGUAAAUUAACUACCGUUUGUAAUCAAUUUUGAUCGAAUUUUUUUCUAGACAAAUAUACUCUUAACAUUUUAAUUAACUUUUUUAAAUUUAAUUUUUCAAUAAGCCGAACCGAUCUACCGAAAUUUGUGUUGGAGAUAAUUGAACUUUAGACUUUGAAAGAAGUAAACUGCAAUGUUUUAAGUCAAUCACCAUCCGACAAUAUAGUUUAAGGAGUCAGAAAAUUAACUACUAAUUUUAGUCAAUCUUUUUCAAAACAAGUUUUCUUUUUGCAAUAUAAUUUUUUUUUUAAAAUUUAAAUUUGUAUUAAAAAAAAACAUGGAUAUAUUAACCGGAACGUAGAUGAUUUUAUAGAUAUUAUGAAUUUUCCCUAAAAAAAAGAUAUUAUGAAUUUAAAACAAGCAAAUCAAAAUUAAAAUAGAAUAGAUAAAGUAAAACGUUAUAAUUUAUUUAGACCAAAAAAAAAAACGGUAUAAUUUAGCUUCAAGCUAGUGUCUAGUGAUUUAAAAAUUAAGUUACUUGAUUGGUGUGGAGAAUAAAAUGGUCAAAAAAGGUUAGUGCUAAAGGUGCAUUUGAAAGAAGAAAUGUUACAUCAAAAUUUAGUAUCUUUUGCCAACAAAAAAAUUUCGUAACUUACAUAAUUAAAUGAAGAAUGAUUAAAUUAUAUAUAUAUAUAUAUAUAUAUAAUACUACAUCCCUUAAACUGGGAAAUUCAGAUUAAUUACAAACAGUUGUAACUACAUAUUUGAAAAGACCCUCAUCCAAUUAAUUCAUUCUUCUGCGAUUUGCGAUGGCUCUGUUGUUCGUUCUUUUCAAUCUUAUGUCAAACAUAUGUUCAACAUGUCUUGCAAGCCAUUCGGGUUUACCAGUGAAGAAGAAUACAUUAUAUCCCAAUAGCAACCCGAAUAUUGCCCCACAUGCAUAUCCGAUUGCUACCGCUUUCCAGCCAAAUCCGGAUUCUUCUUCAUCUUCAGAUGUUGAAUGAGGUGGCAGAUCUUCCUCAUUUUUGCAUGAUUUAGACAAUUGGAAUCCACACAACAUUGUAUUUCCUUCAAAAGAAUCAUUUCCAAAUGUAUUAAACUGUUGACCUUUAGGUAUGAUUCCCUCAAGAUGGUUUUGUGAAAGGUUUAAGACUGAGAGGAAGUUCAAAUUUGUCAAAGCCACAGGAAUCUCACCCUUCAAUUGGUUGCAUGAGAGGUCCAACCACUCCAAAUUUCUCAAAUGACUCAAAGAUUGUGGAAUGCUACCUAUGAUUCCAUUGUUUGAAAGGUUAAGUCCUUUGAGAGAAUUUAAUUCUCCAAUGACUUGUGGAAUUUCACCUUCAAACAUGUUAUUUGAUAAAUCAAUAGUUGUGAAAGUAGUCAAUAUCUUUGUUAGCUCCAUGAAAAAACCUUUCAUUGUGACCACAACAGAAUCAUUGUAGUAAUAAGAGUCACCCAUGUAUUGCAAACCAGUGUUAUUGUCAUUCACAUUCAUCAUUCCUUGAAAGUUCUUGAUGCAUGAUGUUGGCAAGGGCCCACUAAAAUUGUUGUUAGAGACAUCAAAAAUUCUCAACUUGGGAAAUGUAUGCUUGGUGCUAGAACAGGUGAUUGCACCAUGAAGAUUAUUUGAUCGUAAACUUAUCACCUGUAACUCUGGUAGAGUUUCUAGCCAAUCAGGAAAUGUAUCCUCAACGUUGUUGUCACCAAGGUCCAAAACUUCAAGAUAUGAACAGUUAGCCAAAGAUUGUGGUAAUGGUCCUUCCAAUUGGUUGCCAUUCAACUUUAUAGUCUCAAAUGCAUUUCCUUUGGAGAAGGUUCUAGGAAUGCUUCCAUAGAGGUUGUUCAUUUGCAUAUCCAAUACAGUAAGAGAAGUUAAUGUUCCCAGGCAUUGUGGAAUCAUACCUGUCAAAUUGUUGUGAGCCAAAUCGAGCAUAUAAAGGGAACUGGCAUUGCAGAAUGUUGAAGAAAUGUAUCCUGUGAAGUUGUUAUUUGAGAGUGAAAAGUAUUUAAUGCCAGAAGGUGGAAUUGGAAGAUCUCCUUGAAAGUUGUUGUGAGCCAAAUUGAGGGUAUAAAGGGAACUUGCGUUGCGGAAUGUUGAAGAAAUAUUUCCUGUGAAGUUGUUAUUUGAGAGUAAAAAGUAUACAAUGCCAUCAGGUGGAAUUGGAAGAUGUCCUUGCAACAUGUUGAAACUAAGAUCAAUGUACCGAAUGUCCUUCCAUGUGUUUAAGAGCUUCUUAUGAAACCAUUUGGGAAUUUUCCCAUGAAUGUUGUUAUUGGAGAGAUCUAACCAUUGCAAAUUAUGUACUCGUGCUAGGAAUUUGGGAAAACUUUUAAUAUUAGCAGAAGAUAAAUAUAAUGAUUCAAGGUUGGGUAAGAUGGAGUCAGCACUGCUAUCAAUGUUGAUAGAAAGAAAACUAUUAUGGGAAAGAUCAAGGGAACUUAGUUUGUUUAAUUUUGAAAAUUGGUGAAAAUCCACAACACCACUCAAGUUUGUUGAUGACAAAUCUAAGUAAGUAAGAUUUUGGAGUUGAAAUAUUGAAUUUGGAAAAUGACCUUGUAGGUUGUUAUUAAAGAGAUACAAAGAUUGCAAAGAAUAUGUUGAGAACUCACCAAUGAACCCUGUGAGAUUGUUGUCACUGAGGUACAACUCUAACAACGAAGGCAAAGAAUAACACCAAUGUGGAAUUGUUCCAUUUAACAUGUUAUCAUCCAAACCCACAUAUCUCAAUUUGGAACGUUUUGCGAUUUCAAUUGGAAUUGGGCCAACUAGUUUGUUAUAUGCUAAAUAUAAAUGAGAAAGAUGAGGUAGAUGAAAAAGUGAUGAUGGAACUUGGCCUGUUAGGUUGUUAAAGUAAAGUGAUAAAUAUUCCAAUUUGAUUAAAUUUCCAUAAACAAUUGGGAUGCUACCGCUAAAGUUAUUAAAUCCAAGAUCACAAUGAAUGAGGUGUUUGAGGUUUGAAAGUAAUGGUGAGAUCUCACCAUUAAGUUUAUUAAAUGAAAGGUCCAAAUAUGUUAGUUGGGUGAGGUUCCACAAAGAUAGAGGAACCAUCCCAUCUAAAUUGCAAUCUGAAAGGACUAAUUGAGUAAGAGACUUCAAUUGACCUAUGGAAUAAGGAAUUUCACCUGAGAAAGCAGAUAAACGGAGGUUCAAGUACCUUAGAGGAGUGCUCCAGUUGGACUUUGGAAGUUGACCACUAAGGUUUUGAUUAAAUGACAAAUCCAAUCUUUGAAGAUUAGGUAAAGAGAGGAUGUCACUUGACAAAUUUCCUUGCAACUCAGUUUUUCGUAGACUAAGAGAAACCAAAGAGGAUGACAAAUUCUUUAGCAUUGACAAAGAGCUCUCCGUAAUGGAAGACAUAUCCACACUAUUCAAAUGAAGCUCCCUUAAAUUAGUAGCAUUAUGAAUGAGUUUCUUCCAAAUGAAUGAAUUGAGUUUCAAUCCCACUUGUUCGGACCAGUAACUGCUAAGAUCAAGUGAUACUAAUUUUGACAAAUGAGAGAUUGUGGAAGGAAUAUUACCAUUGAGGUAACAUUUUGAUAGAUUUAGAUGUGUGAGUUUCACUAAAUCUCCAACACCAAUAGGCAUUGAAGACAAAGAAAAAUUAUUAAAAGCCAAGUUGAGUUGGUGAAGGUGUUUAAGCUGAAAGAUGGUGCUAUUGGGAUGUAAUUCACCUUUUAGAUUGUUGCAACUGAGGUCCAGACCAAUCACGUGAUCUGACAUGGUGUCGCACGUGACACCAUCCCACUCACAACAAUCUGUAUUGUUUUUCCAAGAUUCUGUCUUGAAAGAAAAAGAGGGACAACUAGACAAAAUAUCGUCCGGUUUAGAUGAAGUGUUGACAGAAAAAGAGUUUUUGAAUUGUAACAAGGCAGAGGUGUCAUGUUGGUUGCACAGUGAGAAAGUGUAGGAAGUAAAAUGAGUAAUCAACAACAACAACAAGAAGUGAAAGGUAAAAUAAGGCAAUGGAAUAAAAAAGGAUCCCAUUUAGAGAAACUUAAUUACACUUAAUACUCUCUUCUCAGUAUUAUUUCCUUUUUCCUUUAUGAUAUGAUUUUGGAUGUACCAAUUGAUUUCCCUCUAUUUAGUUAUUUAUAUUCAAAGAAACUAAAGCAUUGAUAUAAGAUGGGUUUGUUUUGUAGUAAGUGCUGGUGCUUAUCUUCAACCGUAUGAGGCACUCCAGUUAGAAGAUUGAUUUUUUUGUGGUUGCAAUUUUUUAGUGAUGGAGUAUUUUGAGUCCAUUAUACUAAUUGACGAGAACAUUCAUUUAUUAGUAUCUUAAAAAAACAUUAAUUAAUUCAUUAGUAGGGUCAACCAAACAUUUAUGAAUUUAUUUUUGAGUAAAUAAUACUACCUCCGGUCCUAUUUAUAAGAGAAAUUUAGGUCAAUAAAAAGUGAAUGUAUGUGGACUGAAUUUUUAACUAGAUACAUCAACUUUUAUUGACCCAAAAUUCUCUUAUAAAUAGGACCGGAGGGAGUAUAAAAUUACUUUAACAAAUUAAUUCUAAAGUUGAAUGAAGAGUUACCUUUAAUAAAUUGAGCCAAUGAAUGAAUUUUGCGUAGAAAACAUAGUAAACAUUUUAGAAAUUGAAUCUUGCAGUGCUCCUGUUAGGUAGUAGUAGCUAGGGGAUGUCUUCUUCAACCGUAUGGAGCACUCCAGUGGAAUUUUUUUUUGUGGUUGCAAUUUUAAUGAUACGAUAAUUAAUUCAUUAGCAUCCAUAGAAAUAUUACAAGACUUGGCUUUAGCCAAAUGAGACAAUUCCAUGAAGAAAAAUGAUAUUGGAACAUAUAUGUGACAUUAAACAAGAGACGUCUUCUACACACAUCCUUUUUAAAAAAAUAAAAAAAAGAACUUUUUUAAAAUGGAGGAGAAUUAUUGUAACACAAAUUAAUUAAGUUGUAAUAUUAAUCAAAAUCGUAAUUUUAGCUAGGGGAUGUUUUUAAUUAAGGUGAACAAAUAGGGUGUUCGGUGUUCGAAUCAGAUCCUUAUAUAUAAUAAUAUAUAAUGUUCCUACCAACUGAGCUAAAUUCUUGCGGCAACAAUCAAUUGUUAAAAUUAGACAUUUUAUAAUUUGGAGUAAAUAUCGAACUGAGUACCUUUGAGAAUAAAAAAAAAUAGAGCUAUUUUGCCCUUAAAAUAUGAAACAUAUUAAUUUGGUUUUUAAUAAUUAGGCUAAAUUAGAUCAGGGUACUUUAAGUUUUAUGUUUGUAGUAUAUUGGUCCUUUAGGUUAUUUUGACAACACAUAAGUCGUUUAAGUUUUAAGUUUGUAACAUGUUGCUCAUUUAAGUUAUUUUGGUCUCAAAUAAAUCCUUUAAGUUUGUAAACGUUUUCGAUUUAGUCAUUCUAUUAACCAAAAGAUGAUGUGGUAAAAGGACUAAUUCGAAACCGUUUACAAACUUAAAGGACUUAUUUGUGACCAAAAUAAUUUAAAGGGUCAAUCCGUUACAAACAUCAAUGUUAAAGGACUUAUGAGUGAUCAAAAUAACUUAAAUGACCAAUAUAUUAUAAACCCAAAACUUAAAGAACUCCGGUAUAAUUUACUCUAAUAAUUAACUGUCAAAGUCCUUAAAAAUAUAUUAAUUGUCAAUCAAAUUAGUCUCUAAUAAGAUUAAAGUACAUAUGCAAUUCAUUUUCUUAAAACAAUGAUUUGAUUUAAAUUUUAGAGUUUUAAGGAAUAAAUAGUAUUCUGUAAAAAACAAAAAAGAAUAAAUUAGUAUAUUUUGUACUUUCUAGAAAACAGAUGAAUUUGUGGACAAACCAGGUUUAGGUAUAGCAUAUGAUAAUUAAUCUCCUAAAACAUAACAUACUAAGGUUCAAUUCAUCCUUUCAAGAAAAGGUUCAACCCAUUCUUAGACUUUGAUUGUAUCUCGAACAUGAUUACCAUCCAAGGAGGUAAGCUAUAACAAGAGAUUGUGAACUAUUUUUGAUAGCCAAUUUAAUAUUGAAUGAUUGUUGAAGAAUUAUGGGUGUCCAACUAUAUUCACUCUAGUAAAAAAUAUGAGUUUUAUUGCAUAAACAAUAAGAGUUAAAAUCACAACAAAAAAGGCACAAUAAAAGUUUAAAAAAAAAUCAAAAAGUGUUUUGCAUACUAAAAAACUCAAAUAUACAAAUAAUAUUAUAUUAUUUAUAUUAACAUACACGAAAACUGUACAUCUCACUUGCAACAAAAUAAUGAGACAAACUGGAGUAUCAGACAAGUAUCAUACGCGUACCAUAUACAUAUAUGAUGCGCUUACUUUAGUGUUUUACAAGCAUCGACACUUCAUAGAAUACCAAUGUUAAUGCAUUAGAUAUGCCGCACAGAGGGUCCCGUGAGUAUAACUCAGUUAGUAGCACAAUGCAUUAUUAUUUGUAGGGGCCGGAGUUUGAACUCUAACCACUAGGCUAUGACAAAAAAAUGAUAUGUCGCACCGAGGGAUAUUUUCCACUUAUUUUAAAUCUUGCGUAAAAAAUCCAAAAUUAAACAUAUUUAACUUCUAACAUCAGUUUUACACUAAGUCACUUAUCUACAAAAUCAAUUUCAACCGUCAUAAAUUUACAUUAGUGUUGCGCCUAAACCAAUGUAAAAGUUACCUUUUAUUGAAGUUUUCUAUAUAUGUCAUACGUCGAAAUUGGUACCAAAUUUUGUAAUGUCUAAUUAUAUAAAACAAUAUUUUUUAAAUAAAAUUUUAUAUAAUAAUGUAUUUGACAGUUAUUUGACAAUAAAACCGAAUAUAUUUAUUUGUAGUUUCUUUCUACCAAUGUCCACAAGCACAUUGAGAAUCAGAUCAUCAAAAUUAAUGGUAAAUUUCAAUUAUGAACUUUCAAAAAUAAAGAAAAAUAUAUAUAUUUGCAGUUGAUAAUAUCAAACAUAUUUACAUUCUUCUUAUUUUUAAAAAUAAAAAAUAUAACUAUUGAUACUUCCAACGAAUUGAUUCUAUUGAACUGAUGAAUGACAAUCAAUUCAAUUAAUUGGUUAAAUCUAGUUUUUAAAAAAUAUUACAAGACUUGGCUUUAGCCAAAUGAGACAAUUCCAUGAAGAAAAAUGAUAUUGGAACAUAUAUGUGACAUCAAACAAGAGACGUUUACACAUGUCCUUUUUUAAAAUAAAAUAAAAGAAUUUUUUUAAAAUGGAGAAGAAUUAUUGUAACACAAAAAUUAAGUUGUGAUAUUAACUUUUUCCACGCGCAACCUGUAAAAUUUUCCAAGGAAAGGCUCGUCACCCUUGACCACAUUGCGUGGCUAGUAGACAUCUCAUACAUGGAACCAUGAUGAUCUUGAGAUUUUUGAGUAAAUGACGUGCACCCAUGUCAAAGGUUGACAGACAAGUCUGUUGUACCAUAAACUCGACCACGGGUACGACCCCCUGCAGACUCGGUCCACAACCCAAGUUUUAUUCCUCCAUCAACCUCUUGCACACCAUUUUCAGUUGUUUCAUCAAUCUGGGCUUGUACUGUACUCAAAAGGAACGAACUAUGAAGUAGUUAAAUUAUAGUCUUAACCAUUGAUUUCAAUUCAAUAGUUAUAAAUAUUGUUUCUUAGUUUUUUGCUCUGUUUCUAUUAUAAAUAUUGUUUGGAUUUUGCUGGUUCUUUCUUAGUACAUCUUGUGCUAGGAAAGACUCAUUGAUUUCGUAAUAUAUUCCAUUUUAACUUCUUAAAAAAAAAUUCAAUAGUUAUAAUUUUGCAUCAUAUUCUCUGAGGAGCACUCAUCAUUUUAGAGGAGCCAAAUCCAAAAAUAGUACAUAUGACCAGGUGGAGGAUCUGAUGUAUUAACAAUUUGCUCAAGAUUUGUAUCUCACUUUCUCAAAGGAAUAGUGAUCUCAUCUUCUAACUUCACUCACUAAAUAUCUGUCAGAAUUUGUAUAGACCGUAAAGAUUUUGAACUCUUGAUUGAAGGGUGUUUCCUCACUAUGAAAGGAAGUCAUGUUGUCUUAUUACAUUUAUCAUCUGGUUCAAAAUAUUGGAUUAGCAAAAGGCAAGUAAGUUUGACUCGACCUUAAAAGGUCAAUAUGUAUAGGUAGGUGAGAAGAUUCUCUUGAUUUUUAAUAUUCUUGCCACCAAAUUAUAGGAUUUUAAUGCAUAUUAAUGGCUACUUUUUCUUUUAAUUUGUGGGGAGAAUUAUUUUUAAGACAUUUGAUUGAACAGUUUAUGUUACAUUGGUUAAAUAGGUGGUACAAAAGUACUAGUUUUCAACCAUCACAUGUGGUGUUACAUUGGCAAUUUGAUUUCCUAGCCUCGUUUGUGGCAUUCUUUAUCGAUCGAGAUGUACACCAAGUAUUCUUUAUUCAAAUGUUUUUAUUUCUUUUAAAAUGGAGCGGGGAGUGAUUUAUAUAAACAGGGGAGGUAUAAAGAAACCAGCAAAAUAGAGUGUUGAUUUUGAGUAGAUAGGUACAAUAACUUGUUAUCUAACUAGUUAUUUUGGAAAUUGUUGGAACAUUGAUGUGAUGCUUGAUGAAAAAUUGGAAGAUUAAACAUCAAGUAAUUAUACUUUGAUCUAAUGUUGUGUGAAUUGAAAAAAUAGAGUGUGGGGGUCCCACAUAAAAUAGAACACACACAUAUUAUUAGUGUUUAAAUUGUGGUAUUUAAUUUUAAAUACUUGAUAAUGAUAAAAAUAAUAGUAAUUAUUAUUUUAUUCGAGAAUAUCACUUUCCAUAAAUUUAGCUUAUGGUGGUUGUGAUAAGAAUAAUAAUUUAAUUAUUAUUAUAUUUCCUUCAUUCAAAUCCAAUAGUUUUUUUCCUCCACUUUUGUGGAUUUGUUUCUUUUGAUCCUAUCCACAAGUGUUGUUGAACUGAUUAAUAGAUAAACUCCAUUUUAAUCUUAUCCAUUAGAGUAACUGUUGUCACAAUUUUUGCUAAAACAGUUACAGAAUCUCUAUAUAAAUAGAGGACUCCACUGAAGUAGAUAAAAUAGUCACAAGGAAGGGGGGGUUUGAAUUGUGACCCUUUAAAAAUUAAACCUGUAACUUAAAAUUGAUUCUCAAGUUGAAACUUGGAAUGGUUAAGUUAAAACAGACUUCAGAACGUUCUGAUGUCUGAUUGCAAAAACAGUUUAAUAAAGUAAAUGUGUUUGUGUGUGUUGUGUAUGCAGUAAGUAAAGAGUAUAGGGAAGAGAGAAUCAACACACAGAGAAUUUAUAGUGGUUCACCCAAUGUGGGUUAGUCCACUCCUCACAAUCUUUUGAGAGUUUCCACUAUGAUGCUUGAGAUAACCUCUCAAAUCCUGCACCUUACAUUCCUUGUUCACCUGAACAAUUACAACAUCUGUAUUCUCUAAGCCUCAGCAGGCUUGCACCUUGUUGCUAAGUUAACCACUUAGACUUUUACAAACUCAGCUUAAACUAACACUUUAGUACCUCUAAAGCUAGAUGAGAUUUGUUUUUCUUCUUGCUAAGUUACCCACUUAGACUUUUUCUCCUUCUGCUCAAACUAACACUUUAGUACCCCUAAAGCUAGAUGAGACUUUCUUUUCUUCUUGCUAAGUUACCCACUUAGACUUUUGCACCUUUAGCUCAAACUAACACUUUAGUACCCCUAAAGCUAGAUGAGACUUUACAAGAUGUUUGAAGCUUGAAUGAUUGAAAUCAGACAAGAGAAGAAAGGAAGGAAGUGUUAUCUUUAAAGAGAUAACAAAGAGUAUUGAUGUGCACUAAAGAAACAAGAACCUUAGAGAUUGAUCAAUUUCAAUUUGCAAGAGCUUCAAACAAUCAAGUUGUUUUCUUGUAUGCUUUGCAAUUUGUUGUGGAGUUUGAAUGUUUGAGAAUCAAACAGAGGAGGAGGAAGAAAGUUAUCUUUGCACGAGAUAACUAAGAGUAUUGAUUUGCACUAAGGAAACAAAAGCCUUAGAGAUUGAUAAAUUUCAAUUUGCAAGAGCUUCAAACAAUCUUUGUUGUUUUCUUGUAUGCUUUGCAAUGGUGCAAGUUUUGCUAAUUCCUUGAUCUCUAUUUAUAGAGUCUUUGGGCUCAUAUAACCGUUGUAGGAUGUCCAAUGGUGUUAUGCCAUGUGUUCUAGGUCCCACAAGCUUUAACUUGAAAUUCUGGGCAAACAUUCUGAUCUCUGAUGAACAUCAGAAUGUUGUUGUGUUCAUGAUGAUCUUCAUCUGGGUUCAUCAUGUAUGAAUGAACACAUGAAGUUCUGGGAUAUGCAUAUGCUUUUCAUAUGAAUUUCUGGACAAUAACCAAUGUAUGGACUUUUCUUCAUACAUCAGAAUGUUCCUUUCCCAGAUUUUGCCUUGGGACCGGUGCAGGAAGAUAUAGUGGGAUUCUGCAUCUUCAUGCCCAUGCUUUGAGGGAUUGUGUGGUCCUUGUACUAUACCAACUCCCAUAUGUGUCUAUCUCUUGUUGAUCAAGACAGAUUUGCUUUUUGCUUUUCACCUACUGUACUGUUCAUAAAGUAAGCAUGUGCUGAGCUGAACAUUCUGACCAUCAGAAUGUUUAAUAUUCAUAAUGUUCUUCGUCUGGGUUCAUCAAGGAUGAAUGUCUGAUGAGUUUCUGGGUCCAUCCAAUACGUGACAUGAGAUUUGUUCAAGUUUUAUCCUUCAAAAGUUACUUCUCCAUUGCAUCAAAAGUUGCUUGAAAAAAUAGGAUAAAGUUGAUUAAAUCUGUCUUGGAUUUGGUGCAGGAAAGAGAGGAUAGUGGAUCUGCAAUCUUCAGGCCCAUGUGUUGUACCCUGAUUUUGGACCUAAAAAUGCUCAUUCAAAUUUAUUUUCUACCACUGAUGUUGGUCAAUUCGCUGUUAUUUUACUCCGAACAUUUGCUCUCUUUUCAUCUGCAUAUUUUAAUGUCUCUGUCUCAAAGUAUGUUCAAUCAUGAUUUUCUUGCAUAAAGCUAUCCAAAAUGUCUUUCUUGCAUUACAAGUCAUUUGAAAAAAACUCUCUCAGAAACAUCGCAUUGCCUUUUCUUGCAUUUUAUUUCAAAAAUCAUACAAAAGGGUAUUUUGGUCAUUUCCUGCAGUGGAACCCAUUUCAAUCCCUGUGUUUGUCUCUGAGUCUUUUCAAUUUGUCUAUACAAAUCUUUGUUGAGUCUUUGUUUAAAAAUCAUUUCAAAAAAUUGCAUCUGAGUCAGUUUAGUCCCUAGGGGCAUUUUGGUCUUUUCCUGUCAAAAUUUUGACAGGGAGGUAUUUUGAAAUACCUCAUGUCAGUAAUUGGUUCGUUUUAGUCCUUUUGUUGAUUUUAUUUUUGUUUCACUUUACGUUUUUUCAAUUUACCAAUUUUAAUUCAAUUUUAUUUUUAAUUUCAUUAUGGUCCCUCAAAUAGUUCCCAGAAUUGCAUUUUAGUCCACUAUUCUUUAAAAAUUGCAUUUUUUUAGUCCUUUUUCUUAUUUGCUGUCCAGUCCUUUAAUUUUGUUUUUUUUGCAGAAAAGUCCAAUUACAGGUGUCCCUCUUUCAUUGGGUCUCGAGCACACUUGGCAGCCUAUAAAAGGUGCAAUUACUGUACAAGUCAGAAUAAGAUCCAUUAAUCACACGCCACCUCAACAAACACUUUCCAAUUUUCUCUUUCUGCUGUCAAAGAUCAAAGCUCAACAAUUUCCAGAAAUCAUGAAGAACACCAAGAACCUUUAAACCCUAACCAUUUCCAAACCAACCCAGAAUCAACACAAAUCUAUACAAAAUAUCACAAAUCAGUGCAAAUCAACAAAGAAUCACCAAGAUCCUUCGCAAUUCUCAGAGAUUCUUCAAAGAAUCAUCAUCAUCGAAUUGGUAUUCCUUCGCAAUUCAAGGUGAGAAUUCGCCAUUGGCGAACUCCAGCACCGAUCACGAAGGAAUCAGUGAGAAGAAGAAGGAAGGAAGAACAAAGGAAUCAGUGAGAGGAAGAAGAAGUUUCCAGAAUCAGAUCAAAGCAACAAAAGAACCAGAUCGAAAUUUCCAGAAGAUCUUCAUCAAGAAUCUCCGAACCAAAAACUCAGGUAAAACUCAUCUUUCUUUUAAAAAGUAUUAAUCACAGUUAAACCUGCAAACAGAUCUACAAAAUUUCCAGAACCAUAAAAAUAAAAUCAUAACCGUAAGCACAAAACCUAGAUCCAUAAGGAUCCAAGCUUUGUAAGCAAGAACAAGCACCAGAGAAGUAACGAACACGAAAUGAUGUAGAUCCUCAAGAGUUUGAGUGUACGCAUUCAAAACCCUAAAAAAAAAAAAAAAAAAACAAUUUUAAAACCGUAUGAAAAUUCUCCGAUCUACAUCGUUUCAAGCCUUGUUUGUGAAAAUCAGUGUUGGAUUCAUGUUUAGGGUUUAAAAUCGAACAAGAAGGUGUAAAAAAAUUGAAGUUCUGGUUGUUUUCUCGUCGGAACCCUAACAUCUCACCGGAGAAGAUGAAGUUUCCGGCGGAACCUUCAUCUUCUCCGGCCAACAACCACCGGAGAAGGGAGGAGAGAGGUGAGAGAAGAGAGAAGAGAGAGAAGCUCUGAGUUUAGAGAGAGAGAGAGAGAGUUUGCAAAUGAAAAAAACCGGAGCCUUGCCUUUUAAAUAAGCCAGUGAACCGGACCGGUCCAGAACCGGUCCAUUCCCCUUUGUUCCUGGCCGUUUGAUCUAGGGUUUCAGGAUUCUGGAUCAAUCAUGUGGCUCCUGUGCGCCCAGGCUUUUAGGUUUUGGGUUGGGCCUGUUUUCCUUUGGAUCUUUACGUUUUUACUAUUUUUUGUGCUAUUCACACCAUUUUUCUUGCUAUUUGAACCAGUGCUUUGAUCAAAAAUCUUGAUAAAAUUUCUAGAAAAUUCAUGCUUGCUUUUUGAUAUUUUCUUGAUGUUUUUAUGACAUUUUUGCAUAUUGAGGUUGAUAAGAAUCUUGUAUGAUUAAUUCAUAGCAUUUUAAUUCUUUUUGGAUUAUUUCUUAUGAAUUUUUUGUCAUAUCUUUGUCCUUGAUUGGUGGAUAUGUGAUAAAGGCCUUUUGAUGUGUUGAUAUGAGAUAAUUGUGCCUAUAAUCACAUGUUGAUCUUGCUGUUUUGGAUUGAUUCAUGAAGCCUUGAUUUUGUGAGCAAUGUAUGCAUAUUCUAGAAAAUAAUAAAAUGCUAAUUCUAUUCCAAAAGAUUGGCAUGAAACUAGGCUUGCAUGUUUCUAAUAAUCCUAUGUUAUAGCUUGAGAUAAAGAAAACCAUUUCAAAAAUUGCUAUAGCAUGAGAAUUAGAGGCCACAAAUGCUUUAGGUUUCAUACCAAAAUUCUUAGGAUUUGUUAUCAUUUUAUUACUAACUUUGUGUCAUUUUAUAUGCUUUUGUCUCUUGUUAAUUUUUAUGCUUUAUUUCACUAACAAGUUUAUCUCUAUAUUUCAUACAUCUCAUUUAGCAUUCCAUUUCCAUUUUUACAUAGUUUAGGUUUUUUUUUUGCAUUUUUACUUUUAUUUGGAAUUGUAAUAUUUAGGUAGAUUUUAUCUCUUUUACAUUUCUUGCAAAGACCAUAGAAUGUAUCUAGGACAAUGUAAAAGGACCAUGGACACUAUAAGUGAUGUACACCGACACAAGCACCGACACGCACACACGUUGCAUGAUAUUCGUUUAGAUGUAUGUUUAGGAAAUGCGAAUACUUAGAAAAACUUUUUUUUGAUAAAGUGAAUUAAUUCAAGUUUUUUUUAAAUAAAACUUUGGAGUCAAAACUCCAUUAGCUUUCCUUUUAUUUUCUUAAGGAAAAAUUCAAAUGAAUCUUAAAUGCAAUUUAGACCAUUUUCUUAACAAAUUGGACAAACCUCACAUUUUUACUUCCCAUGCCUUUAAGGCCCCUUCCUCUUCUUCAAAACUCCUUAUUUGCAAACAUUUAAAAUCAAUUGAAACACACUAGAAUCAACUAAAAAAAUCAAAAAUCUUACAACUUCUCUCCCCCAUUCUUAACUAAAUAAACCUCCCAUUUUCAAAAAUAAGUAAAAAUAAGCGUAAAUGUAGACUUAAGAAAGCGGCUCCUAUAGAGGACUAUAGUCAUUCCGGGUGCCUAACACCUUCCCGUAAUGAAACUGACCCCCGAACCUAGGUUUUUUUUAAAAGGGUUUUUUUUCUCGAUUCACCCUCCCCAAAAAAUAGAGAUUAUCAACGAUUGAAAGGUUCAAGCCUAAUCAUUGACUUGACACCCGAAAAUCACGAUAACACCAUGCUUCAAGGAGAUUUGCUUGAUUCAUCUCAGAGUACACGUUAUCUUUGAUGCAAGAUCUCUUUUGCUAGCUUUUCCAUCUUUCCACCAACUACACUGUUCAUGGCUGGAAGCAUGUGCAGAAGUGAACAUUCUGAUCUCAGAAUGUUCCAUUUGUUCUUACUUUAGGUUGAUUUAUAAGACUUAACUUUUAAUGUAAUCAAACCUAAUAGUAAGAUACAACUGAAGUGCAGUGAAUGCAUCAUCUAGGACAAUAUUCUCUUUGGAAUAUUCCUAGUACUUUAAUGUUCAUAGUCUUGGAUGAACAUUAAAGAUCCUUUUGACAUAGAUCCUUGUCCAUGCAUUUAUUUGUUGAUAGAUCCAUGCAGAUGUACUUUUCUGGACCUUUUAUUCAUGUCAAGUGUACUUGCAUGCUCUUCACGUUCUUGAUGAAUCUGGGUAGCUUCUGAACAACCUUCUGAACUGGGUUGCUUCUGAACUCUCAUCAGAACGUUCUGAUCAACUCUCUGAUCAACAUUCUGAACUAACUUUCUGAACUUCAGAAUUAGUUCAUGGAUUCAAUGUCCUUUGAUUUUAUGCAUCUUGGUAUGAUUCAAACCUUGUUCUUGUCUUAGUGAAAACACUCAAGAGCACAAGUUAAAUACCAAGGAAUUAAUCAAAGUCCAUUUAAUCCUUAAUCAUUAAAGUUUAUUAUCUUUAAAAUUAAUUAGGGAUUUUGCCUCAACAUCCACUUAAUUCAAAAACACACUGAAAUUCACAGCUGACGUUCCUGUGUUUUUCAUCUCUUCUCCUUCCUUCGACUUGUGUUGACAAGUCCUUCUCCUUUUUCUACUCCUUUCUGUCCCUUUGGAAAUAAGAGUGUUCUUAAGACCAUAGUCCCUUUUCGGUUUAAUGUCCCUUCGGAAUUAAGAAUGGUCUUGAAACAUAGUCCAUUCGAUAAUAUAUGUCCCUUCAGAAUAAAGAGCACUUUUAAGAUCAUAGUCCCUAUUUGGAAUAACAAUGUCCCGUCGGAAUUAAUAAUGAUCUUAACGGUAUAUAUAAAAAGUAUUUCAAUAUUUUUCUAUUUGAGGAGAAAUGGUGGUAUCACCAUAUUUAAGUGGUCGUAGUACCAUAUUGAUAGUUUAGAGAACUUAAAGUUAGAAUGAUAUUAACACCAUAUUUGAGUGGUCUCAACACUUGUAGCAGUGCUUGUUUUAUCCUGGAGGUGGCGUGGUUGAUAGUCUGCCUUGCACAAUUUUGGACAAUGUCACGAAACGUCUUAAAGAGAGCGACCUGAUCGUGACUCAACCUAAUAACAACUUCGGUAGAUAAUAGAAUUUGGAAAUCCAAAUACAACAAUUUGGAAAUCCAAAAACAACAUAAAUGUAGUUAAACUUAUUAUUUUCAUAUAGUACUAAGUUGUUUUCAUUAGCCGUCAUUGGAAGCUUGCAGAAAUAAGCUAUAAAUAGCUUAUGGACAUCAUGCCAUGUUAUAAGUCCUCCUUAAUACUUAAAUGAUCACUUAUGUCAUAAGGUAAACCUAAAUAAACUGUAAACUAUAUAUCAUUUUCAGUGUAGUUCCUAGUUUCAUCAUUAUUGGUGUAUUGGAUUACAGUUGGAUGCGGUCAAUUUGGUUCUGUUUGGACUUAAUGCUAUCUUAAGUAAAUUAGUCUAAUCUAGUAAUUUAAUUGUUAAAGAAGUGCAUUGUGCAUGAUAUGUUGUGUUGUCAUGAUAUGCUAUGCCUAUUUCAUAGUGCAUGUAAGACUUGCAACAAGAAAGUUACCGAAAGCACGGGUCAGAAUUGCUAUAUGCUCAGAAUGGGGCAGAAGUGUCUUCUUAAGCUACUUAGAGGCAACCUGAGCUUGAUUGAAGCAAGGAGCAAUAUUUAGGAAGCAGGUAAUGUUUUAUGCUCUUGAAAUUGCAAUCACAAGUUUGAAGUCGUGAUUGUUGUAUUUAUUUGUUGAUUGAUUUCGAAAUUCAUGCUGCAGGCACGUGAGAAGUUUAUGUCAUUGAGAAAAAGCACUAAGUUUGAUGAUGCCACUGCCACAGAUGAGGGAAGUCCAGUGGCUCAUAUUUGGCAUAGUUUUGACUCUAGGUUCAUGUCAAAAUAGGAAGCUUGUUUCAAUAUGGUAAUAUUAGUGGACUGUAUCAUUGAAUAUUCUGUGAUUUUUUUUCUAUAAUUUUUAUUUUUAUAGUUCUGAAAUACAUUAUUUUUUUUUAAAUAAAUAAACCAAUUUCUUGCCGAAUUACCAACGGAUUGGUGUUCUAUUUUAACGUUUCAUCGCGCUUACGGGCAAGAGGACUCCUCAAAACCUGACCGAAUGUUUACUGAGAUUUUUUCACUUUUUUUGCGGAUGUACUUUUCUUGCAGAUCCUAAAAUCCUAAUGGGUGUUUGGAUUGAGGGUUUAGGAGGGGAGGUGGACCAUCAAUAUAUUCCUAAGGGUCUAAAAGCUAUCUAGAAAGGCUCAGGCAUCCUCCGGGAGGGCUCCUAAAGUCUAGGCGCCGCCUUAUCCAACUUCUAGAAACACCUAGAACUGGGUGAAAAGACCCAAAGCCCAACUUAAUUAGGGCUUAAGUCACACUAUAACCAGCCCACAAAGGGCUAUAAAUACCACUAUUAAGAUCAUUCUUAAGGCAUCACAUAAACAGAAAGGGAGAUGAUAGUUUACUUUUCGUUUUUAAAUUAUGGACUAUAUAAAAGUUUUUUAAAAAUAAAUUAUGUGUGAUUGAAGUAUUAUAUGAUCGUUUAUCAUGUUAAUAUGUUAACUUUUUAUAAAACAUUUCAGUGUCUGUAGUUUAAAAAUGAAAAGUAAACCAUCCUCUCCCUUUCCCUCGUAAACCCUCCAUCCAAACACACCCUAAGGAAACAACUACCCACGAAGGUAUUACCUGGGAAUCAAAAUCCUUAGCAAAAUCUGUAGGAGACCCUUUUCUUGCGGAAUUUGUACCAAAAUUCGUAGAAAAAUCGAGAAUUUAUAGUAGUAUAAGUAUAUGUACAUGGAGUACAAUUUUAGACAUCCGCAACAUGCUUUACACAUAAAUAUACACAUAAGUUCAUUGUCAAAUGUCACACUAAAUAAGUCAAAGGUCACAGUAAAUAACAAGUUUCAUGUUGACAAAGGGACAGGGGCGGAGCCACCCCCUCAGCUCCAAUUUUCUUUCUAGCAAGUCCAGCUAUUACUAGAACUUUUAUCUUUUCCUGCGGAUUUACCUGCGAAUUGUUAUGUAAAUUCCAUAGGAAACACAUUUCCUGCAGAUUCCGCAGGAAAUGUGAAAUUAUUCGCAGGAAGGAAGUAACAUUUUGCAAUAAUUUUUUUGCCCAGGCUCUAUAAAAUUUCUGGCUCCACCACUGGAGACACCAAUAUAUCUAAUUGUUACGGUUAACAUUAAAAAAUGGGUUCUUUUUCAAAAAACAUUAAAAAAAUGGGUUAAAUAAUGUUUUACUCCCGAUAUUUGAGCGAGUUUUGAAAAAAUCCCUGUAAAAUAAUUUUUUAUAGAUCCCCUUUGUAAUUUAAAAAGGAGAAAACUUAGGUACAAUUCAUUCCGUGCUUUUUGUACGGUUCUUUUUGUACGGUUCUUAACUAAAUUCACCAUGACUUCCUCAAAUUCAUAAUUUUCUCAAAGUUUGUUAUAACAAAAAAUAUGUAUUUUUAGUUAAGAACCAUACAAAAAGCAGAAUUGUACCUAAGUUUUCUCCAUUUAAAAAUUCCAUCUAAAACAACUUUGACCUCAGCUGACUAGGCAACUAAACUAAUGUGGCACGCUGACUGGACAAAUUAGUUUAUUUUUCAAUUUUUUUAAAAUCCAUCUCACAUUUUUGAAAAAAAAUUAAAAUGAAAAUUAGAUUAUUAUUAUAAAACAAAAGGAAGAAUCGCAAAACCUAAUGUGCUUUUUCAUUAACUAAAGCACAUUAAUGCACUUCAUUCCCCACCUAAUGUUUUUAACUAAAGUCAAAACCUAAUGAAAAACAUUAAUCGCAAAACCUAAUGUUCUUAACUAAAGUCAAAACCUAAAGUACUUCUUCAGAAUAGCAAAACAUUUUUUUUAUCCCCUUCUAAAACCUAAAUAAAUAACUAGAAAAAAAAAAAAAAAAAGGAAAAUAGAAGAAGAACUGACGGAAGAAAAAGAAAGAUGCAAGAAGGAAGAAGAAGAAUCGACGGAAGAAGGAAAACGAGGGUUAGGCUUUACAUAAACUCCAUAUUUGCAUGAUGCCCUUCUUGUGGAACAUACUUUAUUGAAUGAUACCCUUCUUAAAACAGCGUUAUAUGCUUGCUGAGAGUACUAAAGAAUUAGUGGAAACAAGGAAGAGUAAGAAAGGAUUAUGUUGUACCAAAUCCUCACUAGUUAUUUGAUGAGGUCAAUGCUGUUUUUUAUGGAGAGAAAAAGAAUGAAAGGGGGAUCUAAAUUUUUUUAUUUCACAGGGGUUUUCAGAAAGGGAGAAAACAUUAAUUAACCCAUAAAAAAAUAUUCAAACCUCUUCCAAUUUCUUCCAUAGGUCCUUGUGUUGAUAGCAAUAAAGAACAUAUCUGAAUCAUUCUCUAACAACGUCCAUGGUUUAUGCAUCUGCCGUCAUAGUUAUCAUAUACAUCUCCAAAUUGGAGUUUAGAAUCGAGUAAAUGACCUAUUCAACGACUAUACUUUUGCUCAAAUAGAUCAUUAGCCGAAUAAAAAACAACAAUGAUCCUUUUUGGUCUAGUGCACUAAUAAAAUACUAGUAUUAGAUAUUGGUAAUGAAUAUUAUAGAUAUUUCUUCAAUUGUUCGAAUUAAUAAGCCUUUUUUACAUGACAUUUCAGCUCAUCAGUUAAGCUAUAUUCAAUUUACGGAUCUCCAAGAUUGUCCUAUAAAAUUAGGUUCUAUACAUAAUUUCUUGUAAUCAUGAUCAAACACACAAUUAUUUCCAAUCAUGUAAUUACAAUAGUUUGAUCUUCAAUAGAACGAUUAGUAUUUCAUCUUUGCAAAAUUGUUAAGAGUCCCACGUCGGAUAGGUAAUGGUCUGACAAUGUGUUUAUAAGUGGGAAAUCCUCACAUCACAAGCCGGUUUUGUGGCCUGACGAUGUGGCUUUGUGGACUCAAAGGAUUUCAAUGUUGAAGCUCUGAUACUAUGUUGAAAUGGGGCCUAACUCAUCCUUACAAAACCGGCUUGUAAGGUGAGGAUUGCCUCCUCUUUAUAUACUCUUCUCAAGAGUCUUAUCUAUCCGAUGUGAGACUUGAGUUUUUUCCAAUACACCCCCUCACGCCCAACACUGUUUGGACUCUCUGGGCUUGGUGCGUAAAUAGGUUUAGGCGGCCCUUGAAUUCGACAAGCUCUGAUACCAUGUUAGACAUGGUGGUUGGGCCUAACUUAACCCCACAAAACCGACUUGUGAGGUAAGGAUUACCCCCACUUAUAAACACAUUGUCAGACCAUCACCUAUCCAAUUAAGAAAAAUAGAUCUAAAACAGACAAUUAGAUCAUGAAUCAUCCGAUUAAGAUAAUAAAAAAUCAUAUAUAUAUGCAAUUUUUGGACUACACCAAUUAUUUCAAAUUUUGACCCCUAGAAACCACUUUCCUAUAAACAUAUCAACCUACAACAAUUUCACAAAAGAAAAAAAAAAGUUAAAUAAGUUUUUAGUUUCUAUAAAUAUAACAAAUUUCAUUGUUAGUUCUCAUAAAAGAAGUGACAAAGUUUCGAUCCUCAAAUUUUUCAGCACGUAGUUUAAAUUAUUAUUAAAUUAAAAUUUGAUUAAAUUUUUAAAUUUUUGAUUGAUUUUUUAUGAGUAAAUUACACUCCCCUCCCCUCAAAGAUGCUUGAAUUACACUCCCCUCCCCUCUUAAGUUAAAAUAUACACUUUACUCCCUCAAUAUUUUUUUUAUGUUGAAAUUUAUACUCCCCUCUCUUAUAAGAUGCUUGAAUUACAAACCUCUCCCUUAAUAAUUAAAUAUGCACUACACUUUAAUCUAUUUGAACAUAAAUAAAUAUUCUUAAUAUAUAUAUAUAUAUAUAUAUAUUAAUUUUGAAUCACCAUUUAAGAAAAAUUAAUUCACUUCUUUAUAGUUUAAAUGUCAUGAUAAUUAAAUUUAAAUAUAUUGCUAUUGUUUUUAUAAAUUAGAGUAUAAAAUUAACUUUUAAAUAAUCAUGUUUUAAUGAUUUUAGUAAUUUUUCACAUAUUUUAAUUUCGUUUUGGGUUGUUUCAUGUUUUAUAAUAGAGUUUAAAACUACAUGUUAAUGAAAUUGUGAAUAAAAAAUAGCGAAAAAUAUGUAUUCAAUUUUUUAUUAUAUUAAAAUAGACCCGCAAUAAUAUUUUUUUUAAGUGUGUUAAAUUAUUAUUUUUUGCUAGAUUAUUAGAAAUAAUAAAAAAGAAUAUUGAGGGAGUAAAGUGUAGAUUUUAACAUAAGAGGGGAGGGGGAUGUAAUUCAAGCUUCUCUAAGGGGAGGGGGGUGGAAUUUUUUCUAAUAUGUUUUGAAUAAGAGGGGAGGGGAGUGUAUAUUUUAACUUAAGAGGGGAGGGGAGUGUAAUUCAAGCAUAUUUGAGGGGAGGGGAAUAUAAUUUACUCAUUUUUUAUAGACAUGUUAAGAACAUUAUUAAAAACUUUUUUUUUUUUUAAAAUUAGAACUUUUUAACAUAUAAUGAAUUAAAUAUGAAUUUUUUUAAACAUAAAAAUUUCAAGAUAAAACUAAUGAAAAUUUAGAUCUAAAAAUCAAAUUUUAAGCUAAUAUUUUACAUAUGAACUUUUUAUAAUGUUUUAAACAAUUAUGUAAAAAAAAUCACUCAAAAAUUUAAAAGUUUAAACAUAAUUAAACAAAUUUUAAUUUAACUAAAACUACAUGCUGAUAUUUUUAUAGAGAUCAUAAUAUGACACUUUUAAUAAGGAUUAAAAACAAAAUUAAGUAUAUUUAUAAAGACCAAAACAUGAUAUUCUAUCAAUUUAAAUAAAUACAUUGAAGAUAUAUUUUUAGUUCUUUUGUUUUCUGGUCGGUAUUUAGGGAUAAAUUACAUUCAAUUGGUAGCACAACCAAAUAAAAGCAAAAUUUGAUAUCAUUCAACAAAGAUGUGUCCUUUUCCGACCCUUAACUGAUUGUAAAGCCCACACAUGUAUUUUCUGUCUACCACAUUUUGGUUGGGGAUGUGGCUGUUAGUUUGUUUUAAUUCAAGUUUAGUUUUAGUCAUAAUCAUAAUCAGUGGUUAAUCACAAGUUUGUUUUAGCUUGUUAUGAAGUUUGUUAGAGGUUAGCAAAUAAGGUUGUUAGAGUUUGUUACAUUGCUUGUGCUUCAAGCAACGUUUAGACUUGUAUAUAAGACCAUUAUCUUGUACAUUCAUUAUGUAGAAUCAAUAAAGAUCAUUUACAAUUUUCAUCAUAACUUUCUUCUCUCUCAAUUCUCUCUUAUUCACAUAAAACCUUAGAAUCAGAAACUGCUUCUGAACAGUGCUUCUGAACAACUGCUUCUGAACAAAGCUUCUGCUUCUGAUUUUCUGCGCUAUCAAAUUGGCAUCUAGAGCCUUUGGUUUCGUUCUAAGGGGUAAUCAAGAUCUUCAAUCACGCAAUUUGUAGAAAGAAACGCUGAAGGAAUCACCAUGAAUGGUAGCAGCAGUUUCAACACACAUCUUCCAAUUCUUGAAGCACGCAAUUGGGAAAGAUGGAGUGCGGUGAUGAAGAAUCUGUUUGGAGCACAAGACCUGUUGGAAAUUGUGCAGGAUGGUGUACAUGAAUUAGCUGCGAAUGCUACUGAGGUGCAAAGGAACGCACACAAGGAAUUGAAGAAGAAAGAUUGCAAGGCUCUGUUCUUGAUUCAACAAAGUCUUGAUGAAGGAAACUUUGAAAGAAUCUCAAAAUCACUGAGUUCAAAGGAAGCAUGGGACAUUCUUUCAAAGUAUCAUGAAGGUGAUGAUAAAGUGAAGUUGAUUAAGCUUCAAUCUCUGAGAAGGAAAUUUGAAUUGAUGCAAAUGGAAGAUGAUCAGAAGAUUUCUGAAUACAUCUCUAAACUCAUUAAUCUUGUGAAUCAGAUGAAGGCUUGUAGUGAAGCAAUCACUGAUCAACAGAUAGUUGAAAAGAUUAUGAGGACCCUAUCUUCAAGGUUUGAUUUCAUUGUGGUGGCAAUUCAGGAAUCAAAAGAUGUUAAGACAUUGAAGAUUGAGGAGCUGCAAAGUUCAUUAGAAGCUCAUGAAUUGAUGGUUUCAGAAAGAAGCAAUGAAAGAUCAAUUCAACAAGCCUUGCAAGUUCAAACUAUCAAGAAGGAUGAUUAUGAUAGGAAGAACUUCAAGAAAGGAAAGAAAAACUCUAAGGGAGGAAACUGGUCUAAAGGCAAGAACAAUGGAUCUGAUAAAGGUGAAUCUUCAAAGGAAGGAAAUUCUAAUCAAAAGAAGAAAGUUGAUAAGAAGAAGAUUCAGUGUUUCAAAUGUGAGAAAUUUGGACACUAUGCCUCUGAAUGUUGGUCUGGUAAAGGAAAGCAAUCAAAAAAUGAUGAAGAGGAAGCCAAAAUUGCACAAGAUGAUUCAGAUUCUGAAUCAUUAUUCAUGAUUGUUAUCAUGGUUUUUGGGUGCCAAGCCAUUAAUUGGACUUGUACCUUUCGACCGUUGAUAUCUCUAUUUUUUCUUGGGAAGGGCAAAAUUGAGAAAAAAACCCUUAGAUUCUAAGUUCGGGGGUCGUUUUCGCUACGGGAAGGUGUUAGGCACCCGGAGCGAUUAUGGUAUUCCAUAAGAACCGUUCUCCUAAGUUUAUUUCUACGCUUUAUUUUUAUUGCCUACUUAUUGAAAGAAAAGAAGUUUUAUUUGAGUGAAGAAUGGGGGUGAGAAGAAGUAGAAUUUUAAUUUUAUUUCGGCUUGGAGGGGUUAAAGUCCCUUGCCUACGUACCGUUUUACGGGAUCAAAACCGGCGUAGUUCUUGCUAAAAAGACUAUUUUUGUUUUAAUUGUUUGAUUUUAAGUUUUGAAAAAAAGGUUUUGAAGAAGGAGAUUGGGAGGCUUCAUGAGCAUUAGAUUUAGCAAAAAAAGUGAGGUUUGAUUAGUGAUUAGAAAGAAAGUCUAAAUGAUUAAGAUGAAUUGAACUUUUCUUAAGAAAAAAGAAAGGAAAAAAUGAAGUGUUGACUUCAUACUUAUUAUGAAAAUUUUUGAAGUGAAGUUCAAUUGUUUUUUUUGAAAAAAGAUGGAUUUUCCCUAAGUGUUCAAACCUAAGCGCUUACCUAACCAUACAAUCCUAUGCAUACAUCUAAGGUGAGUGUGUGCGUGUCGGUGCGUCAUAGUGUCCAUAGUCCAUAUUACAAAAAUUGCCUAAAUACAUUCUAUGGCCCCUUUGCCAAGCUACAAACCAAUGAUAACAAAUUACAUUACCAAAUGAAUUAAAACUUGCAAAAAAAAAUAAAUGCUAAGCUAAAGAAAGUGGAGAGAGUGGUGGAAUGCUAUGAAAUGUAUGGCACAUGAGAUGAAAUGGUUAGUAAUCAUAAAGCACACAAUAGUAGGAAGUAAUCAAAAGGAAAUGCAUAAGAAUGGCAAAGAAAAGGUAAUAAAGUGGCAAUAAACCUAAAAAACUUUGAUGUGAUACCUAAAGGUGCUUGUAACCCAUAAUCAUCACAUCAUGGCAAUUUUGCAAGAAAUUUUGUUUCAAGCCAUGACAUGAAAUUAAUGGAAACAUAUGCAAGCAAGGUAUCACACCAAAUUCAUAGAGAAAUUUGACACUUUAUUCUCUAAAACAAACACUUGUUGCUUGUAAAACAAGAAAUCCAUAAAAUCAUAUUCAAAACAGCAAAAAGAAGCACAUGUCCAGAGGCAUAUUCAUCAUAAGAUAUGGUAUCAUUUAUUCAUAACACACAUCAAAGUAUCAAGAACAAAAACAUAGCAAAAAGUAUACCCAAAAGUGUAAAAACACAUGGAAAUUUGUUCAUGCCAUUUUAAUAUUUUUUUACAUGCAAGAAAACACCAUAAAAAUGCCAAAAAUAUACCAAGAAACAACUAAGAAUUUUUUUAGGAAUUUUUAUAAAAAAUGUAGGCAAGUAACAGGUUCAGAUAGCAAGAAAGGCAGUGCAAAUAGCAAGAAAAUAACAAAAAAACGUAAAAAAGGACUAAGCCCAAACCAAAGCCCAAACCUAAAAGAUCCGGAUGCACAGGGAGCGUUGGAUUGAUCCAGGAAAGGAAACCCUAGAUCCAACGCUCAGGAUUGAAGGGAUUGGACCGGUCUUGAACCGGUCCGGUUCAGUUGUCUAUAAAAGGGAACUAGCACCGGUUUAAUUCAUUUUUGCAAAUCCUUCCUCUCUCUAACUCUUCUCUCUUCUCUCAUCUCUCUCUAAACCCUCACCGCCGGUGAGGAUGAAGCCACGGCGGAGACCUUGAAGGUCCGCCGGAAGCUUCAUCUUCUCCGGCGCGCCUAAGCACCUCCGGUGACCUAAAUUUCCAGAACUUCAAAACUUCUACAUCAAACGAUUCGUCUUCUUAUUCUAAGUAUGAUUUUGGCACUGGUUUUUACAAACGAAUCUUGAAACGACGUAGAUCGGGAAAAAACUUCGUACGGUUUUGAAACUGAUUUUGAUCUUUUUUGAAAGAAAACGUUUAGAUCUUUACGGAUCUACAUCGUUUCGUCGUUUAUUGCCUCUCUAGUGCUUGUUUUCGCUUUCAACACUUAGAUCCUUAUAGAUCUAGGUUUUGUGUUUACGGUUACGGCUUCGCUUUUGAAUUCUGGAAAUCUUAGAUCUGUGUUGCUUGCAUGUUUUUACAGGUUCAACUGUGAUAUUAUAUUUUUAAAAAGAUUCUGAGUUUUACCUGAAAUUUUUGAUUGGAGAUUUUGUGAGAUUCUUCAGAAAACUUGAUUCUGUUCUUGCUGAUUUUUUGAUGCUUCUGCUUGUUCUUUGGACCGAAAAUAAAUCGGUGAUUCACCGGUUCUGUUUCUUCAUCUUCUUCGCCGGUUUAGAACCUUGUUUCUUUCCCUCUUCUUCUCGCUGAACCUUCUUCGUGAUCGGUACUGGAAUUUGCUGCUUCUGCAGUGAAUCCGUGCCUUGAAUUGCGAAGGAGAUGAUUCAAUGAUGAUGAUUCCUAAGGAAUCUCUGAGAAUCAAUGGAAAAUCCAACGAAUUUUGAUGAUUCUUGCUUUCUGGAAAACGGUUAGGGUUUUGUGUUCUUGGUGUUCUUGAUGAAUCUGAGAAAUUUUUCUGUUUUGAUUCAGUUGCUGAGAAAAAGAAAAUUGUAUUUGUGUUUAUGAGUUGGCGUGUGAUUCAUGGCUUUGAGUGGCACUGUGCACCUUUUAUAGCAUGACAUGUGUGCCUCUGAACAAAUGAGAAAGUGACACCUGGACCUGAAAAAAAAAAAAUGACACGGCCUUGGACUUAAAAUGGAAUUUGGACCUUCUUGCAAAAAACAAAACUUAAGGACUAAACUGCAAUUGACCAAAAAAGGACUAAAAUGAAAAUUGGAAAAGAAACUGGACUGAAAUGUAAUUUUGGGACCUCAAUUGAGGGACCAAAAUGUAAUAAAAAAUAAAAUUGAAUAAAAACGUAAUUUGACCAAACGUAAAGCGAAACAAAAAUAAAAUUGACAAAACGGACUAAAACGAACCAAUGGCCUAAAUGAGGUACUUCAAAGUAACCUCCCCAUGCCAAAAUUUCAUGUGAAAUGACCAAAAUGCCCCUAGGGCUAAAAACGACCUAAACAGAUUCAAAUUGACCUGACACUGACUCAGACGCAAAUUUAAAAUGAAUUUAGACAGGGUUUACUGAUGAAAUGUCAAAAAUGAAUUUGAAAAGACUCAGAGAUAGUCACAAGGAUGAAAAUGGGUCCCACUGCAGGAAAUGACCAAAAUACCCUUCUGUAUGACUUUUUGCAAAUUUUGAAAUAAACUGCAGAAAAAGCAAUGUAAUGAUUCAGAGACACUUUUGAAUGACUUACAAGACAAGUAAAGACAUUUCGAAAGGUUUUAUGCAAGAAAAACAUAGGUAAAAUUGUGAUUGAAAAUACUGCGAAGCAGAGACAAUUUGAACUGUGCGGUUGAAAUUUGAUAAUUGACAAAGUUUGAAAUGAAAUUGGGCCCAGUAUUUUUAGGUCCAAAAACAGGGUAUAACAGCUGCCCCUAUUUAAGUUUCUUUGUCUGGAGAGUCAAGAGACGGAGUCUUUGGCUUGACAGGACGAAGAUACUUAAAUAUUAGCAUUUGCACUGUGUUUGGACGUAAAAAUACGCCUACCCAUUUUCAAAUAAUAUGCAUGCCAUGCAUCAUUUGGAUUAUGAAUGCAAGACCUCACGGGGAUUGGAAUUAACAAAAUAUGUCGUAUCCAUUGCGGGAUUGGUAGACAUUGACAAAGAUAGUGAAUAGCAGAGUAACGGGAAACUAGAAACAAGUUGGACAGGUACAAGCUGUUCUUGGAUUCAAACUAGCCACUUGACCGGGGAUGAAACAAACAGACAACUGCGAGUUGUUCUUAUGGAUUCGAACUAGUCACUUCACAGGGGAUAGAGGUUACUGGACAAACAUGAGUUGUUCUUAUGGAUUCGAACUGAUAACUCACUUGGGGAUAUUGGAAAGUGCGAGUUGUUCUUAUGGAUUCGAACUGGUGACCCGACUGGGAAAAAGAGAAAAUUGGCAAGUACGAGUUGUUCUUACGGAUUCGAACUGGUUACUCGACUGAAAGCAAGGCAAAUAGACAGGUGCGAGCUUGUUCUUGGAUGCGAACUGGUUACUCCACCGGAGACAAAGGCAAAUAAACAGGUAUGAGCUUGUUCUUGGAUGCGAACUGGUUACUCCACCGGACAGAAACAGAUAGACAGGUACAAGCUGCUCUUGGAUUGAGCUGGGCACUCGACCAAACGGAAACAUAUUGACAGGUACAAGCUGCUCUUGGAUUGAGCUGGGCACUUGAUCGAUAACAUAAGCAAAUUGAUAGGUACAAGCUGUUCUUGGACUUGAACUAGCCACUUGACCAAACAGAAACAUAUUCACUGGGGAUUGGUUUGUUGACAAAAUAUAGAUUGAGAUUGACUUGACGUCGAUUCGAAUUGAAAGGUAGAGAUUGACUGAUAUUAUUGGCUCACAAGGUUUUGACAGAGAACCUGACAUGAGUAUUGAAUUAAGACUGAUGUUGACAUUGGAAAUGUGAUAUGCAUGGAUGAUAUAACAGUUUCAUUAAAUGCAUGGGUACGUAAUAUGCAUGAUUAUGCAUGUAUGAAUGCUUGUAAUGCAUGACUGUUGGCAGUUUGUAGGCACGACUUCACGGGGAAGACAAGACGUUAGAGUAUUGGGCACGUAGUGGCUCGUGCUAUAUUACACAUUCUUGGAAAUCCUCUUUGGAGAUGACGUCGUUGGGAGACGUUUCGGAACCAAGGCUGAGGGUGGGCAGGUAUGCAACUUGCUGGAGAUAGAAUCUUGAAAGACUUUACUGGGGAAAACGCCGGAUGUAUCGUGGACAUCGCAUCUGUGGUCAACGCUUUUUGCAUGUUAUUUUCUCAACUUUCAUUCAUCAUCAUUUUUUCAUCCCAUUUUUGCCUGGAUCGCCUUUUCGGGUUUUCGAUCCACCGGGGAAAUAAAUUCUUUUUCAAUGCCCCAUUUUUGCCUGAACUGCCCUUUCGGGUUGUCAAUCCAGCGGGGUGCUCAUUUUUGCCUAAGCCGCCCUUCCGGGUUUUCAACUUAGCGAGCCUUUUCAUUUUCAUGCAUUUUCAUUCUGUUUUUUCAUUCUUGCCAUUGACCACAGACUAUCCUGGAGGAGAACCUGUUUGUAACAUAUAUUGAAAUAGACACCAACACACACUCGCUCAUGCAUGUUCAUUUGAAUGUACCCUGUUGCUCAGGUUUGCUUUUUAAAAAUAGACAAAAGGUUUUCAAUUUUCAAAAAUGUUUGUUUCAAGCAUUGUCAUUAUCAAAAUAGAAAGAAAAUGUUUUGUAUACAGCUUUGAAAGUAGAAGAAAAAUAGAGUUUCAAACAAAAGCACAAGCUCAAAUUGAUGUAUAAGAGUGGUGGUCAGCCGAAGGCGUGACUCCACGGAUUUACAAAGCUUGGAAAAUGGUAAUUUUAUUGGUUGGUGGUACAUUGAACACAGUAAUCAUGACAUUUCCCAGAAAUUUUGAAUUCGCAAGCAUAAGAGCUUUUGAUGAAGACGGUCAUUAACAGCUGCAGAUGCCCCAAGGGGGACGGUGGUUGGCCAGAUAUAGUUACUUGCCUUUUGUUUCAAUCUCAUUUUUGCAUGAACCGCCCUUCCGGGUUUUCGGCUCAUCGAGACGCUCAUUCUUGCCUGAGUUGUGUACAAUCUCAGCGAGCUUUUCAUAUUUGUUUUUUUGUCCCUUAUUUUUGCCUGGACCGCCCUUUCGGGUUUUCGGCCCACCGGGAAGCGCAUUUUUGCCUAGGCCGCCCUUUCGGGUUUUCGACCUACCACGCUGUUCUUUUCAUAUUUCUAGGCAAAGUAUUUCUUGACUAUAUCGGCAUUCACUGGAUUUGGAAGCUCUACACCAUCCAUGUGUGUAAGGAUUAAAGCACCACCGGAGAAGGCCUUCUUGACAACAUAAGGACCUUCAUAGUUAGGCGUCCACUUGCCCCUUGGGUCGGGUUGCUGGCUUAUCCUCCUUUUCAAUACAAGUUCCCCUACCUUGAAUUCUCGAGGAUGGACUUUCUUGUCAAAAGCAGUCUUCAUUCUUGCUUGAUAUGACUGUCCACGAGCCAUGGCAUCCAUACGUUUUUCCUCAAUCAAAUUCAACUGAUCAUACCGGCUUUGGCACCAUUCAGCCUCAGAUAACUUUGCUUCCAUUAUCACACGGAGAGAUGGGAUCUCCACUUCCAAAGGAAGAACUGCUUCCAUACCGUAUACAAGAGAGAAAGGGGUUGCCCCGGUUGAACUGCGCACGGUAGUGCGGUAGCCAUGCAGAGCAUAGGGUAACAUUUCAUGCCAGUCCUUGUAAGUGGUUACCAUCUUCUGGACAAUUCUCUUGAUAUUCUUGUUAGCGGCCUCAACUGCACCAUUCAUCUGAGGUCUAUAGGGAGAAGAGUUAUGAUGCUCAAUUUUGAAUUCUUCACAAAGAGCUUGCACCACAUUGUUGUUCAGGUUGGUACCAUUAUCGGUAAUAAUCUUGCUGGGAACACCAUAUCGACAGAUGAUGUUGUUCUUGAUGAACUUAGCUACCACUUGCUUGGUCACAUUGGUAUAAGAUGCUGCUUCAACCCAUUUGGUAAAGUAGUCAAUUGCCACUAAGAUGAAACGAUGACCAUUUGAAGCCUUCGGUUCAAUUCUUCCAAUCAUGUCGAUGCCCCACAUCGAGAACGGCCAUGGGGAUGACAUAACAUUGAGAGCAUGCGGAGGCACAUGAAUCUUAUCAGCAUAGAUUUGACAUUUGUGGCAUUUUCUGGCGUACUGGUAGCAAUCAUGCUCCUUAGUCAUCCAGUAGUAACCUGCCCGUAACAACUUACUUGACAUAGUAUGCCCUGUAGCAUGGGUCCCGAAGGUACCGUCAUGUACAUCAUGCAUUAACUGCUCCGCCUCAUGUUCAUCAACACAUCUUAACAGUACCAUGUCAUAGUUCCUCUUGUACAGGAUAUCUCCAUCUAACAGGAAUCUACUGGCCAAUCUUCUCAAGGUCUUCUUGUCUUGUUUGGAAGCACCCGGCGGAUACUCACGGCUCAGCAAGAACUGUUUGAUGUCGUAAUACCAAGGUCUAUAGUCAACCACAUUUUCACCAGCCUGAUCGAUCACAUCCCCAAUAGCAAACACAUGCGAAGGCCUUUCAAGGCGUUGCACUUUGAUUAAUGGCACAUCAUUCCAAUGGUUUACUCGAAACAUGGAAGAUAGAGUAGCAAGAGCAUCAGCCAUUUGGUUCUCAUCACGAGGAAUAUGGUGCAGCUCAACCUUUGUAAAAUAUGUCAGAAGACGUCUCGCAUAAUCACGAUAAGGAAUCAACUUAGCAUGGUGGGUCUCCCAUUCACCCUUUAUCUGAUUGAUGACGAGCGCAGAAUCUCCAUAGAUGUCGAGGUGUUUGAUUCUCAUGUCAAUUGCUUCCUCGAUCCCAAAGAUACAUGCUUCAUACUCAGCCAUGUUGUUUGUACAUUCGAACAGAAUUCGAGCGGUAAAGGGAAUGUGAUGCCCUUGCGGGGAUACAAUGACUGCCCCGAUUCCUUUGCCAUAAGCAUUGACAGCACCAUCAAAGACUAAACCCCACUUGCUAUUGGGAUCUGGACCUUCAUUAAUCAACGGUUCGUCGCAGUCUUUGGAUUUCAAAUACAUGAUCUCUUCAUCAGGGAAAUCAAAUUCAAUUGGUUGGUAAUCAUUAAGAGGUUGAUAAGCAAGGUGAUCGGCAAGAAUGCUGCCUUUGAUUGCCUUUUGAGUUUUGAACACAAUAUCAUAUUCAGACAAAAGCAUCUGCCAGCGUGCAAUCUUCCCAGUAACAGCCGCUUUCUCAAAGAUAUACUUUAUCGGAUCCAUUCUGGAUAUCAGCCAAGUUGUAUGAUUCACCAAAUAAUGACGCAGGCGUUUAGCAGCCCAAGCUAGAGCACAACAAGUCUUCUCAAGCAUUGUAUACCGAGUUUCACAAUCGGUGAACUUCUUGCUUAGAUAGUAGAUAGCAUGCUCUUUCUUUCCGGUUUCAUCUUGUUGACCAAGUACACAUCCCAUGGAUUCAUCAAAUACUGCCAAAUACAUAAUCAAAGGCCUUCCUUCCACGGGUGGGACAAGGAUAGGUGGUUCCAGCAGGUAAUUCUUGAUGCUAUCAAAAGCUUCUUGGCAUUCAUCAUUCCAUACAACAGGCUGGUUCUUUCUAAGUAGCUUGAAGAUCGGCCCGCAGGUUGCAGUCAUAUGAGAUAUGAAUCGGGAGAUGUAAUUCAAACGUCCCAAGAAACCUCUGACUUGCUUCUCUGUCUGUGGAGCUGGCAUUUCUCGGAUGGCCCGGACUUUAUCAGGAUCGACUUCAAUGCCCUUUUGGCUGACAAUGAAGCCUAAUAACUUUCCGGACCUGACACCAAAUGUACAUUUGUUGGGAUUCAAUCGCAGCUUGUAUUUUCUCAACCUUUCAAACAUCUUUGUUAAAUAUUCAACAUGCUGCUCCUCAUCUGCUGACUUCACAAUCAUGUCAUCCACAUAUACCUCAACUUCUUUGUGAAUCAUGUCAUGAAACAGAGUGGUCAUUCCCCUUUGGUAGGUAGCACCAGCAUUGAUUAGGCCGAACGGCAUCACUUUGUAGCAGAAAGUACCCCAUGGAGUGAUAAAAGAUGUCUUUUCUCUAUCUUCAGGAGACAUUUUGAUCUGAUUAUAACCGGAAAAACCGUCCAUGAAGGAGAACACCUUAGAUUGAGCAGUAUUAUCAACAAGCACAUCAAUAUGAGGUAAUGGAAAGUUGUCUUUUGGACUGGCCUUGUUCAGGUCUCUGAAGUCAACACACAUCCGGACUUUACCAUCCUUCUUUGGCACAGGCACAAUAUUAGCAACCCAUUCAGGGUACUCAACUGUCAUGAGGAAACCCGCAUCAAUCUGCUUUUGAACCUCGCUCUUAAUCUUGAGAGCCAUAUCUGGAUGAGUCCUUCUCAAUUUCUGCCUGACGGGAGGACAUUCAGGCUUGGUAGGGAUCCAAUGCUCCACGAUCAUAGGGUCUAGACCUGGCAUAUCUUCAUAGGACCAUGCAAAAAUAUCCGGAUAUUCCCGGAGGAGUUGGAUGAUCUUCUGUUUAACCCCUUCCUCUAGAGUAGCACCAAUCUUGAUUUCUCGCUUGUUUUCCUCGGUACCUAUGUUGAUAAGCUCAAUCUCUUCUUGGUGAGACUGAAUGGCUUUCUUUUCUUGCUCAAGUAACCGAGUGAUCUCAUACGGUAUGUCAUCACCUUCCUCAUCUUCGGCUUCAUACACAGGGAAAUCAAAACUUGGAGGAACCGUAGGAUUACUGUGUUCAACGGGUUUAUUAUGGUUCAACCUGCAUAUACUGAUUGGAUGAUUUUAGAAAGAGUUUUUUUCAUGCAGAUUUUUGAAAUUAAUAAGAAAAUACAGACGUUUUGGUUUUUUUCUGGCAUUACCAUUGUUUCCAAGGGAAAAAGCACUAAAAAAAAGUAGUCGUGGAAGAAACGACAAAAUUUUAUUAAUCAACGGCAAUGCCGAAACAAACAUGCCCUUACAGAAAAUAUCACUCUCGCUUUGGGCAGAGCGAGAGGAUUGUUAUUUUGAAAACAAAGCACUAAAGCAACAAGACACAUUACUCAGAAACAUGCAUGAUUGAAGGAAUGUCAAUGGCAUCCCAAUUUGUCGCAAUGCCUCCUGGUGUAACAAAUAUAGGCCUGAGACCAGAUCCAGUGGCUUCUUCAGAGAUAGCAUUAACAAACCCUGCACUGUGGAAGACUCCCGAGGAAACCCUUGAUGACGGGGAGAACCCGAGACCUUCCUUUCGCUUGUUCUCACAGAGCUGUAUCAUCUUGCCCCAGCCGGCAGUCUGACCUUCUUGGAUGGCUCUCUGAGCAUCCUUCAAUGAAGCCAUAGCAGCCCCAGCUUCCUUAGGCUCUGCACCUUCAAUGGUCAAACCUUGGAAAGCAGUCCCUUCAGCAGACCCUGCUUCAAUACAAGAGAAAGAAGACAACUGGCUGACUAAGUAUGCUUCUUCACCAUGGAUUGUAACGAGUUUUCCAUUCUUCACAAAUUUCAACUUCUGAUGUAAGGUGGAAGUAACCGCACCUGCAUCGUGUAUCCACGGUCUUCCCAGCAGGCAACUGUAGGAUGCAUUAAUGUCCAUCACUUGGAAAGUAACCAAGAAAUCCUCAGGGCCAAUGGUUAUCGGCAAGUCUAUCUCCCCCAGCACAUUCUUUCGAGAUCCGUCAAAAGCUUUGACCAAGAAAGUACUUCUCCUCAACGGGGUCCCACGGUAGCUCAACUGAUCUAGAGUUGUCUUGGGCAUUACAUUGAGAGAGGAACCGGUAUCCACCAACACAUUUGAUAUCAUGUCUGAUUUACAAUUCACCGAGAUGUGCAAAGCCAGAUUGUGACCCUUUCCCACUUCUGGCAACUCUUCUUCACUGAACCAGAGGUUGUUACAAGCAGUAAUAUUUCCCACUAUGCCACCGAAACGGUCUACCGUAACUUCGUGGUCAACAUAAGCCUGCUCCAGCACUUUCAUCAAGGUAUUCCUGUGAGCCUCAGAGCUCAAGAGUAACGACAAGACAGAUAUCUUUGAAGGAGUCUGCAGCAACUGAUCAACGAUCUUGUAGUCGCUCCUCUUUAUUAUUCUCAGAAUCUCAUCUAAAUUCGAAUCCUCUAUAGAUUUGCCUGGCUGAUUCACAUCUGUAGCAAUAGGUGAAACAACGGUUGGAGUUGCUUCUUCAACUGGUGGAGUGGUCGGCGUAGCUACUUUCUUCUGAAAUAAUGGCGGACGAACCUUCCCGCUUCUUAGCGCUGCAGAAGUCCCUUCGGCAAUAUUGCUUACUGUGGCAAAGGAGGCUAGAGGCACCUCUACUCCAUUUUCUAUCAUAGUAGCAUUGUACUUGUAUGGCACUGCCUUGUCCGAAACAUAAGGAAUUGGUCCUGGCAACCUUAUCACCAAAGGCUCAGCAUUCUUCUUCAAAGGUACACUCUUGACAGGCGGAUCGUGAAAAACUGGCACAAUCACGCAAACAUCACUGACAGUCAGAAGAUUAUCAUUCAUCAAACUUUGGAUGUCGUCUUGAACAGCAUGGCAACCCAAAGGAUCACAGAGGCAUCCUAGACACUUGGCAUGAUCAUGGCUGAACAGAGAAGCUUUGCACAGCUUGAUGUGCAGAGGCACCAGAGGGGCGACAACAUUGCGGACAUCAAGUCUAGGAGCUUCCUCACACACUUCGAUCAUAUUCACAGCGGCAUGAUUUGGAAGAGGAUUGUCAAGGACAUGUGGAACAUUGUUCUCAAAAGUCAGCUUUCCCUGAUCAAUGAGCUUCUUCACGAUAUACUUCAAAGCAUAACACCCCUCGACAUCAUGACCUAAGGCACCUUGAUGAAAAUCACAUUUGAGAUCAGACCUGAACCUUGGAGGCAACGGAUCAGGUGGUGGCUUGCCCUGUCUAGUCGUGCAGUGUCCUCUCUGGAGUAAAGUUGGAAGCAACUCAGCAUACAACAUUGGUAUAGGAGGAAAAGUUGGUCUAGUAUACUGCUGCUGCUGUUGUUGUUGUUGUUGUUGAACCGGCAACUGUUGUUUCAUCUGUUGGGCAAUUGCAUUGACGGGCACUUGAGGCUGGCCCGGUGGCAAAGGGUACUGAUGAUAAAACGGUGGGAAGAACGGAUGCUGAGAAUACGGCAUAUAUGGGUAUGACGGAGGCAUUUGAGCUGCAUUGAUAGGAGCAACGGUAGCCAUAGAUUGACCGGCUCCGGCUGACACCAUCCCCACUUCCGUUUCUUUCUUCUUGUGGUGUCCAUUACCAUACCUCUUCGAUGCACUCGUAGAAGAUUCAGCUUUCUCAAACACAAUGAUUCCAUCCCUGACUGCUUCCUCAAGACGGGUUCCCAUAGUGACCAUCUCCGAAAAGUUGUUCGGGGCAGCGAUGAUCAUCCUCUCAACAUAAUCUUUCUUCAAGGUCUUUAAGAAUGUCUGGGUCAUUUCUUCUUCAUCUAAAGCAGGAGUGAUACGGGCAGCUGCCCCUCUCCACCUUUGUGCAUAUUCACGGAAACUCUCCUCCUUUUUCUGAGAUAGGGACCUGAGGAACUCCCUAUUCGGCUUCAAACGAGUGUUAAACCCGUAGUGGCUCUUGAAAGCAGUGGCCAGCUCAUCAAAAGUAUGGACAUCGUCUUUGCUCAGACUAGUAUACCACUCUGCAGCAUCUUCCAUCAGACUGUCUUGGAAGUAAUGGAUCAUAAGGGAAUCAUUGUCCUUGUAGUUGCCCAUCUUCCGGACGUAUUUGACAAUAUGAUUUUGAGGACAAGUCAGCCCGUUAUACUUGUCGAACUCCGGGACUUUGAACUUUUUUGGAACAUCUACCUUCGAUACCAAGCAGAGAUCCUGGGUUUUAAUGGAGUCUCCAUUUCCCCUGUUGGCCUUAAUUUCCCGUCGGAGCUCUUUGGCAAGUUCUUCCAUUCUCUCUUCCAUAGUUCCGGUUGUGGCAAUACUCCCGUGGUGCGCAUUAGCAUGGACAAAUAGAGGCACCGCAUUCACAAUGGGCUCGGUAACAGUUGUUGCGGCUUGAGUCAAGGCGGUACUGACAGGAGUUAAGUUUGCCCCUGGGAUUGGGCCAUUGUUGGUAGUACCAGAGGUCCCUGCCCCUGUAUUAGCAGUAUAGUACAGCGGAAGUCCGUAAGGAUACCCGGAUGGCAUGAUAGAGCGGGGAUCAGUUGUUACGGUAGGAGUCACAUUUGCAGCUGUAGAAACUACAGGAACUGGUUGUUCCUGAGCAGCCAACAGAGCAGUCAUAGCAUCAUGAGCUUUGGCCAAUUCCUCCCUUAAAGAUGCCAAUUCGGUACGAAGCUGUGUGUUCUCUUCUUCCAUAGCCCUUUUCUUUCUUCUGUAUUCUCUGGUUCGAUCAAUUCUAUCAGGUUCGUAAAUUCUCUGAGCACGAGCCACUUUUCACACUGCGGCAGAGAAACCAGGAGGUGGUAAGCACUUGGAAGCCUUUGGGACCGAUGCAUGAUGCAUAUGAUGCAUGAUAUGCAAAUGCAAAUGCGAAAGACUUAUUUUUUUCAUCGAAGGAUUUUUAAACAAAUUAGAAAUUUUGCAAAUAAUCAAAACUACAUAGCAUUUUCAAAAGGAAGACUUUGAAAAUUCAACAAGAUAAACAAAUGAAGCCCUCAAGCAUAGGAAGUAGUCGGAAGAUCAUCGGACUCGGAAUCUGAAUCACAGUAUCUAUCAAAGAAGUCUCGUCGUCCUCGAGCUCUCUUGGAGUCCCUCAUAAGCAGCUCAUCUUUCUCUUCCAAUUCCCUCCGGGCUUUAGCUAGCUCUUUCUUCAACAUUAGAUUCUCAUGAGUCUUCUGCUCAUCUCUACCAUCCAAAGUCAUGAUUAGAUUCUCAGCUUGAUUGUACCGAGCUUUCCACACUUGCUUCUCACGACUCUCCAUAGCUAGAUGCUCCUGAUACAUAUCCUGAGUCGCGGGGAGUAGAGGUAGAGGCAUAGAUGGAGUAGACGAAGACACGUAUCUCAUAGCUGGAUAAGGCAUACCAAUCUCCUCAGCUCGAUCUAUCACCCACUGAGUAUAGGCCUCAUGAGCAAUACCGGAUCUCACACCUAGAUGCUUCACACUCUUCCUUCGAACCUUGGACCAAGCAUCCAUGAAAGCUUUCCUUUGUCCGGUAGGAGCGUUCGCAUAGAAGAAGAACUCUGGAGAUGUAGCAAGAUUGAUGGGCUUCGACUUCAUAGGAAAACCAAACUGUCUCAUAGCAAGCUCGGGGUUGUAGUUAAUUCCUCCACGAGUACCAAGAAGAGGUACAUUGAGAAAGUCUCCACAACCCAUGAUAAUUUCCUUCACCUGAGCGGCCGGAGUGAGCCAGACGACCUCGUCAGGAGUGAGGGCCAUAAUCCGCUGCGAGUAAGACCAGUUCUCCGAGUUAUCAUGGAAGGAACUCGGAAGGUGCGAAAUAAACCACCUAUACAAAAGAGAUGUGCAGCAAAGAAUAUACCCACGGCCCUUGAGAGUCCUGUCAUGAAUGGCGUGGUAGGUAUCUGCUAGCAAAGUAGGAACCGGGUUCUUGGAAUGAAAGAUCUCGAUAGCAUUCAUGUCCACGAAGUUGUCGAGGUUCGGGAAGAGAAUGAGCCCGUAGAUAAGCAAAGCGAGAAUAGCCUCGAGUGUAUCCUGACGAGUAGUACUGAGAUUAGCCUGAUCAAGAAGAUACUUUGAAGUGAACCCCCGGAUGUGAGACUUGGUAAUAAGAUGGUUGGAGACGUCGGAAGUCUUGAGGUAGAGAUCCUUAGCAAUAACCAGAGGAGUAAGAGAAGUCCCGGGACCGGUGAAAGGCGUCUUCUCGGCUAUAGGUAAACCCACUAGAUUGGAGUAAGCCUCGAGAGUAGGAACCAACUGGAAGUCCGGGAAAGUGAAGCAACGGAAGCUCGGAUCAUAAAACUGCACUAGAGUGUGCACUAGCUUCUCUUCCACAUCGGUUCGGAGCAAAGUAAGCAAUCCCCCAUAUCGGAGUCGGAACCCUGUUUGACUCUUGACCUUGAGUGCCAACUCUCUCAAACUAACCAAAUCCACUUCCUUGAACUUGUAGCACUUAGUCUUCUUCAUACCUGUGAUUAUUUACAAAAAUUCUCAUUUGUUUAAACCCUUCGAUGAAUGCAUGAAAAAUGUUUAUGCAUGAAUGCAUGUAUGCAUGAUUGUGUUGUUAAAAGUGGAUUGAGCUUCAAAGUAACGGGGCCACGGAUGGACACGGCGUCCGGUGAACUAAGGCUUUGGAUAGUAGUAACCAAGGUUCUAACACAGUUCCCAAACUGCAACCUCUCUCACAUAUAUCACGGUAGUACAGGACGACACCCGUUCCAUGAUUAUUUGUGAGAAGGUCUAGUUUGAGUGUAGUAUCGCGUGACGACUAAAGUUUGAGACAACACUCAAUUUUAGCCACCGCACUACGUCCUAAAAAGGCUAGGAUGGGUUUGGUAACUAUGGUUCAUAGCUUCGUCGAACAAUUGGAAGUGAAGUGCCUAAGCAUGACAACACACGCCGACAAUAUCACCUUCAAAAUGCCUCAGCUAUGUGAGAUUGAUCGCAUAAUCCAAUACACGAGGCAACCCCCGGAUCGAAUUGUCGAUUAUAUCUCUACCUAAACAUAAGUUCACUCAGCCCGGGUAUAGGACUUUUGAUAUUCUCACCCCACACGUCAAAUGAAAGUAAACAAGUAUUCACAUAUGUAAGCAAUAAAAUAAAGCAUAAAUAUAAACUAAGGAAAACUAGGCGCGACCCGCUAAAAAGAUUUCCCCAGUGAAGUCGCCAUUUCUGUUAUCAUGGUUUUUGGGUGCCAAGCCAUUAAUUGGACUUGUACCUUUCGACCGUUGAUAUCUCUAUUUUUUCUUGGGAAGGGCAAAAUUGAGAAAAAAACCCUUAGAUUCUAAGUUCGGGGGUCGUUUUCGCUACGGGAAGGUGUUAGGCACCCGGAGCGAUUAUGGUAUUCCAUAAGAACCGUUCUCCUAAGUUUAUUUCUACGCUUUAUUUUUAUUGCCUACUUAUUGAAAGAAAAGAAGUUUUAUUUGAGUGAAGAAUGGGGGUGAGAAGAAGUAGAAUUUUGAUUUUAUUUCGGCUUGGAGGGGUUAAAGUCCCUUGCCUACGUACCGUUUUACGGGAUCAAAACCGGCGUAGUUCUUGCUAAAAAGACUAUUUUUGUUUUAAUUGUUUGAUUUUAAGUUUUGAAAAAAAGGUUUUGAAGAAGGAGAUUGGGAGGCUUCAUGAGCAUUAGAUUUAGCAAAAAAAGUGAGGUUUGAUUAGUGAUUAGAAAGAAAGUCUAAAUGAUUAAGAUGAAUUGAACUUUUCUUAAGAAAAAAGAAAGGAAAAAAUGAAGUGUUGACUUCAUACUUAUUAUGAAAAUUUUUGAAGUGAAGUUCAAUUGUUUUUUUUGAAAAAAGAUGGAUUUUCCCUAAGUGUUCAAACCUAAGCGCUUACCUAACCAUACAAUCCUAUGCAUACAUCUAAGGUGAGUGUGUGCGUGUCGGUGCGUCAUAGUGUCCAUAGUCCAUAUUACAAAAAUUGCCUAAAUACAUUCUAUGGCCCCUUUGCCAAGCUACAAACCAAUGAUAACAAAUUACAUUACCAAAUGAAUUAAAACUUGCAAAAAAAAAAUAAAUGCUAAGCUAAAGAAAGUGGAGAGAGUGGUGGAAUGCUAUGAAAUGUAUGGCACAUGAGAUGAAAUGGUUAGUAAUCAUAAAGCACACAAUAGUAGGAAGUAAUCAAAAGGAAAUGCAUAAGAAUGGCAAAGAAAAGGUAAUAAAGUGGCAAUAAACCUAAAAAACUUUGAUGUGAUACCUAAAGGUGCUUGUAACCCAUAAUCAUCACAUCAUGGCAAUUUUGCAAGAAAUUUUGUUUCAAGCCAUGACAUGAAAUUAAUGGAAACAUAUGCAAGCAAGGUAUCACACCAAAUUCAUAGAGAAAUUUGACACUUUAUUCUCUAAAACAAACACUUGUUGCUUGUAAAACAAGAAAUCCAUAAAAUCAUAUUCAAAACAGCAAAAAGAAGCACAUGUCCAGAGGCAUAUUCAUCAUAAGAUAUGGUAUCAUUUAUUCAUAACACACAUCAAAGUAUCAAGAACAAAAACAUAGCAAAAAGUAUACCCAAAAGUGUAAAAACACAUGGAAAUUUGUUCAUGCCAUUUUAAUAUUUUUUUACAUGCAAGAAAACACCAUAAAAAUGCCAAAAAUAUACCAAGAAACAACUAAGAAUUUUUUUAGGAAUUUUUAUAAAAAAUGUAGGCAAGUAACAGGUUCAGAUAGCAAGAAAGGCAGUGCAAAUAGCAAGAAAAUAACAAAAAAACGUAAAAAAGGACUAAGCCCAAACCAAAGCCCAAACCUAAAAGAUCCGGAUGCACAGGGAGCGUUGGAUUGAUCCAGGAAAGGAAACCCUAGAUCCAACGCUCAGGAUUGAAGGGAUUGGACCGGUCUUGAACCGGUCCGGUUCAGUUGUCUAUAAAAGGGAACUAGCACCGGUUUAAUUCAUUUUUGCAAAUCCUUCCUCUCUCUAACUCUUCUCUCUUCUCUCAUCUCUCUCUAAACCCUCACCGCCGGUGAGGAUGAAGCCACGGCGGAGACCUUGAAGGUCCGCCGGAAGCUUCAUCUUCUCCGGCGCGCCUAAGCACCUCCGGUGACCUAAAUUUCCAGAACUUCAAAACUUCUACAUCAAACGAUUCGUCUUCUUAUUCUAAGUAUGAUUUUGGCACUGGUUUUUACAAACGAAUCUUGAAACGACGUAGAUCGGGAAAAAACUUCGUACGGUUUUGAAACUGAUUUUGAUCUUUUUUGAAAGAAAACGUUUAGAUCUUUACGGAUCUACAUCGUUUCGUCGUUUAUUGCCUCUCUAGUGCUUGUUUUCGCUUUCAACACUUAGAUCCUUAUGGAUCUAGGUUUUGUGUUUACGGUUACGGCUUCGCUUUUGAAUUCUGGAAAUCUUAGAUCUGUGUUGCUUGCAUGUUUUUACAGGUUCAACUGUGAUAUUAUAUUUUUAAAAAGAUUCUGAGUUUUACCUGAAAUUUUUGAUUGGAGAUUUUGUGAGAUUCUUCAGAAAACUUGAUUCUGUUCUUGCUGAUUUUUUGAUGCUUCUGCUUGUUCUUUGGACCGAAAAUAAAUCGGUGAUUCACCGGUUCUGUUUCUUCAUCUUCUUCGCCGGUUUAGAACCUUGUUUCUUUCCCUCUUCUUCUCGCUGAACCUUCUUCGUGAUCGGUACUGGAAUUUGCUGCUUCUGCAGUGAAUCCGUGCCUUGAAUUGCGAAGGAGAUGAUUCAAUGAUGAUGAUUCCUAAGGAAUCUCUGAGAAUCAAUGGAAAAUCCAACGAAUUUUGAUGAUUCUUGCUUUCUGGAAAACGGUUAGGGUUUUGUGUUCUUGGUGUUCUUGAUGAAUCUGAGAAAUUUUUCUGUUUUGAUUCAGUUGCUGAGAAAAAGAAAAUUGUAUUUGUGUUUAUGAGUUGGCGUGUGAUUCAUGGCUUUGAGUGGCACUGUGCACCUUUUAUAGCAUGACAUGUGUGCCUCUGAACAAAUGAGAAAGUGACACCUGGACCUGAAAAAAAAAAAAUGACACGGCCUUGGACUUAAAAUGGAAUUUGGACCUUCUUGCAAAAAACAAAACUUAAGGACUAAACUGCAAUUGACCAAAAAAGGACUAAAAUGAAAAUUGGAAAAGAAACUGGACUAAAAUGUAAUUUUGGGACCUCAAUUGAGGGACCAAAAUGUAAUAAAAAAUAAAAUUGAAUAAAAACGUAAUUUGACCAAACGUAAAGCGAAACAAAAAUAAAAUUGACAAAACGGACUAAAACGAACCAAUGGCCUAAAUGAGGUACUUCAAAGUAACCUCCCCAUGCCAAAAUUUCAUGUGAAAUGACCAAAAUGCCCCUAGGGCUAAAAACGACCUAAACAGAUUCAAAUUGACCUGACACUGACUCAGACGCAAAUUUAAAAUGAAUUUAGACAGGGUUUACUGAUGAAAUGUCAAAAAUGAAUUUGAAAAGACUCAGAGAUAGUCACAAGGAUGAAAAUGGGUCCCACUGCAGGAAAUGACCAAAAUACCCUUCUGUAUGACUUUUUGCAAAUUUUGAAAUAAACUGCAGAAAAAGCAAUGUAAUGAUUCAGAGACACUUUUGAAUGACUUACAAGACAAGUAAAGACAUUUCGAAAGGUUUUAUGCAAGAAAAACAUAGGUAAAAUUGUGAUUGAAAAUACUGCGAAGCAGAGACAAUUUGAACUGUGCGGUUGAAAUUUGAUAAUUGACAAAGUUUGAAAUGAAAUUGGGCCCAGUAUUUUUAGGUCCAAAAACAGGGUAUAACAAUGAUGGUUACAACAACUAGUAAUGAGAGCUGCAAUUCAGAAAGUUGGUUCUUAGAUACUGGUUGUUCUAAUCACAUGACAGGAAACAAGACAUGGUUAAGAGAAGUGGAUCCUGGAAGAAAUACAAAGGUGAAACUUGCAGAUCAUAGAGUCUUAAUUGCAGAAGGAAUGGGGAAUAUUGCUAUUGAAGGAAAGAAUGGGAAAGUGGAAAUAAUUGAAGAAGUUCUCUAUGUUCCUGGAAUGCAGUGCAAUUUGCUGAGUGUAGGUCAGUUCAUUCAGAAAGGAUACUCAGUUACUAUGAAGGACAACACCUUUAAGUUGUUUGAUAAUCAUCAAAGGUUAGUUUUGAAAACUCCUCUUGCAAAGAAUAGAACUUUUCAGACCAAUAUGAAAGCUGUAGAAUUGAACUGUUUAUCUGAUAUGGUAAAAGAUGAAGAUAGCUGGUUAUGGCACUAUAGAUUUGGUCAUCUCAAUUUUAGAGGUCUUAAUCAAUUGGUUGAUAAAGAAAUGAUUCUGGGAGUGCCUAAAAUUGAGAUACCUAACACAGUCUGUGAUACUUGCUUGUUGGGAAAGCAACCUAGAAGUGCAUUCAGUUCAAGUUCAGCAAGUAGAUUAAAGGAGCUGCUUAAUGUUGUAUAUUCAGAUGUGUGUGGUCCUAUAGAGGUUCCUUCAUUAGGAGGAAACAAAUAUUUCAUCAGUUUUGUUGAUGAGUUUAGCAGAAAACUCUGGUUAUAUUUGAUCAAGGCCAAAAGUGAAGCAUUUGAUAUGUUCCAGAAGUUUAAAAUCUUAGUUGAAAAACAAAGUGGUAAAUCCAUUAAGAUUUUAAGAACUGAUGGUGGUGGUGAGUAUACCUCAAAGGUGUUUGAGAAGUUUUGUGAAGACAAUGGCAUUGUACAUGAAGUCACUGCUCCUUAUACUCCACAACACAAUGGUUUGGCUGAAAGAAGGAAUAGAAGCCUGCUUGACAUGACCAGAAGCAUGCUAAAGAUGAAGAAGAUGCCUAAUACAUUUUGGGGAGAAGCAGUAAGAACUGCAGCAUACAUCUUAAACAGAUGUCCCACUAAGAAACUUAAUCAAAUUCCUGAAGAAAUUUGGUUAGGAUGCAAGCAGUCAGCAAAACACUUGAGAGUGUUUGGUUCAUUGUGUUAUAUGCAUAUCCCUGAUGCAAAGAGAAGGAAGUUGGGGGAUAAGAGUGAACCUAUGAUACUGGUUGGCUAUCAUGAGACAGGUGCAUACAGAUUGUAUCAUCCUCUGAAUCACUUUAUAGUGAUUAGUAGAGAUGUAAAAAUCUGUGAAAAUGAAGCAUGGGAUUGGACCAAGAAAGAGAAGAGUUCCAGUCACAAAAUUCCCACAAUAAUUGAAGAUGAUGAUCAAGUUGAACAAGUUCAACUUGAUAUUGAAGUUCAACCUGAAGUGCAUGUUGAAGAGAAUCAAGUCACUAGAACUUCAGUUAGACAGAGAUUUGCUUCAACUAGAUUAGCUGGACAUGAAGUCAUUCCAGAUAAUGUAGUUAAUGAAGAAGGGGAAUUUGUUCAUUUUGCACUAUUAGCAGAUGCAGAACCAAUCAAUUAUGAAGCAGCAUUGAAUGAAGAUGUAUGGAAGAAUGCUAUGAUUGAGGAGUUGAAUUCAAUCAACAGAAACAACACAUGGAAGUUGAUUGAACUGCCUGCUAGUAAGAAACCAAUAGAUGUGAAGUGGGUUUUCAAAUUGAAACUGAAGCCAAAUGGUGAAGUAGCCAAGCACAAAGCAAGAUUAGUGGCUAGGGGAUUCAUGCAGAAGGCUGGUAUGGAUUACUUUGAAGUAUAUGCUCCAGUUGCUAGAUUGGAAACUGUGAGGUUGAUAGUUGCUAUAGCUUGUGGAAGGAACUGGCCAAUGCAUCAUUUGGAUGUAAAAUAUGCUUUUCUAAAUGGUCCUUUAGAUGAAGAAGUGUAUGUGACACAGCCACCAGGUUUCAAAAUCAAAGGGAAAGAGGAUAUGGUGUAUAGAUUACACAAAGCUCUCUAUGGAUUGAAACAGGCACCAAGAACUUGGAACAAGAGAAUUGACAGUUUUCUUGUACAGCAAGAAUUUGUCAAAUGCAAGUCUGAGUAUGGUGUAUAUGUGAAGAAAGGAAGUGAAGGUAAUCAACUACUCAUCUGUCUUUAUGUUGAUGAUUUGAUAGUGACUGGUAGUGAUAUGAAUGAGAUAGAAGCAUUCAAAUCACAGAUGAUGAGUGAGUUUGAAAUGUCAGAUUUGGGAAAAUUGACAUACUUUCUAGGCAUGGAAUUUACUGAAGUUGCAGAGGGAUUGAUGAUGCAUCAAAAGAAGUAUGCAUCUGAUAUAUUGAAGAGGUUCAAUAUGAUGAGCUGCAAUCCAUCAUCAUCACCAGCUGAGACAAAUGUAAAACUGGUAAUGAAUGAAGAUGAAGAACCUGUGAAUCCUACAUUGUUCAAGCAAAUUGUUGGUUCACUGAGGUAUCUAUGCAAUAGUAGACCUGAUAUUGCAUAUGCAGUUGGCAUAAUCAGUAGAUUCAUGAGUGAACCAAGAGUAUCUCACCUGCUAGCAGCCAAAAGAGUGAUGAGAUACAUCAAAGGAACACUGCAGUAUGGCAUUUUAUUUCCUAAGUGCUUAAAUGAAAAUUCUAUUGAACUGAUAGCAUAUUCUGAUGCUGAUUGGUGUGGAGACAGACAAGAUAGAAAGAGCACUUCAGGGUACCUAUUCAAAUUUAUGAAUGCUCCAAUUUCAUGGUGUGCUAAGAAGCAACCAGUUGUAGCAUUGUCAACCUGUGAAUCUGAGUAUAUUGCAGGGUGUAUGGCAGCAUGUCAGGCAAUAUGGCUUGAAAAUAUACUCAAGGAGAUGGAGAUAGAGGUUAGUAGACCUAUAGAAUUACUCAUAGACAACAAAUUUGCUAUAAGCUUAGCAAGAAAUCCAGUUCUGCAUGGAAGAAGCAAGCAUAUAGAAGCAAAGUUUCAUUUUCUGAGGGAGCAAAUGAACAAGGGAGCACUACAGAUUGUUCAUUGUUCUACUGAGCUGCAGCUUGCAGACAUAUUCACUAAGGCAUUGAAGGUUGACAGAUUCAUCAAGCUCAGAAGCUUGAUUGGAAUGAAGGAAGUGGAAACUUGAAUUAAGGGAGGAUGUUAGUUUGUUUUAAUUCAAGUUUAGUUUUAGUGAUAAUCACAAUCAGUGGUUAAUCACAAGUUUGUUUUAGUUUGUUAUGAAGUUUGUUAGAGGUUAGCAAAUAAGGUUGUUAGAGUUUGUUACAUUGCUUGUGCUUCAAGCAACGUUUAGACUUGUAUAUAAGACCAUUAUCUUGUACAUUCAUUAUGUAGAAUCAAUAAAGAUCAUUUACAAUUUUCAUCAUAACUUUCUUCUCUCUCAAUUCUCUCUUAUUCACAUAAAACCUUAGAAUCAGAAACUGCUUCUGAACAGUGCUUCUGAACAAGUGCUUCUGAACAACUGCUUCUGAACAAAGCUUCCGCUUCUGAUUUUCUGCGCUAUCAGUGGCUUCUUCAGUUUCUCUUCAUUGCUCAAAAAAAUUGGAGGUUUGCAUUCCUACUACCUGAUAGUCCUAGACAUGUUUGUACCUUGCAGGUCUCUUUUACUGGACAAGGGGAAACACAGUCCAUGAAGCAGUUGUCGGGGGGUGAAAAAACUGUUGUUGCCCUUACACUUAUCUUUGCCAUACAGAGAUGUGAUCCAGCACCCUUUUAUCUUUUUGACGAGAUUGGAAGUAUCCAUUUUAUCAUUGUGGGUGCCAUAUUUGUUUUUUGAAGAAGCUAAACUUAUCACGCCUAAUGUCUGUUCUUGCAUUAUUCCAUCUGUAUAUACUGCAAGCUUUAUAAAAUGUUGCAUUGCAUAUUAGAGGGGAAAGUUUCAGUUGUACAUAGAGGGUCUUCAACCAUUGGAAUAUAUAAACCUUAGGUAUGUGGUUCAUUAUUAUCUAAUGCCUUUGUACAUAGUGAUCCAUACACACCAGAGUUAUUCGUUUUCCCCAUUUUUAAUUGUUAGAAAUAAAUUUUUAGCCUCAAUCUCUUAAUAACUUUUCAUAUGAUUGGUUAUUUGAUAGCCACUAUUUUGGAAAUAGCUUUUCUUUUAUUUGUGCGGACUUGCAUGAGCUCAUGUUUCGUUCAAGUUGCUUUUAAAAUGCUCAGACCCAUACUUACUCUAACAUAGCUAUUACAACAAAAUUUCUCAUUGCGCGAGAAAUAUAAUUUCAAGCGAGUUUCAAGGAGGGAAGGUUCAUCAUUCUUCGAGAGUAAUAUAUUUUAUACUACUUUUUAAGAAGCACGCUCUUCACGGCUUAGCAAAGCUACACAAGGCUUGAGUGUAGAAAUACUUACAAAGAUAUGAUCCGGCGCCUGUCAGACACAGUAGACACUCAAUUUAUCGCGACAACAUUCCGCACAGAGCUAGUGAAAGAUGCCACUCUUAUUUGGGGCCAGGCAAAGCGGAAGUAAUUCGUAUUCUUCAUGUGCUAUACAGACUGAACUCUUAAUUUUUCUGGUAAAAUGAUAAACUGACUUGGGCUUUUUUUGGUAAUGAACUGAAUUGGUUUGAACUUUUUCUUUUCAUUUUUAAAAUUUAACAUACCAUUUUAGUAAAAUACAUAUUUAUGUUCAAGGUCUGUUUAUAAAUCGUUAUUAUUUAACUGUAAAGAAAAGUUAUUAGUGAAAUGACCUGAUACAACAUAAACCAUUAUAUAUAUUUUUUGGACAAUAGUAAAUUUUGUUUUGAUUUUGAAGUGGGUAUUUAUGUAUUAUUAUAGGUGUUUCUACUUGCAUGGUCCAACCUAAAUCGGCUAUCGGAACCCUUCAAUGUCAACAACUUAGCUGUCAAACUCACCAACCUGCACUUUUGUGAACUGAUGCUACCAUAACAUAGGUCUUAGUAACUCAAAAGCUUGAUAAUCCUUCAUUAGUUUUUGUAAAUCCUUUUUUAUUCAUGUUAAUAUCUUGUGCUUACUGUGGUAACCAUUGAUCCAUAGAGAAGAUCUUGGAAAAUUGGUUGAUGAUAUACAAAAGUUUUAGAGGCUGGAAGAUCUUGGUGUGUGUGAUUUCAAUCUGCUUCAUUUGCAAAAAUGUUGGGCUGAAAAACAAAAAUUGUUUCAUGUUUGAUCUGAAGACUGAAGAUUGUUUAGGACACAAGACACAAAUGAGACAGGACAAAAAUAAGGGUCUUUGUGAGAAAUAGCAAAUCAUUAUUGAGAAGAAUAAAUUAAAAUUCAACUUUAAGAGAAAUAAAUCGACACAAUUUUUAAUAUAGAAAUUCUAAUUUUAGUACAUUAACAUGUGCCCUAAAAAUAAACAAUUAUUUAGUGCCACACCAACACUUCUCAACACUUUCUGAUCAAUUGAAAUUUAAAUGGGUCUAUGUUUAUGCCGGGUUUAUAUUAUUUAGUGAGAUACAUUUAAUUUUUAUUCGAUUAGAGUGUGUUAAAGCGAGUGUUUGAAAGUGAGUUGAUAACAAUUUUAAAAUCUAAUACUCCGGUCUUAAAUUUAAGCAAAAAAAUUCUCUUAUCAGAAUUCAUAUUAAUUGAAUAACUGAUUAGAUAAGUUAUUCAAUGAACGUGAAAAAAAAAUCUUUUUUUUUUUGUGUCCAGUAGUGUAGUGGCUAUAGCUCACACAAUUAAAUGUGGAUAAGUGGGGUGUCUGGAGUUCGAACCUCGACCUCUGCAUAAAUUAUGCAAUGUCCCUGCCAAUGUGAGAGAAAAAAAAAAUCCCUUAAUAAAUAAAUAAAUAACAUAAAUGCACCAUUUAGCAAGCUAGAGGAUUGGUAUUCUUUUUUAUCAUCUACGGACCCAGGAAAAGAUGUCUUGUUUCUCUAUUUCAUAUGUUAAAAUUCAUAAUAGAUACGAAUAACUUCACAUGGGAUUCGAAUCCACUUGAGUUGGUUUGAUCAUGUUGGUUUGAGACAUUGUAGUGUGAUGAUCCUCUCAAAGGUCUUAGAUUCGAUUCACUCUGAUGUCAAUUUCGAUGGAUUAGAUUGACUUAAAAAAACUUCAUAUUGGAUCUAGUGUAGUUUAUAGACCGUUGAACUUCACUAAUUAACGCAUUCCACUGUCAACAUACUCCAUCCGUCUCUAAAUAUAAGCAAAUUUUACUUUUUAAGUUCAUUCAAUUAAUGAUGUAUGUGGUUCAUAAUAUAGACUACAUACAUUAUUAAUUGAAUGAAUCUAAAAAAUAAAAUUUGCUUAUAUAAAAAACAGAGCACAUUAUAAAUGACAUACAUUACAGGUCUUCUUCGAUUAAAAGCAAAAGCCGUUGAUAAUAACUGCCCGUUUGAUGUCUACAUGUGAUUGGUAACAAGUUGGUACUAGUUUUGUUGAUUUUGUCCAAAAAAAAAAUUCUAUGAUUGUACAUAUAUACUUUUUUUUUUUUUUUUUGUCACAAAUAGAGUUUAUAGUUCAAAUUUAUAUCAUUAUAUAAUGAAAACUGUAAAUUAACUACCGUUGGUAAUCAAUUUUGAUCGAAUUUUUUUUAUAGACAAACAUACUCUUAACAUUUUAAUUAACUUUUUUAAAUUUAAUUUUUCAAUAGGCCGAACCGGUCUACUGAAAUUUGUGUUGGAGAUAAUUGAAUUUUAGACUUUGAAAGAAGUAAACUGCAAUAUUUUAAGUCAAUCACAAUCCGACCACAUAUAGUUUAAGGAGUCAAAAAAUUAACUACUAAUUUUAGUCAAUCUUUUUCAAAAAGUUUUCUUUUUGCAAUAUAAUUUUUUUUUAAAUUCAAAUUUGUAUUAAAAAAAACAUGAAUAUAUGCUGUCAUUUUUAUUUACUCAUUAUAUUAUAUUAUAUAAAUAAAAUAUCAAUAAAAAAAAUAGUGUGUUUUUUUCCGUUAUGGAUUUCCUGGAACAUAUCCUCGUAUUUUCAAUGAGUUCGUAUGGAAAGUAUUCAGUCCCUCGUACUACAAGCUCACCCUAACCCAAUAUUUUUUUUUCCCUUUUUAUCUGCAAGGUUUGGUGGUUUGAGGGUUAUAUUUGUUGUAUUUGUUGCUCAUUUAUUUGUAGUGAUAGGGAUUUUCAAUUCUGAUUGUGGAAAUUUUUGUCUAUUGUUGUUUUGUUGGUUGACUGAUUGUUUAUCGAGUAGAUAGUCAUUUGGGUUCUGAAUGUGGAAGACACUAUUACUACCAUCUUCGUUUGAAUGUAUCAAAAUUAGAAAAACAUCUCCAAAUAUAUAUUUCGUUAGUUGGUUUGAUUCUUUGAAGUGUCGUUUGUUAAUAAGUUAAGUCCUUGAAUGUGCUGUCCACUAUGAAGCUCGAAUACGUAGUGCGGGUGGGAGGUGUGAUAUAUGAUACAAAUGCGUUAUUUUUUUAUUUUUUUUUGAAUUUAGAAUAUGAUACGAGCUAGAUAUGUUAACAAGUGAUUCUGAUUCUGAUGUAAGUUUUAUCCCUUUUUAUCUGCGAGAUAGGUUUGGUACUUUGAGUGUAUGCAUUUAUGAGGUCUCUUUUUGUUAUAUUUGUUGCUCAGUUGCUUGUAGUGAUAGAGAUUUUCAACGCUGAUCUAGUAGCUUUUUGUAGCAAUUUUUGUUUGUUUCGUUUUGUUGGUUGACUGAUUGUUUAUUGAGUAAAUAGCCAUCUGGGUCCAUGAAUGUGUUGGGCGUUUUACACCGUCCUUGAAUUUUCAAAAUUACAAUUGCAAAAAAUCCUCAAAUAUAUCUUUCGUUUGGCGUUUUGAUCCUCAAACGUGUCUUUUGUUUGUGAAUAUGGUCGUUAAAUGUAUCGACCAUUAAUCGAGAGCUGAGACACAUUUAUGGAUGUUUAUAUAAAUUUGAUACAGUUAAGGACUUUAGCGAUACGGUCUCGCUCAUUUGAGGACUAAAAUGACUGUUUACUCUUUGUUUAUCCUCAUUAUUUAUCUGUUUAUGGUUUUUGAUAUUAUAAAUGCAUGCGGUAUUUUUGUGUUUUCAUUGUUGGUGUUAUUUUGUUGACAAGAUAAUUUAUUUUGAGUAUUUUAUUGUUGAUUAUCUGGAAAAUGUAAAUGGUCGAAUGUGUUCUUUUGAUGGACUAAAUUGAUAGAUUGCCCUUAUCUUCAUAUUUCUUUCUAUUCCAGAAUGGUGCGGAUUUCUUGAUUCAAGCCAACACAUGUAAGCGCUUAAAACCUCACGAUGAUAACGAUGAUGUUUUUGAACGUGCUGAGGUUUGUUUUUAUAUGGUGGCUCUCUAUAUACUCUUUGCUAUAGUAGUAAUAGAAUAGCCGUGUCUCAUUGAAAAUACGGCAAUGCGUCAGAUAAAUUGUUUGUGCUUGGCUUACUUCUAAAUACUAUGUAGUUGCCAUCUUCUGUUACUAGUAUUUUGAUGACUUCAACAAUUGUAAGAAGUGGUACUCUGUCUCAAUUUGGUGUCGUAGUUGUUUCCAUUCCAACUGAAUAACUAUCACUAUAUCAGGUUGUUACUGAAGGAAGACAAACUAGUUUGGAGACAAAAAAUAAUGUUGAUGCAAAUAGAAAGAAAUCUGGUCGUGGAAGAGGGAGUUCUGGUUCAAGCAGAGGCCGUGGUUCCAAAUCUAAUGAUCAGACCAGAACACAAAUUUCUUCUUCAACAGUUUCGGCUUCAAAUGGUCAGAAUGAGAAUGUAUGUCGUAAAGUUACUUCCCAUCAAAUAUUUGGUUCUUUAAGCAAUAAAUUUUAUGGAUUGAUCAUUUAUGUCACACUCCUUGAUUGUUCGUUACAGAACUCAUAUUUUUGUUUGCAGGAUGGUAGACUCAAAGAUCCGUUUCGUAAUGAUAAUGGUGCUUCAUUAGAGGUAUGUCUUCUUUUAUAUUUUUAACUUCAUUAACUUUCAUUUUCUUAUUUUAUUUCAUCUUUGUAUUAAAUUAGGAGGAGAUUGCAUCUUUACGUGCAAAAGUUGUUGUGUUGGAGGAAGACUUACGUAAAGCAAAGCAAGAAGCCUCUCAGCAUCAGAAUAUUUGUCCACAGUUAGAAAAGGUAUAUAAAUAAGGGUCGUUUGUUUCAGCUUUAAAAAAAAUAGAUUUUAUGUUAAAAGAAUCUAGAGAUUUUUUCUUAGAGAUUUUAAAAAAAAAAUCUAAAGUUAAUUUUGUUUGUCUACUACCCAUAAAAAUCCAUUUUUUCUAAAAAAUGAGUUUUAACUUGUACAUGUGUUACCUCCUCUUUUGUUGAAAAAAAUAGAUUUUGAGAAAAGCUAAUCCUAAUAGCUUUUCAUUUUAUGAUCAAAAUAGAUUUUUUUUAUAAAAUGAUUUUUCUAAAAAUCCUAAACAAACACUUAAAAAUGAAAAAAGUGAUUUUUUUAAAGGAAAAAAUAGAUUUUUUUUGGAAAAAAAUCCAAAACAAACGCACCCUAAUUGUCCUAUUGCAACAAGAGAUGUGAAUCAGAAGGAUGUUUUCUGAAUCUUGAAUUGUAUCAAGUCAUAAAAUAUGCUUUCUUUUGAUACCAUUUGCUAAUUGAAUUUAUAGUGAACUGUAAAUAUGCUUUUAUGAAUUGUAAAUACGUAUUAAAGGUAAUAGAAUUGACGGUGUUGAAAUUAAUGUAAUGGUUUUCUGUUCUUCUUCUAAUGUUUGAUUUUGGCACAUGUAGGAACUAAAGGAAUUGAAAGAUCUUGAGGAGCAAAUGAAACCUAAGGUUUGAUUAUUUUCAUCUUUUGAUUGUGGUUAAACUUUUCCUUCCCGAUUCUCUCAAGACACAAAACUCCUAUUGGUAUACAUGUUAUUUAAAAUAUAAUGAAGUGGUGGAUUCAAUUGUGCAUGCACACGAAUCUUCUAUAACAAAGAUGAACUAGAAAUUUUAAAGAGGUUAUCGUUCUCUUACUCCAAAAUAAGUUAAGGAGCAUUGCACGUGUCACUUAUAAAAAUUAAGUUAAGCCGGUAUAUUAACAUCCAGUCCUUGAAUUUUGUAGAGAACAAAAAUAAUAUCCGAUUUGCUGAUAUCAGUUUCAAAGACUGAGAGACAAGAAGCAAGACUAAAAGUACGACAGGACUCAUUGAGACUCGGAAAUGUUGGUGUAAUCAGGUAUAGGUAGAGCAUUGUGACAAAUACCUUUUUAUAAUAUUUUUAUUUAGGUUUUCUUAUUGGUUUAUUAUAUGAAUUUUAGAGCUGGAACUGUCUUAUCUGAGACCUGGGAAGAUGGUCAGGCGUUAAAGGAUCUGAAUGCCCAGCUUGUAUGUCUAACCUCUUUCUUUCCCUUCAUAUUUAUUUUUUGAGCACCAAUGGUAUUUGUAAGUAUGAUCGUAGAUAUCUUACCCUCUUUGGGACAAUUUCUUCAUAAUAUAUUGGGAUUCAAGAUGAGAUUCCUAUUCAAAAUACAAUUUUAAUGAUGGUGUCUUCGAACUUCUACUUGUUUUCCUUUUCAGUACUAUUAGGCAUUAGCUUGUGGUAUAUUUUGUGAAUGUUUCUAUAACUUUUCUGUGGUGAUUUUUUUAUUUUCAAUUGGAGCCAUUGCAUAUAUCAGUAGUUUGCAUUAGUAAUAACAUGAAUUACUUUAUGUCUUGAUUUUUACAGAAACAACUACUCGAAACAAAGGAGGCAAUUGAGCGCCAGCGCAAGUUAUUCAAGAAAAAACAAUCUGGUACCACUCAGUUUCCUUUUUUCUGUUAACACUUGUCUUCCUGAACUUGGGGAAGAAGGGUUAAGUGGACUGAACGAGUGACUGUCCUUUUCCGCUUUUCCUUUCCCUUUCCCUUCAUUCAUAGUUUGUACCAAUUGUCAUUAUAACUAACAUAUACCUUGGAUCAUAAUAAACCUUCACUAUUUACUUAUUUAUACGAUAUUAUUAUAAAUCAUGAAUAUGCUCCUUAAGAUGGCUAAUCGAUACAAUAAAUAUCUGUUUCAGGCUAUGAGAUACUGCUAUGCUAUCUUGUAUCACAUUAUUCUGCUCACUUUCUAAUGGUUUGAAUUUUGUUUUUCUUGGCCCUUUUCCAUGCAUGAAGAUAAGGGUGAUGGAAUAGAUGCAGAGGCUGGAUUGCUGGAAGAUAUUCUCAUUCACGAGGAAAUCUAUAAGUCUCGACUAGCCAGCAUUAAACGGGUAAGUUGCUACUUCUCCGCUUAUUCUAUUUCCUCUUUAUACUUCUACUGACUGAACAAUUUUCAGGAAGAAGAACUUGUUUUGCGAGAGAGGGACUGCUACGAACUAGAGAAGGGAAGACUAAUUCGUGAAAUGAAACGCAUUCGGGAUGAUGAUGGUUCACGGUUCAACAAUUUUCAGAUUCUAAACCAUCGUUACGCCCUUCUAAACCUUCUUGGAAAGGGAGGAUUCAGCGAGGUGUACAAGGUCUAAACUUUACUGUACAAUAUUAAUCAUUUUAUCGUAUUUAUAUUAAUUUAGCGAAUAUUAUACAAGGUUGAGUUACUAAAACCAGAAUCCUAGAGAGUUUCGUUGCCUUUUAUUGGCAAAUGUAAAUAAAUACCUUUUUGCAGUGAUUUGAAGUAAAAAAUUUCCAGCAGGCUUUUGAUUUGGUGGAGCAUAGAUAUGUUGCAUGCAAGCUUCAUGGUUUAAAUGCUCAAUGGAGUGAAGAGAAGAAGCAAAGUUACAUAAGGCAUGCAAUUCGGGAGUAUAAUAUUCACAAGACCUUGGUCCAUCGUCAUAUUGUUCGUUUAUGGGACAUCUUUGAGAUUGAUCCAAAUACAUUCUGCACUGUUCUAGAGUAUUGCAGCGGUAUAUACACCUUAUAUGUUUUUUGAAGAUAAUUAUUUUGUUUACUUUUGUUAUAGACUAUGGGUCUGUUUGGAUUGAGUUAUUUGAGCUUGCACUUUGUGAGACUGUUUGAGAGAGCUUAUGAAUACAACCUAUGACAUGUUAAUAAGCUGUUUUCAGCUUAUUUCCAUAAGCUCUCCAUAAUAACUUUAUGAAAACAACUUAUAGCUUAUAUGAAAACUUUUUGAUUUGAUUUUAUCUUUUAUUAUAGAAAUAACUUUUACAUAGCACUUAAAUGAUAAACACAUCUACAAGUGCUUGAUGAAGUUGUUUAUCCAAACAUGCUUAUAAAUAUUGUAUGUUUGAUUUCUUGUUUUGUCUACUGCUCCUUCAUUUGAUCCUCCUCUGUUCUACCAGGGAAAGAUCUUGAUGCUGUUCUUAAAGCAACACCUAUAUUGCCUGAGAAGGAGGCUAGAGUCAUUUUAGUUCAGAUUUUCCAAGGCCUUAUUUACAUGAAUAAAAGAGCACUGAAGAUUAUCCAUUAUGAUUUAAAGCCUGGAAAUGUUUUGUUUGAUGAGCUUGGUAUUGCCAAAGUGACUGAUUUUGGUCUUAGCAAGAUUGUGGAGAAUGACGUGGGAUCCCAGGGUAUGGAACUUACAUCCCAGGGGGCUGGAACGUAUUGGUAAGUGAUGAAGAUCAUUGUUGUAAGAUUUCAAAUUUUGACGUGUUCCAAACUUGUUGGUUUUAAACUUCUUUCAACAUUUGCUUUAAUAAACUUCUUUUUGCCUUUCUUUCGUUUUUGAUUUGCAGGUAUUUGCCUCCUGAAUGCUUUGAGCUCAGCAAGACGCCUCUUAUAUCAUCCAAGGUCAUUAAUUUUUUUUUAGCCGUGGAUGCAUGGAUCAUUUUUUUGUGUUAUGAUUUAUGAAUCUCAAUUUGUCAGUCAUUUUGGUCAAUGGAUAUUUUGUUUUAACAUAAGUUUCGUGAUGUCGGUAUUGUGCAAACAACUAAGUGUUGGAUAAUUAUCUUACUUGAUAUUCACAUAACAUUUCGGACUUGUGGAAAACAGGUUGAUGUCUGGUCUAGUGGUAUUUUGUUUUAUCAAAUGCUAUUCGGCAGACGUCCUUUCGGACAUGACCAAACACAAGAGAGAAUACUUCGUGAAGACACAAUUAUUAAGGCACGCAAGGUUGAAUUUCCCUCAAGACCUACUGUUUCUAAUGAGGCAAAGGUAGGUUGAGACCUUUUAUGAUAAGUACUGCUCGUAGCUUAUUGUUCUUUGGCCAUAGUUCAUUUAUUUAUAUUAUUCUAUUAUUCUGUGGACACAAUCGUCACCUGUUUUAGGUUAUAUUAUUGCAUGAAAAUUCGACUUUAUUCUAUGUGCAGUCGCAAUUAGCCUUGACAAUUCAUCUGAAUGUGCAAAUUCUCUCCUUGGUAUCACAAUGCCAUUAAAAUGUUAAUGGUUUGAUAGUUGAAAGUAAUUUGCAGCAAUGAGAAAAUAUUGGUAGUGCAAGAUAUUUUUUCAUUUAAAAAUUUAUAUUUCUAAUUAUGAUCAGCACUCAGCAGAACCAUAAUAAUAUUUCUUAGGCAUUGUAUUAUUCUCUAAGUAACAAACUAUAAAGUAAUUAUAAUCUCAACUGUUGAAGAAGGAAACAAUAGUUAAAGUCUCACUGUUGAUUUCCAAUUAAGAAAUAUAAUUUCGCACUGUUUCCUCUAAAUAAAACUCCUCACAGUUUAGAGGAACCAAAUCCAAAAUACCUGUACUUUAUGCCUACAAAUAUCACUGAAACCUGACAAUUAUCUCUACUGCAUGUACAAAUUUGUCAGGAAUUUAUACGGCGGUGUCUGACAUAUAACCAGGCUGAGAGACCAGAUGUAUUGACCAUUGCUCAAGAUCCAUAUCUCACAUACGUGAAGAAGUAGUGAUGUUCAUUGACAUGGCUUUGUUACCCUCUCCCCACCAAAAAAGCAUAUGGGGAUCUCAUCUUCUAACUUCAGUCACUAAAUAUCUGUCAGAAUUUGUAUAGGCUGUUAAGGUUUUCUUGUCUCAAAUGAGUGAGGGAAAGGAUUUUUCCCAUUCUACAAGGAAUUCUUGUUUUCUUCAUGCAUUUAUCAUUUUGGUUCAAAAUACCGGAGUAGCAAAAAGCUAGUUGAGUUGAGUUGACUUGACCUUGAAAGGGUCAUGAUGUAUAGGUAGGUAAGAAGUUUUUUUUUUUUUUUUUUUAAUUAUUCUUCUUGCCACCAAAUUAUUGGAUUAUAAUGCAUAUUGAUCGGCUACAUUUUCUUUUCAUUUGUGGAGAGUUGUUUAAAGACAUUUUAUUGAAGAGUUUGCUUAUCUUACAAUUGUGUAAUAGAUGGUUCAGCCUAGUAUGUGGUGCUUGGUGCAAAAGUAGUUUUCGACCAUCAUGUGUGAUGAUGUAUUUCAAUCAAACUGGCAAUGAUACAGCAAUGAAAAACAACUUGUUAUUUGUAACUUGGCCUCCGAUUCUUCUUAGUUACAUAUGCUUGUUUAACUUUGGCGAGCCAACUUUUGAAACCUUGGGUUUUGUAAUUCCCUGAUGAGGGUUUGCAGUGCCUCAAUAAUAAUGAUGGCAAUUGGGGCCCCCAACAUCAUUUCUGAAAGACGAACUCGCACAUGCACAAGUAGAAGGAAGGCAUUUGGCACACUACCAUUGUGGCCGCGUGGGUGUGGCAACCGCAAUCUGUGUUUUGCCACAAGGGCUUGGACGUUAUGAGCUCUAUUCUUUGCCUCCUUCUAUAGGUCAUCAUCACCAAGAGCAUGCUUCUUGAGUUCUCAAGAGUCUUAGAACUUUUAUCGACAGUUACGCAACCAAAUUAUUGUAAUUGCUUGAGCUUGCCUCACAAUCUCUACAUUUAGAACUUCAAAUCUCUACAUUUUAUAUAUUUCCUCAUUGCCAUAGUCCAUAAGCCUUUUACUCUUCUAGUGAUACUUCUGUACACUUCAAUUUGAUCUCCUAAACUUAGCGUUGGGAUUAUCAAACUCCCCACGAAUCAAUAUUUUCAUUGUCAGAUUCGUAAAUAUCUUGUCUUGAUAGCAAAAAAAGAACUGAUCUGAAUUCUCAAUGGUUCAUGCAUCUGCCGUCACACAUUUAUCAUACUAACAUCAAAUUUCUUCCACCAGUUUAGAUUUAAAUAAAUGACCAUUUCGACGACAAAACUUGUGCUGUAAUAGAUCAAUAGCUUAAUAAAAAACAACAACGAUCCUUUUCAGUCUAGUGCACUAAUAGAAUAUUAGAUAUUGGUGAUUAAUAUUACACAUAUUGCUUCAAUUGUUCAAAUAUAUUACAAAUAUUGCUUCAAUUGUUAAAAUUUGUAAGCCUUCUUACAUGACAUGUCAGCUAAUCAAUUAAGCUAUUCAACUUACGGAUCUCCAAGUUGACAACAAUGCUCAAAAGUAAUAAAAGAAAAAACAUUCAAUAACAAAAAAGGUGUCCGGUAGUGAGGGUCACAUGACCACGUGUCACAUUUAUAUGUGGUGGUAGAAAAUGUAUGUGACACCCCUCAGAAAAAAAAAAAAAAAAAGGUGUGUGACACUUGUGGUGGUCAACUUAUCACCACUCAAUGAUUUGCAUUAAUGUUUUAGAUAAAAAUGUCUCUCUCAGGUGGUUGCACUUCACUGGUUGCACUUCACUAAAUAGAGUGCCCCAGACUCCCAUUGUGACCCCACAAGAAAAUAGCUAAAUAGCUUUGGUUAACCCUUAUUUAUUUUUUUUUUUUUUAAACAAGUCUAUCAUCUACAAUAUUUUUUUGUUAAGCAAAACAUUUUAUUUACUAGCUAUCGAAGUAUGAAAAUGAACUUGUACUUGCAACAAUGCCUAAAGCCUUGAAUUUACCUUCGUUGUUUGUUGGACAAUGGACAUAUCAUAGUGAUUUGAGUUGAUGUGCGUUUUGUUUGUCAUUUAUGCCGACUAUUUGAUGAAAGGAUUAGGAAGUACAAUAUUCAGCAUCAUCAUUUUCGAAGGCAUGCUGGGGUGGCACCGCUUAGUGCCGAAUCGCUAGUUUGGUUUAUAAUUCAAGAGAGGUUGAACACAAGGAAUAGAUUCAAGAGAUUAAAUAUUAUAAUUGAACCAUAUUUGCACAUCACAGCUUAAAGCAACAAUACGUUUUACUCAUAUUUUCAUAUGAAUGUGUAUGUAUUUACGCAUGUUUUAAUGAAUAUUGUUCAAUUAUUUAUUCAUUGCCGCAGUACCCUAAUCGAGUCGAUGACACACUUGAACAGGCAUAAAGGAGCGAUAAUUACAUAAAAAUAAUAUUUGGAUGCUGUGACACCAUUCAAUUCCAUUUUAUAAGAGAAGUUAAACACUGAAAUAGAUUAAAUAUUACACAAUGAGGAUAUUGUUUCAAAUAUACAUUAUUCAAAAGGUAAAAAACAUCACCAUCCUUCAAUUGAAGCACCAACAUCUAUAUCCAUCAUAGAAAUUAAAAACAACAUAUUUUGAUAUGUGUGAACUACCUAACAACCAAAAGACAUUGAGAUAAAAAAAAGUUUAGAAGUUGAAGCAAUUAAGUCUUAUCAUUUAUUCAACAAUAAAAUCUUGAAAGUAACAAAAAAGCAAUUAAUCACUUUAAUUUCUUAUUUGUUCAACAACUUACAAUAACACAUUGGUGUAUAUAUAUAUAUAUAUAUAUAUAUAUAUAUAUAUAUAUAUAUAUAUAUAUAUAAUACAACAUCCCUUAAACUGGGAAGUUCUGAUUAAUUAAUAACAGCUGUAACUACAUAUUUGAAAAUACAAACAUCAAAUUAAUUCAUUCUUCUGCGAUUUGCACAGUAUCUGUUGUUUGUUCUUUUCAGUCUUAUGUUAAACAUGUUUUCAACAAUUCUAACAAGCCAUUGAGGUUUACCAGUGAAGAAGAAUACAUUAUAUCCCAAGAGGAACCCGGAUAUUGCCCCACAUCCAUAUCCAAUUGCCACAGCUUUCCAGCCAAAUCCUGAUUCUUCUUCAUCUUCAGAUGUCGAAUGUGGUGGUAGAUCUUCAUCAUUUUUGCAUAAUCUAGACAAUGGGAAUCCACAUAACAUAGUAUUCCCUUCAUAGGAAUCAUUUCCAAACGUAUUAAACUGUUGACCUUUAGGUAUGAUUCCCUCAAGGUGGUUUUGUGAAAGUUUUAAGACUGAGAGGAAGUUCAAAUUUGUCAAAGCCACAGGAAUCUCUCCCGUCAAUUGGUUACAUGAGAGGUCCAACCACUCCAAUUUUCUCAAAUGACCCAAAGAUUGUGGAAUACUACCUGUGAUUCCAUUGUUUGAAAGGUUAAGUCCUUUGAGAGAAUUUAAUUCUCCAAUGACUUGUGGAAUUUCACCUUCAAACAUGUUAUUUGAUAAAUCAAUAGUUGUGAAAGCAGUCAAUAUCCUUGUUAGCUCAAUGAAAAAACCUUUCACUGUGACCACAACAGAAUCAUUAUAGUAAUAACCGUCACCCUUGUAUUGCAAACCAAUUUGGCUGUCAUUCACAUUCAUCAUUCCUUGAAAGUUCUUGAUGCAUGAUGUUGGCAAGGGCCCACUAAAAUUGUUGAUAGAAACAUCAAAAAUUCUCAACUUAGGAAAUGAAUGCUUGGUGCUAGAACAAGUGAUUGCACCAUGAAGAUUAUUUGAUCGUAAGCUUAGAACUUGUAACUCUUGUAGAGUUUCUAGCCAAUUUGGAAAUGUGUCCUCUAUGUUGUUGUCACCAAGGUCCAAAACUUCAAGAAAUGAACAGUGAGACAAAGACUGUGGUAAUGGUCCUUCCAAUUGGUUUCCAUUCAACUUUAUAGUCUGAAAUGCAUUUUCUUUGGAAAAGGUUCUAGGAAUGUUUCCAUAGAGGUUGUUCAUUUGCAUAUCCAAUACAUUAAGAGAAGUUAAUGUUCCCAGGCAUUGUGGAAUCAUACCUGUUAAAUUGUUGUGAGCCAAAUUGAGAACAUUCAGGUAACUUGCAUUGCAGAAUGUUGAAGAUAUAUCUCCUGUGAAAUUGUUGUUUGAGAGUAAAUAGUUUUUAAUGCCAUCAGGUGGAAUUGGAAGAUCUCCUUGAAAAUUGUUGUGAGCCAAAUUGAGGGUAUAAAGGGAACUUGCAUUGCAGAAUGUUGAAGAAAUAUUUCCUGUGAAGUUGUUGUUUGAGAGUGAAAAGUAUCCAAUGCUAGAAGGUGGAAUUGGAAGAUCUCCUUGUAACUUGUUGAAACUGAGGUCUAAGUCCUGAAUGUCCUUCCAUGAGUUUAAGAGCUUCUUAUGAAACCAUUUGGGAAUUUUCCCAUGAAUGUUGUUGUUGGAGAGAUCUAACGAUUGCAGAUUUGGUAGUUGCGCUAGGAAUUUAGGAAAACUAUUAAUAUUAGCAUUAGAUAAUUCUAAGUCAACAAGGUUGGGUAAGAUGGAGUCAGCACUGCUAUCAGUGUUGAUAGCAAGAAAAGUAUUGUGUGAAAGAACGAGAUGCCAUAGUUUUUUUAAUUUUGAAAAUUGGUGAAAAUCCACAACACCACUCAAGUUGGUUGAUGACAAAUAUAACUCGGUAAGGUUUUGGAGUUGAAAUAUUGAAUUUGGAAAAUGACCUUGUAGGUUGUUAUUAGAGAGAUGCAAAGAUUGCAAAGAAUAUGUUGAGAACUCACCAAUGAACCCUGUGAGGUGGUUAUUAGAGAGAUCCAAAUAUUGCAAAGAAUAUGUUGAGAACUCACCAAUGAACCCUGUGAGGUGGUUGCUGCUGAGGUCCAGGUAUAACAACGAAGGCAAAGAAUAACACCAAUGUGGAAUUGUUCCAUUUAACAUGUUAUCAUCCAAAAACACAUAACUCAAUUUGGAACGUUUUGUGAUUUCAAUUGGAAUUGGCCCAACUAGUUUGUUAAAUGAUAAACCUAAAUGAGAAAGGUGGGGUAGAUGAAAAAGUGAUGAUGGAACUUGGCCUGUUAGGUUGUUAGAGGAAAGUGCUAAAUAUUCCAAUUUGAUUAAAUUUCCAUAAACAAUUGGGAUGCUACCGCUAAAGUUAUUAUUUGCAAGAUUACAAUCAAUGAGGUGUUUGAGGUUUGAAAGUAAUGGUGAGAUCUCACCGUUAAGUUUAUUAUUUGAAAGAUCCAAAUAUGUUAGUUGAGUGAGGUUCCACAAAGAUAGAGGAACCAUCCCAUCAAAAUUGCACCAUGAAAAAUCUAAUCGAGUAAGAUACUUCAAUUGACCUAUGGAAUAAGGAAUUUCACCUGAGAAAGCAGUGUAAGAGAGGUCUAAGUACCUUAGAGGAGUGCUCCAGUUGGACUUUGGAAGUUGACCACUAAGGUUUUGAUUAAAUGACAAAUCCAAUCUUUGAAGAUUAGGUAAAGAGAGGAUGUCACUUGAUAUAUUUCCUUGCAACACAGUGUUUCGUAGACUAAGAGAAACCAAAGAGGAUGACAAAUUCUUUAGCAUUGACAAUGAGCUCUCUCCGAUUGAAGACAUGUUCACUCCAUUAAGAUGAAGAUCCCUUAAAUUAGUAGCAUUAUGAAUGAGUUUCUUCCAAAUGAAUGAAUUGAGUUUCAAUCCCACUUGUUCGUACCAGUAACUGCUAAGAUCAAGUGAUACUAAUUUUGACAAAUGAGAGAUUGUGGAAGGAAUAUUACCAUUGAGGUAACAAUUUGAUAGAUUUAGAUGUGUGAGUUUCACUAAAUCUCCGACACCAAUAGGUAUUGAAGACCAAGAAAAAUUAUUAAAAGCCAAAUUAAGUUGUUGAAGGCGUCUAAGCUGGAAGAUAGUGCUAUUGGGAUGUAAUUCACCUUUCAAAUUGUUGCAACUGAGGUCCAAACCAAUCACGUAAUCCGACUCAGUGUCACACGUGACACCAUCCCACUUGCAACAAUCUGUAUUGUUUUUCCAAGAUUCUGUCCUGGAAGAAAAAGAGGAACAUCUAGACCAAAUAUCAGGUUGAGACGAAGUGUUAACUGAAAAUGAGUUUUUGAAUUGUAACAAGGCAGAACUGUCAUGAUGGUUGCAUAAUGAGAGUGUGUAGGAAGUAAAAUGAGUAAGCAACAACAACAAGAAAAAGUGAAAGGCAAAAUAAGGCAAUAGAAUAAAAAAGGACCCCAUUUAGAGCAACUUACACCGAUUCUCUCCCUCUUCUCAAUAGUUUCUUUUUUUACUUUGAUGAUUUACGUAGGAUAUACCAAUUGAUUAGCCUCUAUUUAUAUAGGAAACAUAACCUGAAACUACGGGGAAAGGACCAAAAAGUUUGACUUAUUAGAUUGUUUACAAAUUGAGUCUAAGUAUUCCCUUAUUUUGUUGACCGUAUAGUGAUAUGACAAUUGGCAACAAUAUUAACAAUCAUACAAAAGUUUGGUGUUCGUUAAACUAAAUAACAUCUUGGAAGACCAAGACUUUUUUAACGUAAUUAAUUAGCACUAAAGUUGGAAUCUUAUUGCAAGUUGUGAUAAGAUAACAAAUUCAUUUAGGCUUAAUACCAUUUUCGCCCUCUAACUUUCAUAAAAUUGCGAUUUUGAUCCCCAAAAAAAAAAUUAUAAAACUGCCCCUUAAGUUUUGCAACCGUAGAAUUUUUGGCCCCAAAAAGUUUGAGUUAUUAGAUUGUUUACAAACAUUGAGUCUAGGUAUUCCCUUAUUUUGUGUUGGGGGUGCUUUUCAUAACCGUAUACUGAUAUGACAUUUGGCAACAAUAUUAAUUCAGUAACAAUCAUAGAAAAGUUUGGUGUUCAUUAAACUAAAUAACAUCUUGGAAAACCAAGACUUUUCGAACGUAAUUAGCACUAAAGUUGGAAUCUUAUUGCAAGUUGUGAUAAUAAGAUAACAAAUUCAUUUAAGUAGCAAUCAGAAUGAGUAAUUUGCUUAAAAAUACACCUAAAAUGAAGAAAAUAAUAACAACAUUAAUUGUAUUUAGCAACGGAGACUUAGACUUCUUCAACUGAACAGACUUUAAAGAGCGUUCAAGGUGGAUUACUCUUAGCAAGGAUAUUUUAAUUUAUAUGCUACAUCCGUCCUUAAAUAUAAGACUAUUUUAUAGGGAUAGCAAUUGAACCCAAACCUAAUUAACACCCACAAAAAAUACAUAUGAUGGGCGGGUAAAUACCCGCAUUGUUGGGUAUGGGCAUGGGCACGGGUAUGGGUGCGGGUACGGGCACUCUAUUGCCCACCCCGCCCAUCCCCGCACACUAUAUAGACUAUACCAAUAAUUUUAUUGAUAUUAAAUUUAGUUAAUUAAACCUAAGUCUUAGAUAUUUAUUGUAAUAUGCACUUGUUUUUUAUAUUUUAGAUGUUUUUUAUUUGACUAAAUAAUAUUAUGCCUAAUAUUUUAUUUGUUGAUUUAGUAGAUUUCAUAUCAUUAAUUACGUUGUGAUACUUUUUGUUAUUUAUUACUCCCUCCGGUCCUAUUUACAAGAGACAGUUGACUUUUUAGAUACAUUGAAUAAUGUAUGUAUCUAGUCAAGAACCUAAACCAAAUACAUAAAUUAUUCAAUGUAUCUAAAAAGUAAAUUGUCUCUUGUAAAUAGGACCGGAUGUAGUAUCUUUUUAUUGUGAAAAGUGCAGGUAAUGAGUACAGGUACGGGCACUUAGAUACCCAUAGGGUAUGGGGACGGGCACCAAACUUAUUUUCCACUAGGGUAUGGGCUCGGGUAUGGGGAUUUUCUUAAAACGCGGGUAUGAGGAUGGGCACUAUGGUGUACCCUGCCCAAUGAGUACCCAUUGCCAUCCCUACCCUUUUGAGAAAAAAUUGUUUCUUUUUAUAAGACUCCUUUGAUAUUUCCGAGUACAUUAAUUAAUUCUUUACCAACAUAUCCCUAUUUAUUUUAUAUCAUUUUCUUCAAUCAGCAUUAAAUACUAUAUUGAAAACAUAUACUAAUUUUCUCUCUUAAAGGAUAAAAUUGUAAAAACAAUGGUGAUUACAAACAAAUUUAUUAUCACCUUCAAUUUUCUUAAUUCCCGUUAUUUUUUCAAAAGUGCCAUAUAAUUAGAGACGGAGGUAACACAUGUUUUUUUUUUAUGGUUCUUACCUUAACAACAAAAAAUUCUGUACUAAAAGUUUAUUAUAAGAAAGAGAAAUGAUAUUUGAACAUCCAUUUGGUGACAAUUAUUGUGAUAACUUUCUCUCUCAUACUCACAUUAUUUUUUACCUUAUCUCUCUAUUGCUAUGGUUUCCGUGCCAAUACUACUUUUUCUUUGUAAAUUAUGGUUGUCAAAUAGGUUGUCAACAAAUUAGUUGUUUAAAUAACACUCCUCUAUAAGAAAAUGCACUGAGCACAUAAAAAGAAAACAUAUUAAGUGUCAUCGGAUAUUGAUACUCUACUCGUGAGUUCUACCGUAGACCACUUUUAUAAGUGGUUCAUCAUGCACCGGUACUUAAAAUUAUAAAAAUAAAAAAAAAAUCAAUGAUGACGGACGAUACUAUUUAGAAAUAAAAACUUAUGAUGUUUUUUAUAUUUACGAUUAAGAUGGUGACUUGAUUGAUGUUUAAGAACGAGCUACAAAUAAUUUUACAUUCUCCCCCAUAAAAUUUAACAUGGUUGCAUUCCCAUAACUGAAUUCAAACUCACGACAUCCGGUUAAGCUGGAAGAUAUCACUUUCAUCUUACUCAAAUAAUCUUUGGGUUAUUUUCCCUUGUUAUCAAACUAAUACUCACUCCUUCCCCCAAAUUAUAAGUCAUUUUGGAGUACAAUAUGUGUUUUUUCUAAUUUAUUUUGACAAAAUAGGUAGUUGAUUUUAUCACCAUAAUUGUUUACAUAAAUUUAUCUUCCUCAUACAUCAUAUUUUUCUUUGAGCUGGAAUUAGAAUUAAUGUAGAUAAUUCCGUUUACGAAUAGGAAAAAUUAUUUAUAUAACUUGAAAUAGGAAAAAUAAUAAUUUUAAAAGAUAUAAGACUACUCUGUCAAAAAAAAAAAAAAAAGAUAUAAGACUACAUUACUCAAAGAGAAGUUCAAAGUACAAGCAACCGUAUCUAUAUUUUUUAAAGACUUGCAUCAAAUUAAUUCAUUCUCGGCGAUUUGCACAGUCUAAGAAGCCAUUGAGGUUUUCCAGUGAAGAAGAAUACAUUAUAUCCCAAGAGCAACCCGAAUAUUGCCCCACAUGCAUAUCCUAUUGCUACCGCUUUCCAGCCAAAUCCUGACUCUUCAUCUUCAGAUGUUGAAUGAGGUGGAAGAUCUUCCUCAUUUUUGCAUGAUUUAGACAAUUGGAAUCCACACAACAUUGUAUUUCCUUCAUAGGAAUUAUUUCCAAAUGUAUCAAACUGUUGGCCUGUAGGUAUGAUUCCCUCAAGGUGGUUUUGUGAAAGAUUCAAGAAUGAGAGGAAAUUCAAAUUUGUCAAAGCCGCGGGAAUCUCACCCGUCAAACGGUUCCUGGAGAGGUCCAACCACUCCAAGUUUCUUAGAUUACUCAAAGAUUGUGGAAUGCUACCUGUGAUUCCAUUGUUUGAAAGGUUAAGUCCUUUAAGAGAAUAUAAUUCUCCAAUGACUUGUGGAAUUCUACCUUCAAACAUGUUAUUUGAUAAAUCAAUAGUUGUGAAAGUCGUCAAUAUCCUUUUUAGCUCCAUGAAAAAACCUUUCACUAUGACCACCACAGAAUCAUUGUAGUAACCGUUACGCAUGUAUUGCAGAUCAGUUUUUUUGUCAUUUACAUUAAUCAUUCCUUGAAAGUUCUUGAUGCAUGAUGUUGGCAAGGGGCCACUAAAAUUGUUGUUAGAGGCAUCAAAAAUUCUCAACUUAGGAAAUGAAUGCUUGGUGCUAGAACAAGUGAUUGCACCAUGAAGAUGAUUUGAUCGUAAACUCAGCACCUGUAACUCUGGUAAAGUUUCUAGCCAAUUGGGAAAUGUAUCCUCUAUGUUGUUGUCACCAAGGUCCAAUACUUCAAGAUUUGAACAUUGAGCCAAAGACUGCGGUAAUGGUCCUUCCAAUUGGUUGCCAUUCAACUUUAUAGUCUCAAAUGCAUUUCCUUUGGAGAAGGUUCUAGGAAUGCUUCCAUAGAGGUUGUUCAUUUGCAUAUCCAAAAUAGAGAGAUGAGGAAAUGUUCCCAGACAUUGUGGAAUCAUACCUGUCAAAUUGUUGUGAGCCAAAUUGAGAAUGUAAAGGGAACUUGCAUUGCAGAAUGUUGAAGAGAUAUUUCCUGUGAAGUUGUUGUUUGAGAGUAAAAAGUGUACAAUGCCAUGAGGUGGAAUUGGAAGAUGUCCUUGCAACAUUUUGAAACUCAGGUUAAUGUGUAUAAUGUCCUUCCAUGAGUUUAAGAGUUUCUUAUGAAACCAUUUGGGAAUUUUCCCAUGAAUGUAGUUAUUGGAGAGAUCUAAUGUUUGCAGAUUUUGUGCUUGGAAUUUAGGAAAACUAUUAAUAUUAGCAGACGAGAAAUCUAAGUCAACAAGGUUGGGUAAGAUGGAGUCAGCACUGCUAUCAAUGUUGAUAGAAAUAAAACUAUUGUGUGAAAGAAUGAGGGAAUUUAGUUUUUUUAAUUUUGAAAAUUGGUGAAAAUCCACGACACCACUCAAGUUUGUUGACGACAAAUCUAAGUUGGUAAGAUUUUGGAGUUCAUAUAUUGAAUUUGGAAAAUGACCAUGUAGGUUGUUACUAGAGAGAUCCAAAGAUUGCAAAGAAUAUGUUGAGAACUCACCAAUGAACCCUGUGAGGUGGUUGUCGCCGAGGACCAACCCUAACAACGAAGGCAAAGAAUAACACCAAUGUGGAAUUGUUCCAUUUAACAUGUUAUCCCUCAAACCCACAUAGCUCAAUUUUGAACGUUUUGUGAUUUCAAUUGGAAUUGGCCCAACUAGUUUGUUAAAUGAUAAACCUAAAAUAAAAAGGUGAGGUAGAUGAAAAAGUGAUGAUGGAACUUGGCCUGUUAGCUUGUUAGAGGAAAGUGAUAAAUAUUCCAAUUUGUUUAAAUUUCCAUAAACAAUUGGGAUGCCUCCGCUAAAGUUAUUAUAUGCAAGAUUACAAUGAAUGAGGUGUUUGAGGUUUGAAAGUAAUGGUGAGAUCUCACCGUUAAGUUUAUUAAAUGAAAGGUCCAAAUAUGUUAGUUGGGUGAGAUUCCACAAAGAUAGAGGAACCAUCCCAUCUAAAUUGCAAUGUGAAAGGUCUAAUUGAGUAAGAGACUUCAAUUGACCUAUGGAAUAAGGAAUUUCACCUGAAAAAGCAGAGGAAGAGAGGUUCAAGUAUCUUAGAGGAGAGCUCCAGUUGGAUUUUGGAAGUUGACCACUAAGGUUAUAAUUGAAUGACAAAUCCAAUCUUUGAAGAUUAGGUAAAGAGAGGAUGUCACUUGACAAAUUUCCUUGCAACUCAGUUUCUGAUAGACUAAGAGAAACCAAAGAGGAUGACAAAUUCUUUAGCAUUGACAAUGAGCUCUCCGUAAUGGAAGACAUAUCCACACUAUUCAAAUGAAGCUCCCUUAAAUUAGUAGCAUUAUGAAUGAGUUUCUUCCAUGUCAACGGAUUAAUUUCCAUGUUCGAGUAACUAUAACUGCUAAGAUCAAGUGAUAUUAAUUUUGACAAAUGAGAGAUUGUGGAGGGAGUAUUACCCUUGAGGUGACAAAAUGAUAAAUUUAGAUGUGUGAGAUUCACUAAAUCGCCAAUACCAAUAGGCAUUGAAGAUCCAGAAAAAUGAUUAAAAGCCAAGUUGAGUUGUUGAAGGUGUCUAAGCUUGUAGAUUGUGCUAUUAGGUUGUAAUUCACCUUUCAGAUUGUUGCAACUGAGAUCCAAACCAAUCACGUGAUCAGACACGGUGUCGCACGUGACACCAUCCCACUCGCAACAAUCUGUGCCGGUUUUCCAAGAUUCUGUCUUAAAAGAAAAAGACAAACACAUAGACAGAAAACCGGGUUUAGAUGAAGUGUUGACAGAAAAUGAGUGUUUGAAUUGUAACAAGGCGGAGCUAUCAUGUUGGCUGCACAAUGAGAAAGUGUAGGAAGUAAAAUGAGUAAGCAGCAAUAACAAGAACAAGUGAAAAGUAAAAUAAGGCAAUAGAAUAAAAAAGGACCGCAUUUUGAUGAUUUAGGAUAUACCAAUUGAUUAGCCUCUAUUUAUAUAGGAAACAUAACCUGAAACUAAGGGGCAAGGACCAAAAAGGUUGACUUAUUAGAUUGUUUGCAAAUUGAGUCUACGUAUUCCCUUAUUUUGUUUUGGGGGUGCUUUUCAUAAACAUAUACUGAUAUGACAUUUGGCAACAAUAUUAAUUCAGUAACCAUCAUAGAAAAGUUUGGUGUUCAUUAAACUAAAUAAUAUCUUCGAAGACCAGACUUUUUGAACGUAAUUAGCACGAAAGUUGGAAUCUUAUUUCAAGUUGUGAUAAGAUAACAAAUUCAUUUAAGUAGCAAUCACAGUGAGUAAUGUGCUUAAAAAUACACCUGAAAUGAAGAAAAUAACAUUAAUUGUAUUUAGAAUCGGAGACUUAGACUUCUUCAAAUGUACAUACUUUAAAGAGCAAAUUACGAGACUUUUAAGUUAUUUAAUUAUAACAAAUCGGUUUUUUAAGAUUUUUUCGUAUCACUUGCGUCAUUUAAGUUAUUUAAUUAUAACAAGUUAGUUAUGUAGUUGCUCAAAAAACAAGUUAGUUAUGUAAGUAUUUUUCGUAACACUUAGGUCGUUUAAGUUAUUUAAUUGUAACUUUAGGUCCCGAAUAACUUGCAGUUUUAAGAUCUGAAAUCCCUCAAUUUGUUACAGUUAAAUAGCUUAGAGGACCUAAUUGGUACGAAAAAAAUUAAAGGACCAACUUGUUAUAAUUAAUUAACUUAAAGGACCUAAGUGGUACGUAAAAAUCUUAAAUGACCAAUUUCUUACAACUAAAUAACUUAAAAGACUUAUGGUGUAAUUUAACAUUUAUUUUAUGUACGUGUUUUUUGUAUGGUUCUUAACUAAACUACAAAAAUUUCUUUAAAUUUAUAAUUUCUUCAAAGUUUGUUACAGCACAAAAGAAAAUGCAUUGAGCAUAUAAAAAGAAAAAGUAUCAGAUGCCAUCGGAUAUCGAUACUCAACUCGUGGGUUCUACGGUAGACCACCUUUAUAAUUGGUUCAUCAUGGACCACAUUUCUUAUAUUUACGACUAAGUGGGUGACUUGAUUGAUGUUUGUUCAGUGCAAGCUACAAAACAAAUUACAUUCUCCCCCAUGAUAUUUAACAUUAUUGCAUUCUUAGAACUAGAUUCAAACUCACGACAUCUAGUUAAGUUGUAAGAGAUCACUUUCGUCUUACCGAAGUAAUCUUGGGUUAUUUUCCGUUGUUUUAAUCAAACUUGUUGUGAAUUCGAUGAGAAAACCACACCAAUAACAAACUUGAUGUGUGGAGCAAGGAAUAACCAAGCAACCAAAACAAAGUAUAUGGAAUAAUUAAAAACACAAGCCAAAAGUAGAAAACAGCGAGAGAGAAAGGAAGAGAGAACGCAAGAAUUUGUUGACCUAGUUCGGUCCAAAUUGACCUAGUCUGGGGGAGAGAAUAGCCAUUCGUUUCACUAUAUGAUGAGUAACCUUACAAAAGAGAUAUCAAUGGGUUACAAGAAUAAGUCUCCCACCUAAUUCUAUCCAAAACCCUAAUCUCUUCACGUAACCAAGAGACUCAAUCCUAAUAGUGUUUCCCAAGGUGAAUCAACCCUCAAACCCUAGUGUUUGUUGCCAAGAGACAAAGUCUAUACAAACCCUAGAUUUGUCGUUGCCUUUCUAAACCUUUAUUUCAGCCCCCUCUAUCUCAAGGUUUACACUGAUACAAUGUCUAUAUUUAUAGCAAAAGUAACUCCCAUAAAAUUGUAAAAAAUCUGACCCAAAAAUAUGUUUCUGGAAAGAAAAAAAAACUACACGCAAAAUCGGGCCCUGAAUUUAGCAAAUCGGGCGCUGAUUUUUGUCGCAACAAACUGCUCCAACAGGCAGCCAAAAUUGGGCCCCGAACUCCACAAAUCGGGCACUGAUUUUGGGUCUUCCAGCAAACAUGAUUUUGCACUCCAAACUCCAAUUUUGAGUCACUUCUACAACAAAACUAAUACUCCCUUCUUUCUAAAUUAUAAGUCGCUUUAUAAUACCAAUGAAACUAUAAUUUUACUUUUCCUAUUAUAUCAUUUAGUUGAUUGGUAGAGCUAUUGCUUCUUAAUGUGAAUGAGGGCAUCCUUAAUCUAUUAUAAUUUAUUGGGAAAUGCUAAGGACGGUUGAUAAGAAAUCCAAUGAAGAAAUCUUAUCUUAAAAAUUGUGCAUUCAUUACAUUGAAACUUUAAAAACUCUCUGGUGCUGGCACGUCAUCAUCUUGUGUGCCAAGCAAUCUAUUUUGUGACAGAUCAGCAAAAUUGUGUUCAUCUUAGAAUCUCAGAAAGCAAGUUCUCACAAUCACAAUCCUACUUAUUCUGUCUAAGGUGAUAACAGAGUUGCAAAUGCAUUGAUGUUUCUGUAAUUGAUAUAAAAUGAAAACAUAUUGUCUUUAAUUGAAGGGCUUAUUGAACAAUUACCUUAUUCAAUGAUACUUAGGCCUACUAAUGUCUCCUUCAAGUUUAGUGUGUAUAUAUAUAGAUAUUCACUUUGUUCUAUAAAAGAAAAAUGAACGUUCAUUUUGAGCAUAUGAUCUAUGAUAUGAAUGAUGCAUCAAAGAACGGUGCUACAACUUCAUAUGUUCACUGACACCGAAAUUUAACACAAAAUUAAACUUUGAUUCAUUUUAUGCUUAUGUAUAUAGCAAUUAUCAAGGACACAUCAAAGGGAAACAAAGUUAUAUGAUUAAAAAUAUUCUUAAAAAGAUAAAAACUAUGAACAAAUAAGAUAGUUACAAGAUCUUGCGGAUGUCAGAGGAAGAAGAUUUGAGAUAUAAAGCUGAAUUCAAAGCUCAUAACCUUCGGGAAUAGCCAGAACCUGCACAUUUCUUGCAGAGUACCAAUCCUACAAAAUGUGAAUUAGACACGGGUAUUAGUAGAUUAUACCGUGAAAUAUCUUGUGGGUUUUCACCAGAAUCGCAGAUCAUGGAAAAUAACACUUUGUUCAAAUUCUGCUAAGCUACAAUGCUAUAAUGGCACUAGAGCCACUAUUUAACAAAACUAUAUCAAAUAACGUAUCGCAAAACAAUAACGAUUUAUUCAAAUUCCAGUAUGGCGUACACUAGAGCCGCUAUUUUACAACACUGGUUUCCUACCAAAAGUAAAAACAUUCUACUAAAGACAGUACAGAGAAGCACAACCCAAAUUAUUCAUAUUAAAUAAAGAAUGCAAAAUAAAUGCAAUUUUGCAUGAUGUCCAAUAACAAUUUUUUGUAUAUAAGAGAUAAUGACAUAAAGAGAUACCUGAACCCUUGCAUACUUUGCAGUCAACCAACCCCAUCUCUUUUUUCAUCUUGCCGUUGUUGCAAAAAACACAUUUUGUUCCACCUGCUUAUCAAUCAUGGCAUUUAAAAUUGUUCAAAAAAAAAUCAUGGCAUUUAAAAUUGUAGCUUUUAUCAACACUCAUUAAUAAGAAUACAAGUUGGCCAUUUACUUUAUAUACAAAGCAGGACUCCUCUUGAUUAAGGAACAAACAGGUUCGCUAGAACAGUUAAAACAUUGGGAGUGCAAUGGCAAUAGAAAAUACAAUUGUGAAUCAUAACUAUCACUAAAGCAUGUAUAAUCACAUGUGUUGUUCGAUUCAAUUACUUUUUUAUUUUCUCAAUUUUUUAUACUAUGUCAGUGUCAAUGUUGUAUUCGGUGUUUGUGUCUCUGUAUGUACUUCAUAACCGACGAAACAUUGAACAAUAAUUAGUAAUAACCAAUUGACAAUUUUUAAUACCUUAUUAUCAUCAAAACUCAAUAAGGUUCAUUGUGAAACACAUUUUGUUCCAACAGAGCUUCCCUCACAAUCUCUACAUUUAGAACUUCAAAUCUCUACAUUUUAUAUAUUUCCUCAUUGCCAUAGUCCAUAAGCCUUUUACUCUUCUAGUGAUACUUCUGUACACUUCAAUUUGAUCUCCUAAACUUAGCGUUGGGAUUAUCAAACUCCCCACGAAUCAAUAUUUUCAUUGUCAGAUUCGUAAAUAUCUUGUCUUGAUAGCAAAAAAAGAACUGAUCUGAAUUCUCAAUGGUUCAUGCAUCUGCCGUCACACAUUUAUCAUACUAACAUCAAAUUUCUUCCACCAGUUUAGAUUUAAAUAAAUGACCAUUUCGACGACAAAACUUGUGCUGUAAUAGAUCAAUAGCUUAAUAAAAAACAACAACGAUCCUUUUCAGUCUAGUGCACCAUAUUAGAUAUUGGUGAUUAAUAUUACACAUAUUGCUUCAAUUGUUCAAAUAUAUUACAAAUAUUGCAUCAAUUGUUAAAAAUGGUAAGCCUUCUUACAUGACAUGUCGGCUAAUCAGUUAAGCUAUUCAACUUUCGGAUCUCCAAGUUGACAACAAUGCUCAAAAGUAAUAAAAGAAAAAAAAAAUUGAUAACCAAAAAGGUGUCUGGUAGUGAGGGUCACAUGGCCACGUGUCACAUUUAUGUGUGAUGGUAGAAAAGGUGUGCGGCACUUGUGGUGGUCAACUUAUCACCACUCAAUUAUUUGCAUUAAUAUUUUAGAUAAAAAUAUGGUGUCUCUCUCAUGUGGUUGCUCUUCGCUAAAGGGAGUGCCCCAGACUCUCCUUGCGACCCCACAAGAAAAAGCUAAAUAGCUUUGGUUAACACAUAUAUUUUUUUUAAACAAGUCUAUUAUCUACAAUUUUUUUUUGUUAAGCAACACAUUUUAUUUACUAGCUAUCGAAGUAUGAAAAUGAACUUAUACUUUUAACAAUGUCUCAAGCCUUGAAUUUACCUUCGUUGUUUGUUGGACAAUUGAUAUAUCAUAAUGAUUUGAGUUGAUGUGCGUUUUGUUUGUCAUUUACUUGAAAUUGUUUUCAGCCUUUGGUGUUUGUAUCUGUGUCCAUGCUUGAUGUGUAAUGUGGUCUUUCUCAUAUCAUAAUGAUUCAAUUUCCUGUGUAAUAUUCAGCAUCAUCAUUUUCAAAGGCAUGCUGGGAGUUUGGUAGUGAACGACAUUAUACGAGGGGUCCGGGGAGGAGUGGCACCGCUUAGUGCCGAAUCGCUAGUUUGGUUUAUAAUUCAAGAGAAGUUUCUUUUUUUUUUAGUGUUACUAUAAUUCAAGAGAAGUUGAACACAAGGAAUAGAUUCAAGAGAUUAAAUAUUAUAAUUGAACCAUAUUUGCACAUCACAGCUUAAAGCAACAAUACGUUUUACUCAUAUUUUCAUAUGAAUGUGUAUGUAUUUACGCAUGUUUUAAUGAAUAUUGUUCAAUUAUUCAUUCAUUGCCGCAACACCCUAAUCGAGUCGAUGACACACUUGCACAGGCAUAAAGGAGUGAUAAUUACAUAGAAAUAAUAUUUGGAUGCUGUGACACCAUUCAAUUCCAUUUUAUAAGAGAAGUUGAACACUGAAAUAGAUUAAAUAUUACACACUGAGGAUAUGGUUUCAAAUAUACAUUAUUCAAAAGGUAAAAAACAUCAACAUCCUUCAAUCGAAGCACCAACAUCUAUAUCCAUCAUAGAAAUUAAAAACAACAUAUUUUGAUAUGUGUGAACUACCUAACAACCAAAAGACAUUGAGAUAAAAAAAAAAAGUUUAGAAGUUGAAGCAAUUAAGUCUUAUCAUUUAUUCAACAAUAAAAUCUUGAAAGUAACAAAAAAGCAAUUGAUCACUUUAAUUUCUUAUUUGUUCAACAACUUACAAUAACACAUUGGUAUUAAAAUAUAUAUAUAUAUAUAUAUAUAUAUAUGAUACUACAUCCCUUAAACUGGGAAAUUCAGAUUAAUUACAAACAGUUAUAUCUACAUAUUUGAAAACACCAUCAUCCAAUUAAUUCAUUCUUCUGCGAUUUGCGAUGGCUCUGUUGUUUGUUCUUUUCAAUCUUAUGUCAAACAUAUGUUCAACAUGUCUUACAAGCCAUUCGGGUUUACCGGUGAAGAAGAAUACAUUAUAUCCGAAUAGCAACCCGAAUAUUGCCCCACAUGCAUAUCCGAUUGCUACCGCUUUCCAGCCAAAUCCUGAUUCUUCUUCAUCUUCAGAUGUUGAAUGAGGUGGCAGAUCUUCCUCAUUUUUGCAUGAUUUAGACAAUGGAAAUCCACACAACAUUGUAUUUCCUUCAAAAGAAUCAUUUCCAAAUGUAUUAAACUGUUGACCUUUAGGUAUGAUUCCCUCAAGAUGGUUUUGUGAAAGGUUUAAGACUGAGAGGAAGUUCAAAUUUGUCAAAGCCACAGGAAUCUCACCCUUCAAUUGGUUGCAUGAGAGGUCCAACCACUCCAAAUUUCUCAAAUGACUCAAAGAUUGUGGAAUGCUACUUGUGAUUCCAUUGUUUGAAAGGUUAAGUCCUUUGAGAGAAUUUAAUUCUCCAAUGACUUGUGGAAUUUCACCUUCAAACAUGUUAUUUGAUAAAUCAAUAGUUGUGAAAGCAGUCAAUAUCCUUGUUAGCUCAAUGAAAAAACCUUUCACUGUGACCACAACGGAAUCAUUGUAGUAACCAUUACGCAUGUAUUGCAGAUCAAUUUUUUUGUCAUUCACCUUCAUCAUUCCUUGAAAGUUCUUGAUGCAUGAUGCUGGCAAGGGCCCACUAAAAUUGUUGUUAGAGACAUCAAAAAUUCUCAACUUGGGAAAUGUAUGCUUGGUGCUAGAACAGGUGAUUGCACCAUGAAGAUUAUUUGAUCGUAAACUUAUCACCUGUAACUCUGGUAGAGUUUCUAGCCAAUCAGGAAAUGUAUCCUCAACGUUGUUGUCACCAAGGUCCAAAACUUCAAGAUAUGAACAGUUAGCCAAAGAUUGUGGUAAUGAUCCUUCCAAUUGGUUGCCAUUCAACUUUAUAGUCUCAAAUGCAUUUCCUUUGGUAAAGGUUCUAGGAAUGCUUCCAUAGAGGUUGUUCAUUUGCAUAUCCAAAACAUAGAGAUUAGGAAAUGUUCCUAGGCAUUGUGGAAUCAUACCUUUCAAAUUGUUGUGAGCCAAAUCGAGCACAUAAAGGGAACUGGCAUUGCAGAAUGUUGAAGAAAUGUAUCCUGUGAAGUUGUUAUUUGAGAGUGAAAAGUAUUGAAUGCCAGAAGGUGGAAUUGGAAGAUCUCCUUGAAAGUUGUUGUGAGCCAAAUUGAGGGUAUAAAGGGAACUUGCGUUGCGGAAUGUUGAAGAAAUAUUUCCUGUGAAGUUGUUAUUUGAGAGUGAAAAGUAUUGAAUGCCAGAUGGUGGAAUUGGAAGAUCUCCUUGCAACAUGUUGAAACUAAGAUCAAUGUACCGAAUGUCCUUCCAUGAGUUUAAGAGCUUCGUAUGAAACCAUUUGGGAAUUUUCCCAUGAAUGUUGUUGUUGGAGAGAUCUAAUGUUUGCAGAUUUCGUGCUUGGAAUUUAGGAAAACUAUUAAUAUUAGCAGAGGAUAAAUCUAAUGAAAAAAGGUUGGGUAUGAUGGAGUCAAUACUGCUAUCAAUGUUGAUAGAAAGAAAAGUAUUGUGUGAAAGAACGAGAUACCAUAGUUUGUUUAAUUUUGAAAAUUGGUGAAAAUCCACAACACCACUCAAGUUUGUUGAUGACAAAUAUAAGUAAGUAAGAUUUUGGAGUUGAAAUAUUGAAUUUGGAAAAUGACCUUGUAGGUUGUUAUUAGAGAGAUCCAAAGAUUGCAAAGAAUAUGUUGAGAACUCACCAAUGAACCCUGUGAGGUGGUUGUCGCUGAGGCCCAACUCUAACAAUGAAGGCAAAGAAUAACACCACUGUGGAAUUGUUCCAUUUAACAUGUUAUCAUCCAAAAACACAUAGCUCAAUUUUGAACGUUUUGUGAUUUCAAUUGGAAUUGGGCCAACUAGUUUGUUAUCUGCUAAAUAUAAAUGAGAAAGAUGAGGUAGAUGAAAAAGUGAUGAUGGAACUUGGCCUGUUAGGUUGUUAGAGGAAAGUGCUAAAUAUUUCAAUUUGAUUAAAUUUCCAUAAACAUUUGGGAUGCUACCGCUAAAGUUAUUAUAUGCAAGAUAACAAUGAAUGAGGUGUUUGAGGUUUGAAAGUAAUGGUGAGAUCUCACCGUUAAGUUUAUUCAAUGAAAGGUCCAAAUGUGUUAGUUGGGUGAGAUUCCACAAAGAUAGAGGAACCAUCCCAUCAAAAUUGCAAUGUGAAAGGACUAAUUGAGUAAGAGACUUCAAUUGACCUAUGGAAUAAGGAAUUUCACCUGAAAAAGCAGAGGAAGAGAGGACCAAGUACCUUAGAGGAGUGCUCCAGUUGGACUUUGGAAGUUGACCACUAAGGUUUUGAUUAAAUGACAAAUCCAAUCUUUGAAGAUUAGGUAAAGAGAGGAUGUCACUUGAUAUAUUUCCUUGCAACACAGUGUCUCGUAGACUAAGAGAAACCAAAGAGGAUGACAAAUUCUUUAGCAUUGACAAAGAGCUCUCUCUGAUGGAAGACAUGUUCACAUUAUCCAAAUAAAGUUCCCUUAAAUUAGUAGCAUUAUGAAUGAGUUUCUUCCAUGUCAAUGGAUUUAGUUUCAAUUCCACAUCCCCAAAACUGCUAAGAUCAAGUGAUACUAAUUUUGACAAAUGAGAGAUUGUGGAAGGAAUAUUACCAUUGAGGUAACAAUUUGAUAGAUUUAGAUGUGUGAGUUUCACUAAAUCUCCAACACCAAUAGGCAUUGAAGACCAAGAAAAAUGAUUAA